CCAGCAGCUUGUUUCAAGAAGUUCAUAGUUGCCAUAGGUAUGUAGAUGAGAUGCGCCUGAGUUAGAGGAUAAGACGGAGCCGAGCCAGUAGUUGUAGAGUAGUUUCCAAGGUAUCAAUUCACUGGUUCAGAAGCGGUUGAAAGAUCAGACUUAGUUGACAGAGCAGAGCCAGUAGUUUAUGGUUUGAGUUGAAUCCCCUUCAUUAGGAGUUGACUCCCUUGUUUAGUCUGAAGUUGACAAGUAGAGGUGUCUGGUCCAGUGGAAUCAGUAGCUGAGGCAGCCAAUGAGGUAUCGGAUCAAGAUCGGUCUACUUUGAAAUGAAUGAUUUCGAAUCGCCAAGACGACAAGCUUAGAGACUAUACCAUACCCACCAGUUACUGACUUGAAGAUUCCCUUAACAGCUAUGCCAGCACUAGAGCAAGAAAACCCUGUCUCGGAGUCAGAGGAAAGUACCAUCUUCAGCGCUUAUGGAUAGUGGAUAAUUUCAGGAUUGUCUUUCAUAAGGAUAAUAUUGUCUCUUCCAUAAUGAUAAUAAUAAGGAUCGGGAUAAAAGGUUCUUAAAGUAUAGUUUCUAGAUAAAGGGGUAUUGCAUAGAAAGAGAUAACUACAGAGAGACGAGUUGUUUGUAACCACAUAGAUAGGGAGCUUUUAGAGUGGUCCUUAGCCCAAGACAAAUCUAUACUCUUUCUGAAUUAGAAUCAGCAGUUUAGGGUUCUAUCAAUUGUGCAUCAGAUUCCAUUUGAUUCUUUGUGUACUUAACACGUGAAAGAAGAGUUGACCUUACCAUGGCUCUUAUCUUAAACGAGUAGUGGUUAGUAGUUAAGGGUUAAGGCUAAAGUGAAUAAAAACAAGUAAAAGUACUGUUUGAGUUGACUCGGCACUAGAUAGAUGAUAAGUAUUUCUUGCUUCUGCUUUCAAAGCUCACAAAGGCUAUAGUUUCAAGCGCUUACCUUAAGUAAAGAAGAGAAUUAAGCAGUGAGGUCACUUUAUUGCCAACCCCAUACUUUAUCUAUAAGAAGCCGUUUAGUCCUUUCAAUGGAGUUCCUGUUCGUGUGUUACGGUAAAGGGCAAAUCUUGUUGGUAUCACAACUUCAUUCCUUUUCCUAUUGGUAUCACAACUUCAUUCCUUUUCCUAUUAUAUAGGCGAGUGAGAAAGUGGGCGAGUGAGAAAGCACUCAAUAAAUUAUGGUUUUCCAGCGGAUCCUAAGAGAUAGAAUAAAUGAAUUCUUUGAAAGCGGGGGGAGGUCGGAAAAACGAAAUAAUAAAGUACUGGUGAGGAGUGUUGGUCCUAUAGCUCCAAGUCUGGUUUAGGUUGAUUGUAAAGGGAUACUAUACUACUGAUUUUGCUGUGCUUCUAAAGCAUACUAUAAUAGUCUAGGGAAGUAUGUAUUACUUACAAAUAAAGAUACAAGUAAAGACAGGAGCAGUAUCCACAGUUAGCCGAGUGGGUGUAAUAGACAUCUAGUGGAAUUAGCCUCUCAAGUUGGAAAGUUAGAGACGUACUGUACUGGGUUCGGGUUGACUCGGCACUCCAAGACUAAGUGCAGCAUCUCGAUUCAUAAAGAAAUCUCCGUUUAUUCUUCCGGUAGCGAGUUUUAGUAAUAUAGGGUGUGGUAGCAGUGCUUGUGUUGUUGGAUCUAGAAUAGAAUCUCUACUGACUGCGCAGAGUUUAAUAAAUAGAGGAAAGAAACACUAGGAAGUUAACUAAACAACAUACUUAAUUAUAGGAAGUUAACUAAACAACAUACUUAAUUAUAGGAAGUUAACUAAACAACAUAUGCGCUUUUAUCAUAUUGAACACUUAUGAAACUAGCCUAUAGUGCGAGAGCUUGAUUUUAGGCGCAAGAGAUAAGAAAAGUUGUACUAGAUCAUUCUUUGAUAAGGGUAGGGUACCGAUUGCUUGAGUACAGGAUUAAGUACCUUUUGUAGAGUAUAUGAAAAGUAAGUUGUCUUCUUGCUAUGGUACAGGAAAGGCUAAGGGUUUCAGAGGGAAAGAAGAUUUGCCAUUAGCUCUGUUCAACAGAGAGGUUCAUGAAAGGACUCGAACUCUAAGUUAGCGCUUACUAACGGUUGGUUUCACGUUAGGAGCUGGCGCAACAAGACCUUAUCUUCUGUGCGUUAGCGAAUUUAACACGUUGCUUGUUCGUAGCUUGUUUACUAGAAAGUGGCUUGUUUAGUUGCGAGAUAUCCUCUAGCUGGAAUUUAGCGUGCUUCUUAAGUAAAAGAAGUAAUAAUACCACUGUUGGACUACUUAGCCCUGUAUAAGGAGUGUUUUUUGUCUCCCUCUUUCAAGUAAGUUCUUUGAGCCUAGAGGGUAAGAAUAGAGUGAAAGGCAGGGUACAACCAGUCAUCAGAAGGAGAGUCCAGGCUACUGUCAGAUAGAGAGGAUGGUACUCGCACUCCGUAAGGUUAAGGGUGCAGGGGAGUAGAAUGUUUUCUAGGUCCUGUAGCAAUCGGUUCUGUUCUUGUUUGUCGAGUUUGAGUUUCAGACCGGUAGUACUGUUCUGUUCUGGUUGAAUCCCCAGUGGCAUCUGUAAUAGUUGCCAGAGGAGAGUAGUACAGACCAGAGCCAUAACUUUCUUUGUUGACAGAGCAGAAGUACAGGAGAGGAGCCUAAUUCUGGUAUAAAACUACUGAUCUCAAGAUGUGGGAAGGGCCAAGCUACUAAUACAAAUAGGGAGAGUUGCCAGCUGCAAUCGGGUCUGUUCUUGUUUGUUGAGUUAGAAUCAGGUCGGGUGUGAGUUCAAAGUUGACAGUUCCAGUGAGAAAGUAAGAUGUCUUUGUUGUCGGUUCAGCAAUGAUAUAGUUAUUGACUUAGAGUCUCUUUCUGUUCGAGCCGAAUCCCUUGUUUCAUGCAGUACAGCUCCUGUUCUUAUGAGAGUGGAAUACCCUGUUGCCAGAGCUAUAGGGGAGAGAUUGGAGUUGACAGAGCUAUAGGGGAGAGAUGGAAGUGACCUUCAAGUAGAGAUGGAAGUGACCUUCAAUACGAGGCCCUUCUAGUAAGUUGUGCUAGGCAAGAUGGAUCAAUUCAGUAUUCGUAGCAAUAAGUUGCUUCGUCCUCAAGUAUUGGUCUGGUUUCAUCCGUAUUUGUAGAAAGAGCUCCAAGUGGGUUAUCAGAAAGUGUAGUUCAUAAGAAUUCACCAAGUAAGUAACAGAGCCAAGCUAGUACUAGAUGCACUGAUUCCCCUCAGUCUGUUACUAGGCUACUGUAGUAGUGGAUUGGCCCAGCUCAAUGUAAUCGACCCUUGUUGACAGAGGAGUAGUGAGUUGACUUAACACCUUAGGAAUAUAGAAACAAAGAAGAAAAACAGAAUGACAUAGCUCCUUGAGAGAACACCUGCCGCUACACUUACUAUGUUACUUGGCUCCUACUAAAUGAGAUCUUCUGCUUAUAUAUGAAACCAGAAAGGGACUGCCGCUACACAUUAGCAGUGACUUGUCCUAUCCAAAAUCCCGUGUUUUGGUAAAAAGUGGAUUUCUGCUCUUGUGUCGGAUAGGGGUGAGUUUUGCCUCGUUAAGGUUAGGGUGGUGGACUGACUUGUUUAAUGAAGUUACUAGACCCAUUUAUUAAGUCUUGACCGAGAGACUAUAGAGGAAAGGAAGCCUUAAGGCAGUGCGAGUAAGAAGGAGAGGCCAGGCCAGGUAGUAGGAAUUCCAGAACGAAACAAAGAAGUGCAAGGCUGAAACACUACCUAGCAAGACCUGAACCAAGGGAGUGACAGGCUAUCCGACCCGAAUCCAAGACUGAUACCGAUGCUGGGCAGACUGAAAGCAAGGGCAGCGAGGUAGUAUUGUAAGCCUGAAACACCUACCGAUUUGAUUCUUUGAUAAUAAUAAUUGGGCUUCUUAGUUCUGCCUCCUGUCUUUCAUUACUCCAUAUUUCUAUGCGUAUAACACAUGGGUUAGACUAAUCGAAACACAUAGGUUAGACUCAUCAAAAUGGAAUUCUUAUUUGCCAUAUGAAAACAUAUAUAUAGAAUUGCGUAACACCCCGACUGAACCACACAAACCAUUCUCAUACUUACCCACUGAAAAGAAGGAGACUAAUGCUGUAAAGAAAAGCACUUGACUUAGGAUACUGGGAAGGGGAUUGACGGAUAGGCAUUAGUUAAAGAAUGACAGGAAUGAGUACUAGUUCGAAAGCCAGGAAAGGAAGCUCGAUCUUGGCCCCCGGGGGAGAGAACGAAAGACAUUAAGGUAAGCCUAGGGAGCUCAUAAGCAAGACUGGAGGCGUUAUAGGAAGUUUUCUUUCAGUGUUUGAUUCUGGCUUUCGAGUUAAUGGUGUGAUAUUGAUUCCUAAGUAAGGAGCCUAAGCCCUAUAAGUCAAUUCCAUAUUAGUUGCGAAAGGGAGGUCAACUCUUUUACUUAAUUGCGAAAGGGAGGUCAACUCUUUGAUAUAGGAAAAACAGGACAGGUCUAGGUCGGGCAGUCAACUCUUACUUCAAGACGGAAACCCCUUUUGAGAAUUAUUACUUUCCAUUCAGAGUAUUCGAGUAGAGCUAAUAUCCCCUGACAAGACUGGUUUCCUGACUUAGUAGUUUGAUUCUGAAUUCCCAACAUCAACACUCAUUCUGCCCUUACUGCCUUAAAUCCUAGUUUUGAGUUAAAGUCUCUUAGAGCGGGCACCCUAUAUCUCAUAUUGAUACCUACUGGACAGGAACCGACCUCGAAAUACAGAUAAACUACCUCCCUAACUGGACUUGAGCUGGUGCCGAACAGGCUAUAACACUGCCCAGCAACGCUAUAACUACUAAUAUGGACUAUUAGAAUGGAACAGGUUCCAACUAUCCUUUAAAUGGAAGAAACUGGGGCUUUUAACUGCUGCUAACUAGACUACAAACAGUGUUUCUCGUCCUUUAACUAGGGACUCGGGAGCCAACUCGUGCCUUUAAGGCUAUAAGCUACAGAUCCAUAUCCUAUGCUUUUGGUGUUAGCCCACCCCUCCUUGGUUUGAUCCUGUAUUCCUUUGUUUCAAACUUGAUCCUAAACUAGAAUUCCCUCAUCCAAUAUUGAUUAUUAUUUGAACAUAUGAUUCGAGUAUUUAGACUAAUAUCCAUAGUGAGAAUAAUGAAAAUAAGAAUAAAGAAGAAAAGACCUAAGCUAUCAGACCUAAGCCAAGAACUAAGUCAAAUUGCCCAGUAACUAUAACUCCAAUCCAAAGUCAGAAUAAAAGACAUAAGUUGUAAUUCCAUUCUCACGAGGGUAUAGGGUCAGUCAGAAUCCAACUAUGUAGUAAAAGAAUCAAGGGCGUAUCAGAGGAAGCAACGCCAGAACAGUAGACUUAGCGUGGUUCCGGGGAAUAACACUUGAAAGUUAGACAUGUAUAGGCCUUUGUAUCAUCGGUAUCAGAAUCGAGGUAGAAACAAGGAAUUCCAUCUCAUAUUCUCUAUCUUAGGGGAGAGUCUCUGUCUAAAACAGGGAUUUCUAACUAUAUCAACGAACUCUUUUUUAUUCAUCUUAUACUUGGGCGCUCUUUGACAGUCACUUAAGAGCACAAUCAUCCUUCUUUCUUGAUUAUAAGGAGGGAUAACAUAGUCGCUCAACUUACUUGGAGAGUGAGUGAAACAUCCUUAGCAGAACCGGCUUUCUUGACAUAAUUUCGAGAAAAGCAGCUGCCCUCUUGGACUCUCAGGGAGCCUGGGAAAAGGAAGGAGUCUCGAUACCCACCUAGGGAAAAAGAAGCUUAGCGCCUUAGAGAUCGAAGAUCUUAGUCAUCAGAAAAAGAGCAAGUAGAACUUCAGAUUGAUGAGCUUCUUGCUUCAAAGGAAGAACUGCUUGAUCUCGAUAACUCUAUUACUUCUGGUCUGAGCUAGAGAAAUGAGGAGGUGCUCGCGGAUUUGACAGAGUAGAAAAAGAAGUUGGAGACGGAGUCCGAGCAAGCUAAGGUGAAAGGAAUUAAAGAAUCAUAAGGUUAGUUGACAACACGCAGUGCGUCAUAGGAACAUUCAAAUACUACAUUAGUAACUUACACAUCCGACUAUUUAUAUGUGUGUUGCUUAUAUAGGAACAUGGGGCAGAUGGUUAGCUAAUUUCAUCAUUAGUGACACUGAGAGACCUUCAUAUACUACAUAAUGUAGGCACACCUAUAUACUUACAAUAGUAAACCCAGACAUACAUACUUACAAUCAAUAGUAAACCCAGACAUACAUACUUACUUACAAUCACAAUAGUAAACGCUCCAUACUUACAAUCACAAUAGUAAACGCUCCAUACUCAUAGAUUAUUGACUUGACUCUUAUUGCCAGGAAAGCCAAAGCAGGGGUGGCAGGGUUCCGGUCAGAAUCCAGGACUUCUUGAGCGCCUAGUUAAUUAGUUUGAUCUCUGUCUUUAUUGGUGACUCGAAUCCGUCAGUUCCAUUUCCAUGAUUGGAUUUUGCCCUUGACGAAGCAAUUCCCACUUCUAUCCCUACUAAGCGCCAAAGCAAAGCAUCUUUUCUUUCAAAUACGAGGUCUGCCAAUGAUGUUUUAGGGGGCAGAGUUGAACAUUGGUAUUACGACGAAUAUGGCCGACAGCUAUUCACCGAGUAGAUAAGAUGGCAUUCAAGCAGGGUUCAGGGCUGCAAGCGCAAAGUAGACAAGUUCAGAAGCAGUUUCAUAGGCAAAAGGUCAGUCUGAGUUCCGGAUUUCGACAUUAGUUCUUUGAUGAGUUACCGAAUAUCAUGCAUUAUUUAGGUCACUCAUUAUCGUAUGAUUGACAACGCGCUUAAAAAGCCAGUACUGGAUAGCUAGUUAUAACAAUUCCUUUGUUUGUUUGGAGCUAAAGUGGUUUUUGCUAGAAUAAUCAACUUACAUAUAGUAUAUUUAUUAGUGGUUAUUACUUUUGAUGUGUUCGGGUGAUGCGGUAGGAGCUAUAGCGGAGUUGAUUUCUUUUUCUUAGAAUAAAGGAUUGAAUACUUGGUGGAUGAAGCUAAUGGGUAAGGCUCGGAAGUACUAUUUCCAUUCUUUAUCCGUGGGGGUGAAGUCUAAUAGUGGUAUAAGCUAAGGUCUCAUCCGUAUAAGUUCGAACCUCUUAUACUGCGGUUAAAGAAAGGUAGGGCAGGCUAAUAAGUUCACAUAUGAUUUAGAUGUCAGUAAGUCAGGCCCAAACUAUAGUCUAUAGGCAUUUCAAGCAGUUCUGUUUGUUCAGUAAGUGAGAUGUGAUAUCAGUAGCGAAAGAAAGAUAGCCAGGCCAGGCCAGGAAAGUAAUACUAUAGGGUAGGACAGACAGACUGAAGCACAGGGUGUGUAAAGAAUAGUCUUUUGGCUCUGCUACUAGGAUAAAGAAGAGUAAGGGUAGGCUCUACGGCAUGUGUUAUAGUAAAGGAACGAAAGCCCGGGGGAAGAGGAGAGACUCGUAGGCAUUGAAGCAAGGGUAGUAAAGUGGGGAGAUAUAGAAGAAAAGCCCGUAUAGCUAUAGAAGAAAAACCUGUAACACAAGUCCUGUAUGCUCUAAGUUCCAUUAUUCUCUAUAUGGAUGUCGAGCUGCCAUUCAAAAGUCAAUAAGUUCCCCUUUAAUGCCAUUCUUCUUGUUAGUAGUCACAGGCUCUUAGGCAAUAAAGUCAGAUUCCAAGUUAGGAUCAAUAGUUAUAGAAAGCAAGCUAGUUGUGUGAGAUUCGAAGUAAAGGUAGUGAAGGGCGUUAGAGUCAGAGUUGUAGAAGCGCUAGUAUCAUUCUGAAUGUCAAACUGGAAUUCAAGCAGGAAAGUGCAUUCUUAACAAAACAAAGUAAGCUGAUGAAUACGCUUGCUAUGUGUUUGUAUACGUGACUUGGCUCGAUUUAUUAACUUCAAGUUGGGUGUCGCCCUUACCUUGACUCGAAACUGUAUGUAUCCAGUAGGAAGGGAAUUAUGGUCGACUUAUUAUAUUAACAAGCACCCGAGACUCCAGUAUCUAGUAUUGGCUGGGAGGCGAGCAGAGGAUGGGAUUCAUUUGAUCGUUUCGGAACCCUGAUUGAGGCUUAUCGUUAGCUCCACUCCAUUGUGCUUAGGGGUUUUCGGCAUACUUUUCUCAAGCCUGAUGCCAUGUGUUCUGCAAUAAUCUUCCCACGGACCCCAGUAUUCACCACCAUUAUCUGCCCGGAUGCACUUAUGCUGCCUUAACUCAAACACUUUCAAAGAAUCAAGGGGAAGAGUGGAAUACUGACUUCUAUGAACUAAGCUAGCUUCACUCCUUUUGAUAGAGGAGCGAUACGAGCUACUAAUAGUCUGACUACAAAAUCAUUGAGAUCCUUUUGAAAGGCUCAAGUACUCUGACCCAUAAGGUGGCUUCUUUCUUUAAGGAGAGUGGACAAGCAAGUCAAGUAACUGCGAUUAAGGAGGAGUUGAACCUCCAUAGUCUUGGAACUAGAUACCGUCUAAUCGACCACCCACCCACCACUCUAAUAUUCGAAAAUUCUACAAUCUCUAGCUCCUACUAAAUCCAAAUAUCACCAAAGACAUUGUUUUUGCGAUCGGAAUACGAAUGAGAUCAGAAAGGCCAUCAUUAGGGCAAACGAUGCAAUAGCUUCGGUGAGAGCAAAGCCCAAAAUGGCAUAACCAAAUAAUUGUUUAGCCAAUGAUGGAUUUCGCGCCACAGAAUUGAUCGAGGAACUGAGGACGUUUCCAAUACCGACAGCAGCUCCGGCUGAAGCAAUUGUAGCAGCUCCGGCACCUAUUGAUUUAGCUCCUUCUAACAUUUCAAGCAAGACAAGAAUUGACUCGUCACGCUUUUCCUUCACGGCUCUUUCCUGGAUUCUUCGUCGAUUCCUCUUCCCCACCCCGCGAUCCAUAAUAGUAUAAUUCAACCUCAUCCCGAUAGAAUUCCCAAUUUCUUAUUUUGUUGAAAUUGUUAACAUUAUAUAAAAGAGAAAUCCGCUUUCCAUCGUGCCGGCCUUUGUUGUAGAGCUCAUUUAAAAGCUUAUUCAACCCCAUUAUUUGUGAGGGGAGCCCAUUCUUAUAAUGUUAGCCCAUUAUUUGUGAGGGGAGCCUAUUCUUAUAAGCCUAGUCGACGCGUAGGGAGUCCCGAGUAGUUGUCCAAGUCGGCUAUUACUCAGGGAGGGUGCCGCUGUAGGCUGAAAUCUCUGUCUCUAUAUUCUUAAAGGACCAGGAGCUAAAACAAUCGAUCUGUUAUUGCCCAACCAACCCGUAAUACUUGAUUUGUAACUCAUCAUUUUUGGAUAGGACUGAAUGAAAUCAUGCUGAAACCCACGCUCGUCCCCUUCUAUGCCUUGCGGUAAUUAUUCCUCUGCUCUGGCAUUACGACCGAUACAUUACUACAAUGAUGAUGAUGCGCCCAUACAUAGAGAGAAUUAUGUCGUGGAUUGGAUGAUUCGUUACUGUGUAUACAGAUACCUUGCCUGUGCUCAGGGUAGAAGUCAAGUAUAAGAGUGAGUGGAGUCUGGCCUUUUUCUUAAGUAUUUCGCUUUUUGUGCUUCUUUCUCUCUAUAAGAUGAUAUGUGUCUAUUUAUUCUUCCCCCUCCGACUUUGUUUUCUGUAAAAACAGCGAAUUCUCGUUCAUACUAUAAGACCCCUCAUCCAUGAGUUCCAUCAGUAUUGAUAAGAAUGGAGAGUUAUGACUCAGAGUUCAUAUUUGUUGGUAUUGAUAUGAUGUUACCAAUUCAUUCAGUAUGGCCAUUGAUAGAGAGCCAAUUCAAAUAAACUAAUGGAACGGAGAGCCAAGCCAAUUCAAAUACACUAAUGGAACGUGGAAUUUGGCCUUUUUGGAUCCAGCAGGAAUCGAACCCUCUAUAUUCUUUUGGACCAAUGUGGAGUUGGUCGCUUUUACCAUUAAGCUAUGGAUCCAAUCACCGCAAGUAAACAUUAGGUUUAGGAUUUGUCACCGCAAGUAAACACUAGGUUUAGGAUUUGAUUGUUGGUGCUUCUCGAGCUUUAUCCGCCAGAGUCAAUCCAGCCCCAAGGGUUGCCUAGCCCCUAAACUAUGGUACUCCUCUCCUUCAUCGAUGUGGAGAUAGAGCCAGAAGUGAGGCUUUGUUCCUUCGCGUAUCCAUUAUCAUUGACAAAGCGACUCUUACAUGCAUGGCUUACUUAAUCAUUCAGUCCUACUGGGGAUGCUAUGGUCACAGCAUUUAUAAGGGAAAAGAUGAUAUAGAGAUGGAUUGGAGAAGAGGAACGAACCACUUGACAAUUCAGAUGUUACAUGUUUUGAAUACAAAGGAAAUAGUAAGGAAGAAGAGAAGAAAAGAGAAAGAAGAUAGAUAAGGUAGGGGCCAAGGAACGGGAUCAGACUUAAUACAGUAAAUCCAAGACUUCAACUAGUGCUACCGAGGAUGGAGCUACUAACAACCAGACUUCACUCACUACCAACAAGAAUCAAACCUAGGGCUGCUAGGACUGAUGCUGUGUAGGUACAGGCUUAAACGAAGGAGUCACAGAAUGGCACUGAUGAGUCUAAGGCUGAAACAAGUACUACUCAGAAUGACCCUAAAGCGGAGGUAGGUACGAGAUACUUUAGGUUACUCGUCCUAGGAACACCAGUAAUAAGAAUUGAGACCUCUCUUGGCAACCACUAUAAUGAAUAGAAGUCAGCAGUAAUAGAAUCCGCAGUGCCCCAGGAAUGGAAGUAUUGAUUGGCAAGAAGUAGAUGAGAAAGCAGCUUGCUUAAUUCUGUAUUAGUUGACAGAAGAAUCAGUUCGGGUUAAGUACCCUGUAGCCUGUAUAGGAGAAGAAUCAACGCGUUAGCCCAAUGUUAAUAGAAAUAACAUAAGAAUACAAAACCCGUCUCUCGAGAUCAGAAUCAGUGUCAAGUGAGUCAGCAGUGCCAAAGUCCGCCAAGUCGAGUUUCAUUCCUGGAGUGUUAGUAACAUACGAAAAAGGGAAGGUGCUUCAAGCAUCUUUACUAACUCAUAGGUUCCUUGUGAGCGAGAACUUACAAUAAGGGCCUUAUCCUUACUAAAUUCAUUAUUGAUCUUUUUAUAGGAGAACGGAUUCCUAGUAUAUGCUUGCCAGGUUGUGCAAAGAAUGUUUCAAUGUUGUUUCCUUACUUCUAUCUAUACUGGGCUAGGUGCUCAAGAGACUCUAUUGAAUUCAUAAACUUUCCCCCACUCCACAGAGUCUGGGCCGGAUCCUGUUUCUUCUUCUCCACUUGAAGAAUGACUUGCUACUCUGCAAAUGGCAAAUGCGCUCGACCAUUAUCGGUAAAGGAAGCAGUAAACAAGAGAAGGAAGGGGCAAUUCGAGUCGCCAACACAAAAGCACCAAUAUCUACUACAUUACCAUCACUAGAAUUCUUUUCAACAAGCAAGGAGUAAGCAGACCAAGCAGGUGCCUACGGAACAAGCAAACUUGCAAGAAAGGGCAAUGAAAGCAAGGCCAAUAUUGAGUUAAGAAAGGGAAGAAGGUUACUGACGCGCCACGGGUAGCACUUUAGCGACACCCCGUUCACUUUAGCGUCAGCGAACAAAGGACAAAGAAAGAUCUUCCGAACACAAAACAAAGAAUUCCACCUUUUAUGAUAACUGCCUCGGAUCCUUCUCUUGGAGACUUAACUCGAACAGAAAUAGACUUAAUGGCGAAAGUGUCCUUGCCAGGCGCAAGUCAGGUUUGCCGGCCUCACUUCUUGUAUAGGUCGGGUGGGAAUUCCACUCCAAAGUUCAUGGCGGCAGCUUCCCUGUCCCUUGUUUCAUCUGUGUUUGUCGUCUUGGCCCAGUUGUGUUCUAGGCCUUGGCCCCGUCUUUUUGAAUAGCAAAUAUAGACUUUAGUAAGGUGCUGAAAGCCUUGAAGUUUCAUCUUCAAUUAUAGAACUGACCGAAUUAAUAGUAAAGGGCUGGCAACUCACUUCCCGAACUUACCCGCCUGUCCUAGGUAUAGCAACAGUCUCAAAUCCUCCUGCCGAUUCUAUUUCUACUUCUUCUACUUCUUCUAGAGUUGACUUUCCCUUCCAAGAUUCUUGUAUACCCGCCUUUAAUGCUUUCUUCUUAGGGGUUUGUCCUCUACUGCCUCUUUUGCAUUCCCAUCCUAUAGUUUCACUCCACCACUCCACAAUCGAACUCUUCUGCAGCUUACUUGCAUCAUGUAAGGAAGUGUGCUCUUAUUCUUCUACUCAUAGGUACCCGACCCAUCGCAUCAUCUAACAAUGAAAAGAGCAACUUGGAAUUCAAUCAAAGCUAACAGGAAAUCGACAACCACCAGAAAGAGUCAAACAAAAAGAAAUAGGACUUUCACUCCCCGGGGGCCAAGUAACGGAUAGACAAGAGCUAAGCAAGAAGGAGGUAGUCAAUAGGCCCAGCUACAACCGAACAGGAUCGGUAUUCCACUCUCACAGGACUAGCUACUCUCAACUACUGGCAAAGAAUCCAACUCGCCAAGCUACUAGACAAGUAACGGGCAGGCAGUUGACCAAAACGAGAUUUAUGCUUACUAUUGUGGUAAAUUCCCUAUUCUUUGUUUUACUCUUGUUAGCGGAAGUAUAAGAUUUGGAUGUCAGUGCGCUAGACUCAAAGCAAUAGCAUUCUUCCCUGUACGAUUAUUAUCAGACUUAGAUGUAUUAUCAGAUUGUGUAGUAGAUGUUUUGAGUCUUGGAAGGGGUAGCUCAAGUCUGUUCUCCUGCUCACAAUGCCUUAGAGCUAUGCCCGAUAUCCUGUAUUGCUAGGUUGAUUCUCUCCGAUCCGGUGCCUACUCUUUGACUUACCUGUUUGAUCCUCUGUUUCCACUUCGAUCCUAUACUUAGUUAGUUCAAAACCAUACUGGCGAGGUUGGUUCCCCGUCUAUAGCAUCAAUACGAUAAGUGGUGGGUUUAUUCUUACUAGUAGUCGUUCAAGUCUAAAAGCAGUGGGCUAAGCCUGUGAUUUACCUAUUUAAUUCAGAGAAGCAGUAGCUCCCAAUUCUUUUAGUUAUUAGUUUCAGAAUCAAAGACAGAGGUAGGGUAGGCUCAUAUACAGGGAUGGCAGACUCCCUUUGUGCGGGUGGGCAGACUGAACAGUGAAAUAAGUAAUUGUAUUUUGGAGUGUGAUUAACAAUAAGAGCACAUAGGAUCCACCAGACAAGACCUAAUCCCGAAACUGGAAGAAUCCAAAAAGCCAAGACAAAGAUAGCCAAGCAGACAAGCAACGUUGUAAAAGUGCUGUGAACUUGUAUAUAAGGGGGUUUUCAUGGCGGUAGUGAGCGGAAGAGUUGGUUCAGAGCCGAGCCCUAGGUUGCUGUUACCGUAAUUCUAUCAUACAUAGUUAAAUGAUUACUUUGCGUUAGCAGGAGCCCAAAAGAAGGAUAGGCAUAACUGCAUUGCUGACUUAUGGCAUAUGAUAUAUAUGAGUAAAGACACCGUUGCCUCCGCUCCGUUACUCGCUUAACUACUCCUAGCGCACAAGUGAAAACUGCUCACGUAAGCGCUUCUCUUACCAGAUCUGAUCCCAUUCUUUCCCGGAGUCGAAUGAGAGACUGGAACGCGGGCGAGCUGAGCUCUCUGGCUCUUUAUAGAUGUGCCUGGCAUGGUUCAAAGUCUACAUAGUGAUCCCUGAAGCUAGAAAUAGGGAAUCCUGAUUGUUUUCUGUGUUCCCGCGUUUAGAAGCUGAUUGGAUCUGAUCCUGUAUCUACUUGAAGGAAGCAUAGGGGCUCUACCUUCCCAAGUAGUAGAGUUGCAAGAGGCUAGAGAGCUAUGAGAUCGAUUUGCUUCUGAUAGAUGAUUCCAAAGAGUAAGGGAGAGUUUAGCAUGCUUGCCUUUCGACUAAAGCACUAGAAGAAAAGGACAUGGGACAAGAAGAAGCCCUCUUCUCUUUUCAAGCCGCCCUCUUCCUUUUGAAAGUUGAUCCCCCUCAGACGUUAUGCUUUCAAGCGAAAGGCUGUCUUGUGGACCUUACCUCCAGCAAUCUUGUCUUUCCCGCUGCAGGUGACCCUCGAGGAGAUAGGACAGCAAGAGAGAAGCUAGCCCUACUUGAGAUUGGUUUACGAACUAUCCCUUCAGGCCUUCUUAACACUGAUCUUACCCUACCGCGACUAGAUCCAAUGGAUUACGUGGUAAAGAGCUCAAAACAAGGGAUUUGGCCGAUCCAUAGUUCCUCACUACCUAUGAAUGAGUCUCUUUGCUAAUUAACUAUCCACUACAUGCAAUUGACUCACCUACAUUUUCUGCUUUCACCCUUGAUUUAGUACACUCAGACUCAGGGAAAGUGCUUACAUAAACUAUCAUUCCUAUGGAGCUAACCGAUGGGUUAGAGCGGAACCGCCAUUCUCCAAAGUGUGGAAGUGAGCCAGGACAAUAAGACAAUAGGUCUAAUGGGCCAAGCCAGCUAUCAGGCAUUGAGUGGGAAUCAAUCCAGAAAGAGAGAGAUAAGGUCGAGUGCAAAGAGAAUAAGGUCUAGUGAAAAGAGAUAAGGUGGUCUAGUGCUCUCAAAACUACGUACUAUUUUCUUUGGAAUGGUAAGGGGAGUCGUUAGAUGCGGAAUACAAACAACAUGGUAAGAUUCAUCCUCUGAGUACCUGCUAAUGGAACCAUUGUCAAAUAUGUGUGCCCUUUGAAUUGUAGUUGCCUUGGAUGUCAAUCUAUAGGCAUGCUUUAAUGUCGAGACUUCCACUCCAUCUCGAAUCCCGCCAAAGUCCCACCACUAGUAGGGAAUGAGGGAUAGAGGCCGAGUACCACUAGAGGAUCAAAGAGAAAAAAGGGAUUCCUUCGAGGCUAGAGAGUGGGGGAUGACGGGAAGCCAACUUAUAAUCUAAGCGAUGCCUGAGCGCGAGGAGCGGCCUUUCAAAGAGGAGUCGUCGGGAAGAGCAAACAACUUCAUCUUCCAACUAUCUGGUGGCGCUUGAGCAUUUGUCUAACCAUGGGGUUAGGAGAUUGUCUCUGAGUUGAGAAUGAAGGACACGACUAGGCUAUAAAAGGAAGUGGCAGAGGUCAUAACCUUUGUGUUUUUUGCCCUUUCUCUUCAACUAGCCAAGGAUCUGCGCUCGUUGUUUUCAGACAAUAUGGUCAACAGGGUCUUUCUUUUGACAUUUAGUGAUUGUAGUUUCAAUCUUCCUUAGUUUGUUUCUUGGAGAUAUUCUUGUAUUUGACAUUUGAUUCAAUGCAUAGAGCCUUCAUUUCAAUGCCUUGUUGGCUUCCCGGGUGCUGGAAUUGGGUUCAUUGGUGGGAGAGAGAAUAUUGCUCGGCUUUCUGAACUAAAUUGACCGAGGAGGACGCAGAGGCAAGUAAGGAGAAUCAGAGGCGGAAUAAUAAUAUCAGUUAGUGCUCUCCGACUCAAGUAGUAGUAGCAGUCUUUUGAUUUGUGUUUGGAUUCCCUGCAGUACCAGUUCAAUCCCAAGUUUCAAGUUCUAUUCUAAUAGUCAGUGUGGUUGAGGAGCGAGCGGGUAGGUAGUCAAUCCUUCUCAGCAGUGGUUUUCUUCUUCUAGUGUUUAGUAUUUCCUUGUGGUAUAUGCGGCUAACGAGUGGAAGUUGUUGCUAGUUAGGAGUUGAUUUCCCUACCCAUUCUUAUACUGGUGUUGAUUCCUCUCCCCUAUGCCUAACAGCCUCUUUUCUAUAUGUAACAGCCUCUUUCUAAUGACUAUGUCUUAAAGAUAUGUGAUUUCAAGUGAGGAUCUUUCUUGCCUCUUUCCUGCCAGUAGUUCUUCCCCUAAUUGUCAUUUCAUUUCCCCUUCUCUUUUAGGAUAGCAUUCCGUAUUGAUUGUCACUUCUUUAGAAAUCCGUCUUCUUCCAUUACUACAUUCCUCCCAAAAGUCAAUUCUAAUCAUAAAAGGCAAGGUGUUUGGGAAGUGUAUCAAGCUCUAUCCUGCUGUCUUUAUAUGGAUUUCUCUAUCAUCAAUCAUUACGGAGAAAGAGAGUUGGAUCUCGAGAUUCCAAUCUCGUGGUGCCCUCUUGAAUGAACCAACCUGUACUCUUUAGUUUCCGCUAAUGAAGCUGCAUCAAAUUGAGUGGGCAGAAGAUCAGCUAGCUGUCUCAUACUCGGACUAUAGAUCUUUUAUGUGCUGGGUUGACGGCAAAGACAUCCAAAUCUAUAGGAUGAAGCUGACACGCGAGCAAGCUAAUAUGAAGAAGAUAAGAUCUUGCCAUGCCAUCUUCUGUGAUUAAAGUAAAGCCCUAUUCUACCCAUGUGUAGGGCGGAGCAAGGACGGACAGAGGCCUAAGGGUUCGUUUUUCAUAACUUAGUUAUAACUAUGGUCGAAAAGCAGGUAUGAUGUCUCCCACUCGACACCAAUAUGUGACAGAAAAGAAGCACGAAAGCCAGUCCGUCGCCAAGUCUUUAAGCUUCUGGUAUUGAUAUUGAUUUUGAAUAGAAUAGACAGAUUCUUGCCCUAAGGUUAGGCUUCAUGCCCGAAAAAGGAAAGGAAGGGUAUUUUCGGAGCGUACCAAAGGUCAGUCCCAACGCUAAUUCACUACAAUAGAAAAUCGAACUAAGAGAUAGGUUAGUUAUACGACCGAUAGGGAGAGGAACGAAGGACUUCUGAGUUUAGGAUAGAAGAAGAACAAGAGAAAGAAAGGUGCAGAGUGAAGGUACGGCAAAAGAUAGAAAAACGAAACAGUAUUGUAUUAUUGAGCACAGGAAAGAAUUAGAAGACUUCGAUUCGGUGGAAACCAAAACGGUUGAGUCAGUGCUGUGCUUUGCCCUUUAGCAAAUGCUUCUCCAAAUCACUAUAGGACCAGACGUCCGAGCUAUUCAAAGAAUGGACUUUUCAGUAAUGGAAUAAGGUUAACAAGGGAUUUCUCUUUCUCCAGAGAGUCAACCUUAGCUCAAGCAAGGAAGACAUUGGAUGUAGAUUAAUGCCUGUUACUGAAUGAUCCCCAGGGAGUGACUUCCUCAUUAGCCAGAAUAGCCAAUCCAUCCUUAUUUGCUUAGUUAUAGAACUCCUCCCGCUCUUCAAGGAUCGAGGUUCCCAGCUGGUUAUAAGAUUAUAAGCCGAUUGUCAUUCGACAACUCCCCCUUUUCAGUCGAAACAACCCCUCUCCCUAUCGGUCUUCACUCCUAUAGGUUUCCUCCUCUCCUUCCUUUAGUAUAGUAUUGUAAUAGCGGACUUUCCCGUUGGUCUUCCUUCGGUCGCCUCCUAUCUCGAACUUUCAAUCUUACGCUUCAAUCUGACGUUGGUAGAGCCAGUCUGUUGUAUAGCAUUUACUAGCUAGCCUUCCUCUGCGGAAGAGAAGAGAACAAUCCACCGAUUCGAUUACCUUUUGCCGAGCUACAACUCAUUCCUAUCCGUUAGGAGAGCUAGCACUCGCACUUCCUUGAGUAAUGUACGUACUUAUUUAUUGUCGAGCGAGGAUAGGUCUGUGAGAAUAGAGUUCGUUUUAGCCUUGUUAGAUUAGUCCAGUGACCGAAAGGAAAUGCCCGGACCCUGUGAACUCUUACUGUUCGUUAUCUAGUCGAAACUAGGGCAAGACAAGAGAUCGUAUUCGCUAAAUCUGUUAUGAUAUUAGGAAUAUAACCCCAGCAUUCGAGAAUCAUCCUCUGUAUCUGGCGCACAAUCUAAAGCUUUGUCUCAUCCCUCUUCGCGAGCAUACAAUAAGCAAAGAAAAGUGGAUUUGUUUGGAUCUGAUCUAUACUAAUGUUACUACUAAAUUCUGUAUUGAUCCUUAUAUAGGAUGACAGAUAACGGAUUCAACAAAAGAAUAGAUUGAGUCAGCUACCCCAGAGAAAGUCAAGGAAUGGAAUAUGAAAUGCACUGAAGCGCGGGAGUAACUGAAGGCGUUGUUAAGUGAGUUGAAGUUAACGAGUUAUUACUCUAUCUGCUGACUAACCUUUGACUGCUGACUAUAAUGCUCCUUACUCUAAUCAAACAAGGUGGUUUCAUUGAAUACGAGUUCCAGUUCUUUACCGAACAAGCCUUAUUGCCUUUACUUCUUCCGCGCGGUAUCUGAUAGUUGUAGUCUCUUUUGGUGCUUGUGCUUGAGAAGACCAGAAUCUCCGUUCUUUGAACAGCAUUGCUUACUUGACUCCCGACUCUGAGGCUUCAGCACCCCUUACAAAGUCAUCUCACACUGAACGAGCGUAGGUAGUAUAAUCCAGUUUGUUAGAGAGUUCCGAGCGCACCUUACCUUUCGAAAUCCAUAGAUUAUUACCCUUGUACCCUUGCUUUAAGAGAAUCAUAGAGGAACCCAAUCGCUAUUGCUUGUUCUGUUAUUUGUUUCAAACUAGUAGAACUAUACUUAAGUACACUGCCGAAGUACACCGCGCUUAUUCCUUUAAUUGGAAUCCAUCGAAUAGGAGUCAAUCGUGGUUCGGCUUUAAGGUAAAGGCAAGGGAAGUCCACAGCAGAGCCAGAGGAUAAAGGAUUCCAAAGACAGGGUCAAGAUGUUAGGCGAAAAUGUCAUAGAACAGUCAAUAGAGAUCCUCAAUGAGAAAUGACCUAUGUUGCCCCCUGAAAACGGAACUUAUGGAUAGCAUUCCAGAGUCUAAAAUCCUAGUUGGAACCCCCAGUAUAGAAAGAUUCUUAUGCUUUUGUUUAAGGCUCUAACUCCUUGUGUAUCAUCUCUUUGUGUGCCAAUGUUGUAAGGAAAGGAAGCUGAAUCGAUUAAUAGUGAAAUUGAGGAAUGAAAUAUAGCGUGCAUUGGUGAGUAUAGAAAGAAGGAACCCUAACCUCACUGAACAAGCAAUCAGAUCCUUCCGGAGCUUUAUUUGGAAAUAAGCUGCUAACUACGCUUUUCCUUUUGGGCGUGCCGGGCAAGAAUUUGGAUAGUUACUACAGUCAGGUUACCCUAUUACAUAAGAGGUGCAUUAAUACUCUUUCUUUACAGUUGUACUAACGUGAGUUCGCCCGCGAAAGCCUUAGUUCUCUUAAAGCUGCAAGUCAGCAGUAAACAUAACAACCUUAGAAUACUGUUGCGCUUACGGGAGCUCGAUAAUCAAUUCCGUAUGGACGGGGACGGACUGAAGAUCCACUGUCUUGACUGCGAUAACGGAGUUCUCUUUGGAAUGUUUGACUGUAGCAUUAGGAGUUAGAGCAAGCGUUAGUGAGUUGUGCGCUAGUUCAUAAAUCAAUUCAGUAAAGUAACAGAACAAGAAGUUGUUAUAAGUAAAUAAGUAAUGCUCUGUUUUAUUAAUCAAUUAUAGAAUGUGAUACUUAUAUCAAUGAAAGGUAGCUUAAAACUCGCCCUACUGCCUUGUUACUGCAGGAGAAGUCUCGUAUCCAAGUGGAACCGUUGAAAGAAAUGGUGCCUCCGCCUUCGUAUAGGCAGCCUAUACUCUAAUCUUUGCGCUAUUCCUAGGCGCUACUCUCUUCCAUUCUGUAGUUGGGGGUGCGACACUGAACUCCAAUCUCCAGUUUUCAUUUCACUUCUAUGUAGUUGGGGGUGCGACACUGAACUCCAAUCUCCAGUUUUCAUUUCACUUCACGUCACGGCAAUACCUCUGCUUGACCGCAAGACCUCUGCUUCUAUAUAUAUAGGAUUCGAGUCAAGCACCCGAAGACCAACAAUCGAACUACAGAGGGCGGUGGACUAACUCUCGAACUAAAGAACAUAAGGGACAACUAAUAGAUUCAAGUAAGGAAAGUCAGCCCGAGAUCAUAGUCGAAGGAUGAGUAGCAUUGGCGCAAUUCCUGUUAUCUGUGAUUUCCGCCCUGUUUGCGAGAGUAGAAGAAUCCGAUGUGAAAUACUGUUUGAAAGGGCAUCUUUGAAAUCCAGUAGCUAAAGAAUUAGAGUAAGGAGAGAAAGAUGUAGAUCCAGGAAUGACAGGCGACUACUAAAUAGGUUCAAUACGUAUUUUGUGUGUCAGCGUUAAAGCAUGAAAGCAAAGCGAGUUAGGUUGAGAAGCAGUAGGGGCAGCCCCAUGGAUAGGACAGUAAGAAUAAGAUAGAGGCGAGGCAGGCUUGUUAGCAAUAGCUCGAGUCUUAUCGUUAGUGAUUUCAUCCUUUUUUGAUCAGUGGAAUUAUUAUACCUAUUGGUCUUAAAGCGAUCGUACGCAUAGGUUCCAUUCUGGCUAUUCAUAGUUCCAAUUAUUAGAAGCCAUAGUUGGAGAACGAGAGACAGGAAAGGUAGACUUAACUAAAGGAAAGACUGCUUAGGUGCCCAGGAGCUCAAGUAUUGUUAGCGGAGGAAUAAGAUUGAAACCAAAGAGAGGUGUUUUGAAAGCUAAGAUCCGGAUCCGGAGUUGUAGAAUCAAAGCAAGGUGCUGAAAGCCUUAUUGAGGCAUGAGGGAAUACUAAAACAAGGGAGUUGGAAUGCAGCUAACGUUCUAUUACUGAGUUCAAUUCAGUAUUGUUAUACAUGUACGAUUUUCUUACCUUGUUGGGCGCUACCUUAUUAGUAGUACAGUUAGUAAUCUAAGACUUUCAGCAAGGAGUCUGUCUAAGUUUGAAUAAGGCCUGCCAGGAACAAACCCAAGAGUGAGAGAAGAGAGUUUCCAUUUUCAAGGAAGACUUAAGGCCAAGAGCGGAAUAAGUAGUAGACUUAGCUAAAGGAAAGGAAGACUGACUAUCAAACAUAGGAGUGGGUUGGUUCCACAGGGGUAAAGUUUGAGAGUUAGGGACGGUAGGCUGAGAAGCCGAGUAGUCAGAAUGAGAUUUAGGAGCGGGGGAAUCUGAUCGAGUAAGGACAGGUUAAUAGGUAGGAAAGCUAGGUUCCAGGUAGUGGGGAAGGUCUCAUUUCUUUGUUUUAGCUUAUAGGGAAGUAGUCCACUCCGAUAUAUACUCCCGUAGUUAAAGGCGGAUACCCACCUGUUACAUUCGCGUAGUGGGGAGCAUACCCUUUAGUCAAAUUCGGAUUAGCUGUUGUUGCACUCCUCGGUUCCAGUCUUGUACUUACUAGUUUCAUAGAAAAAAGUCCGGGUAAUAAGAAUGGUAGUCAGUAAGAGUAGACUAGGAUAAAGGAGAGUCAGAGGGUGGUUAAGCCCAAACCUGCAGAGUUAAGGCCUGUAAUGGAAGAAUCGAAGGGUAAAGUUCUAAUUAGAUGUAAGGAGCUGUAGGCCUAUGCUUGGGAUUUGGUUCUUCUACUAAUCAAAUCCAUUAUUCAAAUUCAUGUCCUUCAUUCUAUUACUGUUGAGCUUGAUUCUAUCCUAGCUUAGUGGGGUUCCCUAACGAUUAGAAGAUGAAAACUAGCAAGCUGGGCUUUAAGACAAGAGCGGUUGUUUGUUAGUAGGGAGUGGAGUGCCGGUUUCAGAGUUCAAGCAAGGGGCUGCAUAUUCUUAUAUAUAUAUAGGGGAUCAUAUGACUAAACCCAUAGAAUUGGGCUUAAAGGACGGAGUCAGGGAAUUAGACUUAUAUCGGUAUGAGUCAAUAGGCGGUAAUCGAGAAUAGAAGGUCGGGUAGGCAAGCUUGGUCAUCUAUGCAAGUAGUUCGUUUUGGAGUUAAGAGCGGCAGUGCUAUACCCAGGGCAGUGAAUAUUCUUAUUGUUAGGUUAAUUAUAGGUGCAGUUAAUAUUCUUAUUGUUAGGUUAAUUAUAGGUACUAUUGCUUUCUUUAUCCCCAGUUCGAUUAUUGGUAGCACUAGUGGAAUUGCCGGUUUUGAGUGGAAUUGCUAGUUAGUAGUUAAAGUCUAAUCAGUAGUAGGAAAGGAAACCAACCAAGAAAACAUGGGAAUGGAGUUUACCGAGCACAAGGUAUAGAGUGAAGUAAAUACACAAGUUCCUUUUCUGUGGAAUCUGACUUCUGACUUGCACCGCGUUUGUUGUAGUGACUUGGCGGUAGAGGAGCAAUCAAGAGUUAAGAAAAGGUAGAUGAGCCUCCACCACUAAAGCACCGAACCUUUCUCUUAGAUACCAACCCAGUACGUGCUCUCAAGCAGGAAAGUAGGAAUUGGACUAUCAAACCAUAAUGAAACUAAGUCAGCAAUCGGGUCUGUUCCUGUUGCCUUUGUCUAUAAGUCUACGAAUUGCCAGGCCAGUGCUUUACCUCGCAUCAAAGAAAUCAACCAAAAAGGAGGAAUUCAGAACUAUCUACUUCUCAGGUCUUCUACUAAUAAUCAUAAGGGAAAGAAAGAAUACAACUGGUAAGUCAAAGUCUAUGAAUGGGGUUACAGUCUAGCAGAACUACAUUUCCAUUUCUUAUCGAGGUUGCUUGUCGGCUUGGCCCAGUAUAGAGAGCUUUGGUGCUAGUGUAUAGAUAGGUUUGGUGCGAGGCUUUGAAACGGUAAGUGAAUCCCCAGUUCCUGUUCUGGUUCUUGUGGAAUACCUAUAGUAGUAGUAGUCCUGUUCGAGUAAAGUUUUAGUCUGAAUCAAUCAGUGAACUUCCAAAGACCAAACGAUUUCAUCCCAAACUAUCUCUUUAUGGCUGAACCUUCCGAGUGUCGAUAUUUUGAGACUCAUUGUUUCAUAGCCUCUUGGUCAAGCGAAGCCAUACUAGCCACUUUUGGUAGACUGGAAGGCCUGUGCCUUGAAGUCGUCUAGUGUGAGGUACGUUCUUUAUUUAUAAAGGAGAAAGAGAGGUCGCUCGGAAGCAUUCAGUUAGUACGAAUAUGUAUAUUGCAAUUCCGUUAGUACGAAUAUGUCUAUUGCAAGAUGAAGUAACGGAUGCUGGUUUACUGUAAGUUGGUCUCGCGAUGAGUUCAGAGAGUUCUAAGCUGUCUGUUCACUACGCUUUCUUUCAAGCAAUGCUCGGUUGCCUUAUCUCACAAAGGUCUGAUGCCGAAAAUAGGGUGAACGAACCAAUGGCGGUUUCACUGACCCGAUCUGGGCUACCCCGCAUUAUUCCAGUUCGUAGAGACAUUGUCGAUCCUGCCGGGAUGAGAGUGCAGACUAAAGAGUCCGUCUUUACUUGUAAUGGUUUGGACUCCGUCGGGUGAUUGCACUGGGUGUCAAAAGCAACGUUUGAAUCCAUAACUAACCCGGUGUCUUAUAUUGAAAAGGUCCUGGAGGUGAUCUCAUUGAAGUUUUAUCUGCCGUAAGUCUCUUCCUUGGAUCUCGACCAACAAAAGGGUAUGGUAUGGGAACCCACAUUGAAAGCCACUGCUCAUGACGACCGAAUGUGGGUUUAGCACGAAAUUGGAAGAUUUACCUAAGAUCUUGACUAGUAACAAGUAUGAGCAGCCUUCGCAGAAUUUGAUUCAUUUUCUCCAAGAGGAUAUCCUGUCUUCUCUCCGGGGGUUUGUAAAGAACACUUUGGAUCACCGGUAUACCACACAGGCUUUUAAUGAAGACCUAGGAGACUUACUAUACUCUGCCUCUGUUCUCGUGAGCUAGAUAAGGCUAGGUUUGAAUAGAUCAGUUCGGUCUCCGCUCUGAGACCGCCGAGUAGUAGUAGGUAAGUCGCAGCUAUCUCCGACCGAGCUAAAAGAAAGUAGUGGUUUUUCGGGAUCCGCCUUCUCUUCUUCCCCAGGUUCUAAGAGAAAAGAUAUAUUCCAAAAGGGUAGUCUACGAAUUGUUGGUCCUGACCAAUGGCGGCCGUGCUUUCCAACUAAAUCCCCUGGGAAUCUGUCCCCGAGCGUGCUGGCUUUCCUUUACAUAUUAAAUACAUUUCUCAAUUUAUGUUGAGUGAAAAUGCAUUAUGUGAAGAGGGAAGCGACUCAUUUAGCUUACCGUCAGGUUCACUUGGGUUGGUUUAGGCUGCUGUCUUGUAGUCAGUUGAUGGGAGGUCUUCCAUUCCAGUCCAGAAGAUAUUGGAAUUGCACUCUUUUCUUUCCCCCACUUAUAAUCUCUCUGUGGGACUUGUUCCCUCUUCCACUCAGCGCUUUAUAGAUAGGCAUUUGAUUGAGAAUAGAUAGGCAUUUGAUGGAGAAUGCUACCUUAUCUUUGAAAAAGUAGCCGAGCCGAAGGCAAAUAGAAUUGGAGUACCACGGAGAAAAGCUAGCUGGAUAAACAAGACAGGGAUCGCCCGCUCGGCAAUGCUACCUUGGGGAGGAGACAAAACACUUGAAUAUAUAAACGAAUAUUCUACAGCUUUUGAGAUAUAUGAACAAUCUGACUAUGGAAGAGUUUGUGUCUGACUCAUAGCUCUAAGAUUACUAGCAUGAAUAAGCCUGCUUCAACACCACCUAGACUCUUCCAAAUAGAGAGACACCGACCUUAAAAGAACCUGGCAUUGGAUUAACUCACUCCUAAGCUCCCUAGACACUGCAAAGAAGACAUAAUUCGAACUUCCUGGUAAGGGCUGGGCGGAACGAGAAAGGAGUUUGCUAAUAGAAAGAGUUUGGGAAUGCCCCGCGUAGUUAACAAACAUCGAGUUGGGAGUCGGGGCAGCAUGUAUACGAGACUAUUGAAGUUCCGUUUGGAAUCAUUGUGUUCUUCAUAUUCCAAAAUGGGAGAAUAGCCAAGGCCUUUUUCAGCGAUUCGACGCGCCCCCCCUAAGCUAGACGAUUCACCUACCUGACCUCAGAGAGAAUGGAAUGAGUCGCCCUAGCCCUAAUCUGACUAAGAGGUUCAAUUGCUCUAUAGAAAGCCAUCCACUACUGAAUAGCCCUUAUAUAGAUUUAUCAGCCAGGUCAACUGACGCCAUCACUACACUACACUACGGUUUAUUUCGCUGUGAGAAACAAAGAAAAUGUCUGUGCAUUGCUGCUGCCAUCCAAGUUCAUUUAAGCCUUCCUUCCAUCCCUAGUUUCCCUGCUUGAGACUGUUUUUGAUUAGCCCGCCCUGGUUUGAGCCAUGGUCUACCCAGCUGUGCUUCAUAUCCUCCUUGCUCUUUGUCUAAGAUUGGACUACAGGUACCAAACGAUUGGACUGAGGGCAAUCAAAUCAGUGCAUCCUUUGUGGUUGUUUGAGAUUUGGGCUCGUAGGUUGUACGCCAGCCAUACGUAGCUUGAACUGUAAUGGCCACAAUGCGACGCUAUUGCCGAUCCCCAAGACAAGACGCCUUUGAUUGAAUGUGAACACCUGAUCCACCGUAUGCACUUCCUACAUUCACUCCCGGAGAGGAAACUAUUCACCUUAUAAAGAGCCACUAUACGAUCGGACCAGACAGGUGCAGGUAGCCGCCCGUAAUUGUCCAAUAUUGACAGCAGCUAUAGUCGCCGUGUCUUUCGUUUCGCGUAGCUCGGAUUCGUGUGGUGAGAUGAGAUCAACACCUAAUGGGCCACUUUUUCUUAGGCAUAUAAGAGAGAUCAAUAAGUUCAUUAGAGAUCAAUAAGUUCAUUAGAUUUGGGAAUCUUAUUCAGUACCGCGCUUUAGGCAGCUACACUCAGGGCACCGGGCAGCAGCGCUAGUAUAGGGAGUUACUCCACGGGCCACAAUCUGAAUCCUCCACAGGAUUUUGUUGCACUUACUUUUCGAAAGAAAGAUCACAGCCUACUGGGGCAUAAACUUGGAGCUGGAAUUAGCGACGGCUUUUGCUUUAGAAUUCGCUAGAGAACGAUGGCCAUGGAUGAAAGAAACAAACAAAACGGAAAGGCUAUUCGGUUGGAGUUGGUGUUCAGCAUGGAGGUACCGCUUCACUAGGGCUCUGCGCCCGUUCCUACUGUUCUUGACCCAAUGCCAGGUGAUUAGCUAACCUUGCCCCUUCCUUAGAAGGUAAGGGAGGUAUGGUUGGGAGGGACAGAGAGAUCAGAAACCAAAGGAAAGGGAAUAGACUAUCAAACUGUAGAUUGGAUAAAGCAUAAGCUCUGGAAGCGGAUACGCCGAUAGAGGAAGGCUAGCACACAUCAUUUAUCUAAGAAGAAGUUAUUUGUCAUGGGAAAAACGCUUUUUUCGUUGAUCUCUUACUGGCACUCGAAGCACUUGCCUUUUAGCCGUCCACUCAAAGAGGAAAAAGAUGACCGACCAACUGCUGCUUAGCUUAUCACUCUUGAGACUGGCGUGGCGCUGCUGGAUGCUUCUGAUCAAUAGGAAGAGGAGGACUGAUGAGCUGCUAUUUGAGUCGAUCAUUUCCAAGAGAUAUCACAUUCCAGUUUGAGCUUUUAUGUAGUUGAAAUGCCUUACAAUCCUAAGUGUUACGCUUAAGGUAAGAAAUGUUAUUGGUGGAUGCAGGGCUUGGGACCCCCGGAAUGGAAUUAGUAUGCAAGAUUAGCUUACUGGAGUGCCAAUCAAACACCAGUUUUUUUAGAAUAAGGUGGCUGGCCGGUGAAUCACUGAUCAAAGAGCUAGGCGAAGAAGCAUAUCGCUUUGAACGGACACCCGACUCUCUCUUAAACCUUUGAGCAUAUCUUUUACUUGGAGAUUCCCGGUCUUCUGUCUUAGCCCUGACCAUGUUCUGAGAGACUCUUUCUACUUUGUCGCACCCAGCAUCUUAGCUAUGUUCCGAAUGUCUGGUCAUUUAGAAUCCAACUCAUAGAUUCGUUUGCUUCCAACAAGAUCUGAUUGAUCACAACUAACGGGUAGUACGAGACUCUUCUAGCAGAGCGCUUCCUGAUUCAGUUGCUUGAUUCACUGGGCGCACAAGAACGCUUUGCCCCUAUUGAUUGUCCAAACCUCCCCUCACUGCUGCCUAUUCUGUAACAAGAGAGAGCAUUCGAUGCAUUUUCCUUAUUCUAUAGAAUCUAUUAUUUCAUGAGUUUCUUCUAUAUAAUCUAUUAUGUAAUGAGUUUGAGAAUCUAUUAUGUAAUGAGUUUGCUUCAAGAGUCUAUUGAAGGUUAAGGUUAGCCCUCUGACUCGGCUAGUGACACAUCAGACCUCUUUCUUUUUUGAGAAAUUCCUUGAUUUAAGCGGAAAAACCAGAGUGACAGGCCAAGCACUAACAACAAGAAUCCAACUAGUCAGCAUCAGAACCAAGCCUUGCCGUGGGCCGAGUGGGUACAGAAUUGACCUCGGCAGUCUUUAGCUCGCUACCGCGCAACACGAACAUUGGCUCCUGUUAUGAGCAAGUCCUGUUUUUGGGGCCGCUAGAGUUCCCGUUAUUACAAGUCCUGUCUUUGCCAUUCGAAUUUGCUCUUAGAAAGGAAAGGUCACUAUCAUCUCAUAUAAGAGGACGUAAGGGAAUGAUUUCACAUUAGUAAGGCAUCUUUUCUUCUUUGACAUUGUUUUCUCAGCACGGAAUCCAAUUAAGUAGUGUCAUCCGCUUUGACGACAGCUGUUAUCGCUGAAGCAUUUCCAUUGGUUAUCAGGUGGUAGGCACAGCAACAUUAGUUAUGGAAUGACCUUACCCAUCAAACAUUCUACGAAGUCAAAGGUCAACCUAUAAAUCUACGGUCUCAGACCGGCCGCCCCUAACCUUGGCUGGUUUUGAUGCACAAAAGACAAAACGGGAUUUUAUUUCCACUCAUAAGGAAGGUGAGAUACCUUUUACUGUGUGAAAACUCCCGCGGGCCCUCACCUUUCUGACUGGACGGACUCGGGGAAGGGCAAAUAUCCGACGGAGCGCACAGCCACUCAUUCGUCCUGAUCGAGUACUCGUAGCCGCUAAUCACCACGCGCAAGCCCCAUCUAGAAUUCUCGUUUGCUUUAUCGAACUUUGCUUGAUGUUGGUUGGCCCCCUCUUUGAAACCAUCGACCAGCAAAGCGAUACGGCACUUACAUAAGAGCACGAAUAAGAACGCAGGCAGCGGCAAAAGAGAAGACCGACCCAGAGCGAAACUUGAAUGAAGGUUGCUUGCUGACUCCUAGUAUAGUAUGAAGGAAAUCUCUUGACUUCGCUUAUGCCCUUAUUGCCCUGAUGCAGUAAAGAAAGCAAGUGAGGCGGGCGUCGAUUCCAUUCUGAGUAACGUUACAGGAUUCGAUCCAUCUUCCACUCUUCUCUGGAUUCCGAGUUUCUAGAGAAAAGGUCCCAUCAAUAAAUAUCAUGAUUGGGUCGACUCGACCAUGAAUAGAAAAUAGAAAACGGAAUUAGUUGAUUGGACAGCAACUCGAUUUAGCUUCACGGUCUGAUUUCUGUCCUGUCUUAUUCCGAGUAGCCGCCCUUAAUACAGCUCGCCCUCAACCCCCGACCGCUUCGUUGCUUUUAGGUUCGACUCCUUCAAAGACAAAAGACAACCUGGAUAAGUCUCAUUCGAUGUCGCAACCGAUGCUUAAAACAGAUGAAUCGAUCUUCUCAGUCAAGUCUUCGAGCGAUCAUUCUCUGCUUCAAAUAGGAGGGGACUUCCUCCACCUAAAGGUUAUGAUCCUUACUUAACAAAAAGACCUCCCAUAGGACUGGACUCCUCUCGAGCGUUGUUUCUAUCUACAUUAAUAGGAAUAAAGAAUUGAUUAAUGCCACAGAAGCCUUACUCUUUUGGUGUUCACUUGUAAGCUUUCGUUCCACUCCUUUCCAACUCAGGUUCAACACCCCUUUGAUCCAGGGCUGCAGAUAGGUCUAGAGAACCGAACUGUCUCACGAUUUCCUUACGGUUAGCUACACUUUGCACAAUUCACGUAUCACUUGAGUAGUAAGGCACUAGUUUCUUCAAGGAGGAUCCGUUGAAGAGUGUCUGUUGUCUUGGUAGGGAAGAGUUCUAUCUUUUCCACAAUAUGAUAGAGUCCUUUAGAAACGAAUACGAAUGAGAUCAAAAAAGCUCUGCCGAGGCUCGAAUAGAAGAUGAAACGACCCCACUGGAAUUGACUAGUAAGUUAUAGCUUGAAGUUGAAUUGACUAGUGAAGUUAUAGCUGUAAGGUUCGCAGAAUGACCGAUGGAACCAACCGAAUCCACUCUCGUGACAUGAUCGAAGCCACCACUUUGCCGUCUUUUUAGUCAUUUUCGCAUUUCCUCUAAUAGAAGUUAUGGCGGAAUGCUGCAAAUCCACGGCCGUGCCCCUCCACACGUUCUCAAACCGAUCGCCGGAGGAUUGAUUUCUCUUUCACUGCCUACUUUCGACACUGCCUACUAUCGAUACUGCCUACUAUCAUCAAUUCAUUCUUUCUAGCAUCUCCUGUCUGCUACUGUUACUCAUAUUCAUAGAAUUCCUUCUAGCAUCUCCUAUCUGCUACUGUUACUCAUAUUUAUAGAAUGGAAUAUAGCACAAUAUAGAAGAACAGAAAAGGAAUGGAAUAUAGCACAAUAUAGAAGAACGGAAAAGCCCUUCUGACUCAGCUAGCUAACGUUGCUUGUUUGUUCUCGCUACGAGUAAUAGGAGUGGGGUUUGGUUACUUCAUUCCAUAAUAGGUGGCACAACAUCUCUAUUCCAUUUCUCCACUUAAGUAGACCGCGCUUAAGGCAAGAAGUACGAGUAUCAGGAUACCUAGUCUUGCACCCUUGCUUGUUUUUCAUUUCAUAAGUCACACGUAUUCCAUAAGCUUCUUAGGUUCAAUGCCUAUUCCUCUAUUUCAAUGCCUAUGCCUCUAUGUGUAGUAAAUCUCCCUCGCUUCAACCUAUGCCUUUUCUUUCUUUAAGUCUAGGAUUCGGCUGCGGAUAUGAGUUCAACAUGUAAGCAAUCAGGAGUCAGUUACCUUAUUUCUAUUAGUUUCGGAAUUAAGUGAAGCGUGAGCCUUCUUUUGAAGCAAUGCAUUGGUAGAGUGAAGUUACAUUUAUCUAUAUUGUGCUAGAGUUUUCUUAAUUCUCUAUUCUUAAAGCAAGGGAAAGAAGAAAGUACCCUUGUAUAGAGUUCGGGUCAAUAACUGAGUUUUGAAGCGAUGUUGUAUGUUGUUUACUUGAUUCUCUCUGCUGCUGAGCGCUUCAUUCUUUUCUUUCUAAAAAGUGAUAACGUCUCGGUCUUUUGUUACUGUAGUAUAGAACAGGUGUACUCAAAGGGGCGAACUCCCACCUGCAAGCUAGAGCAGUACAAUCAGUUCCAUUUCCUGUUUCCUAAGUGAGAAUUAGUGAAACUACUAGGGGCAAGGACAGCCAUCAUCAAAGUUCAGUUCCAAUCGUAUAGAUAAGAAGCGGUGAAAAAGGAAGCUGCAAGCACAGUAUAGAAUUCAUUGGGUAACAAGCACCUAUGACUCCGGGGGAUUAACCUCAAACAGAACAAGCAAAAGAAAAGCGCUAACAAGCAAGGACUUAUUGAAUGGAACUAUACGACUUGCUUGCUCUCUUGACUCUAAAGAAGAAAAUGUUCGCCUUGUGCCCACUGCUGGAAUCAAAGAAUUGAAUGCACUUCACCCAUUGUAUAGAAGAAAGGUAAAAACACACACUGUAUUGCUUCCAACAAGCUGCAACGGCAAACCGAAACUCUAGCUAUACCACCUCACAAAUGGGUAUCUGACCAAAUCCAUCUCCAAAAUAGGUACCGGACCCAAUCUAUCUCCGUGGAACCUGUGCUAAGUACGCAGGCUGAGCUAUGCCCGUGACAAAGAAAUAGUAGGUCUAUCUAAUCAAUCAUAUUCUUGAGAGAUAAGAAUUCUCCCGUUAGCCGAAAACAGAACUCCUACUUAAGCUGAAGUAAGGAACUCCCCGUAAGCUGAGGACAGGAACUCCCCGUUAGCACAAUGUCUUACAAAAGAGCUCGUUAACGCUGUAGUCUAGAAUUCAUUUCACUAACAACAACGUCUUGCCCGAACUUUAUAACGCGAUCGGAUUAAUCACUUGUACUCAAUUCUUUUCUUUUCAAUAGGGAUAGGGAUGCCUCAAUUCUGAAAGCUAUAGGGAGUUUGCAUAAACUUCUCUAACUCGGUGCCCAGCUUAGUAACACCCAUUUGUGAAACUCUGCUAACGCUUAUUCGAGUGCUUAGAAGGAGGACGAGGGAAGGAGGACGAGGGCGAAGGUUUAGUCUAAAGUAAGUAGCGCAAGUCCGCCGCUGAGUCAGCAUCUAAAGAGUCCGCAUCAGCAGUGGAAGCAGUGCUAGUGCUGUCUCCAAGAAUUCAGAGCAGGGAACAGGCUACGCGGAAAAGGCUACUACUAGUUAGGCAAAGGCAAAGAGACCAGCAACUACACCUUAUGUGGAACCUAAGAAAUAAUACUUCUGGGCUGGAAAAGACCUAAGACCUGCGUUAGCACUAGGGCGAAAGAGAGUGACUCUACCACUUAGCGAAAUCAAAGAAUUACCACUCCACACUUCUUUGUUCCGUUGCUUUUAGAAUAGAGGAGAGUGUACAACUAAGGGAAUUAUGUAAUCUUACUGCUGACUUACUUAUUUGCUUUAAGAAGACCUCUGCUUUGUCACAAGCAUCUGAACCUCUGCUUUGUCAAGCAUCCUCACUACAGGCAGGGCUAAGCAGUUAUUCUUUCUUUGAUGCUUUCUUUAGUUUGCUAGCUUUACUUAUUCUGUUGCUUGUUGACAUUAAUCACUCAUAUCGUCGCUGGUUGCUCUUCAAAGAGAUGCUGACCCUCUGUUUGAUAGCUCAGCUGUAAGCGUCCUAUACUAUCCCGUAGCUCAGUAAGCAUCCUAUCCUACCUAUUUAUUAGUAGCAAAGAGAAUCCUACCCAUAUAUUCCAAGAGAAUCCUACCUAUAUAUUCGUAUUAUUAUAAUUAGGAGCGGGUCUAAGCGCAAAGAGAUCCUAUUAUUAGUAUGGAAACGGUAUUAUGGGUCGGGUCUAUGUUCUUAAUCAAAUAUGCAGGUCUAUGUUCUUAAUCAAAUAUCAAUUCUAAGAGCCUAACAAGCCACCUAGUUCCAUUUAAAAGACAAGCAUUGAGGUUAGCUUACAAAGUCCUAUACCAUGUGCUCGCAAGUAUGGUUUUCAUCAUCUGUCUUAGUUGGUGCCGGGCAAGAAUCGAGUCAACAGGCAAGGAAGCCAGGUGUACUGAUUACAACAAUCUUUCUUUGAGUGCCAAGGAAAGGAGACUCUAGAAUAUGAAUCAGCGGUAUAAAAUACGGGAUCAUCCGCAGCAAUUGAAAGUAGAGUACAAAGGUGCCAGUCUUUCUGAAAGUCGAAAUAGGGCGCUUAUGUCUAAGUAAUCAAGGAUGGUUCUUGGCGCAAGUGCAAGUCCAGGAAUUUCCAUUUAUUAAUUCGGUUCCACAAGUCCUGUUCUCUAAUGUUCUGGUUCUCUAAUCUUCUGCGCUAAAAGAUUUUCGUGACUCGGGCCAACAAGAACUAGUGCAUCAGUGGCGUCGGUAAGGUGUUUUAGGAGUUUCAAUUGACAUUAAAUAAAGUCUUCCUUAACUGACUGCAAACUCGGCCCAAGAUUUCAUUACUGUUUUUAUUGGCGCAAGAAGGUAGUCUUGUCUUGGUAUAGAAAGUCGGUAAUAAGAGUAAUAGAUAUAUUACCAAGUUAAGCUUUCGGUCCUGUUGACAGUGUUGCGGCGGUACAGAUGAAGGCGCUAGUAAGUUCAGUUCACCCUUUGCCUCAAUUCGUUAUGAAAGAAAAGAGUAAUAUCCGGAGUUUAGUUACUGGAUUUAUAGGUUUAGUACUCAAUUAUCUUCUUGUUGAGUUAGCAGUUCGGUUAGAAAGAAGCAGUCCUUUAGGUUACUCAAUCAUAUGUCCUUUAGGUUACUCAAUCAUAUUAGGUCAUGCUCUUAUCUUAUCUGUAUAGUAGCUUGUUCCGGGCGCAUUAGCUUAUUCGACUUAUAAGGGGCUAGUUAGCUUACUUCUUGGGUGCUAACGGAGCUUCAAAAGUCAUAAGUUAGUUUGUGCCUGCAGUAAUCAGUGUUUUGAGGAUCUCCUAAUAUGUAAGCUGUUCGGUUACUUGAUUGUAAGCAGUGAAGGUUCCACAUAGUAUAGGGUUAACUCCAUUCUAUUCUUUAGCUCGACUCGCGGUUGGAACUUAUUGGAGUGGAAAGCAAGGACGCAAGCAAAGGCAAUAAUUCUGUACUUUGGGGAUUGAGUAUCGGGAUAGGGUUCGUCAGCGAGGGGAAGAGUCUGUUGUGUUAGAUUACUUUCCCAUAGUGACAUAGUGAGCUGCGUUAGAUUACCGAGUUCUAUAAUAGGAGAGCACCAAAUUCCAUUACUAAGUGUUGUGAGGUUACCGAACAAGCAACGAACCAAACUACUACAUAGAAAGUAGCGCUUACGCGAGUUACAAUGACUAACGCUAUACAUUAUACAAAGCUUGUUCCUCGAGAGUACGCAGUGUUAGAGCAACGAGUAAUUGAGUCUUAAGUUGGUCAAGAGUGGAGUAUUUUCAUUAUAUAAUAUGUGUGGGUCAGUACAAAUCUUUUUGAGCAGAGGAGUUAACCGUUACGCAUUAGUGUUCAGCUGAAAUGUGAGAUUAUUAAAGCCGUUCAGAUCCAAUUCUAAAAGCUUAGGCGCGUUCAGAUCCCAUCCCAUUCUUAAAGCUUAGGCGCGUCAAUAAUGUAUGACUUUAGCCUAGCCUUCAAUGUGCCUAGCAGAGUUCCUCAAGUCAACAGUGCAUUUUAGAGAGUGAGCUGACUAUGCUUAUAGAAGAUGUUUGACUUAUAUGAAACGCUAUAGGGUUGGUAGCUUGUUUGUGCGUUAAGGGUUAGCAAAGCAAGAAUGGAGUACUUGAGUAUUUGGUAAAGCCCACUCAGCUCGAUGUCAAGUGCAUUUGGUAAAGCCCGCUCCGCUCGAUGUCAAGUUCCUGUUUUGUAUAGAGAAGGCGCCGAUAUUCAAUGGCCUUAUAGUCAUUCGCGUUAGUAAGCUCUGCACUUUCGCCCUUGCUUGUUCCCUAUAGCGCUAGUUAGUAUGCCGGAGGAAGUGGAAACACUAGAAUGGUCAUUAUGUCCUGUUAGUAUAGGAUCUAUCCGCCUCAAUUCUUAAAGCCAGGUGCGCCUCUAUGUUUUUUACAAAAUGAAGGAAUAUGCGCUAUCCGGAUAGAUUCAAUUCAACGUUGCUCAAUCAGUAAUAAACCAACUAUUCUAUUUCUUUGUAGUCUAUCCUUGGGUGCGCCGAGAUUAUAUUCUUUGACUUUCCGGGCGAAACUGUGAUAGUGAUGGUAGCGAAUUACUAGAAGGCCGGGCGAAACUGUGAUAGUGACAUUUAGCUGACUUUUGUUUGAGAGUGCUAAGGAAAAACGAGUGGUAGAGAAUAAGCUUUAGGCAAGAAAUUACGUACUAGCGCUUGGCAACUCCCGUAAGCGCUACUUUCUUAGUUGUUUGUUCCCUUAACUAGAACAUUAGGACAAAGAGGCAGAGUGGAGAGAAGAGAGAUUGACUUUGCUCACCAUAGGAAGAAUGGGAUGGGCAGUGAACGGAAUGUGUCUCAUAUUUCCACUUAUAGUAGAAUGAAUGAAUGUGUCUCAUAUUUCCACUUAUAGUAGAAUGAAACAGCAAACCGAGGUACAAAAAAGCUAGCCUAACCUUGCUCUUGCUUUCUUCGCAUCCAAGCACUAUUAGAUAGAAAUGAACCCAUAUGGACUAGAGAAAUAGGGGAGCCCCGGCUGUGUAUCGCACUUAUUCUGUAUAAAGAUGAGUCUCUAUGGUAAAGAUGCCUCUAAUCUGUGUCCACUCUCCAAAUUCUAUCGAUAAAGGGCCUAUGUUAUCUAUCUUAUCUAUUUUAUGCCUAAUCCAGCCUAUGUUGAACCAAGCUAUAGAUUGUUGAAGGCCUAUGUUGAACCAAGCUAUAGAUUGUUGAAGCAAGAAGAGAAUCAUAGAUUGAUGUCACAUAGUUCCAUGUUGUAUAUUAGAUUGCUGCAUUGAUUUCCUCUUCUAUAGGGGUCUGUCUGUCUCAUCGGACACCUAUUGCUUGGCCGCUUGCUUUACCAAUGGCUUUCAAGGACGUUAUUGAGAGCGGAGUCCAAACCAAAACUCAUUCAUUCAUUUAGAAAAUACUAGAAUAGCGCUGAAUUAGUUGGUGGCAACCAGGCUGAAACAGCCGAGACCCGACCCAACACCAUAUAUCCUCUUCAUCACAGGAAGAAGGUAAAUCCAUGUAGUUUCUUGAGUUAUAUCGAUGGUAAUCAACGAGAAUAGAAAAAGAAGGCUUGCACAGCUAGGCAGACGGGUCUCUCGCGCCGCCACUACUAUACAUCGAAGGAACAGAACAAAUCAGAAUUUCGAAGACAAGACAGAAGAAAUCAGAAUUCGCAUGGUGGUUUGGAAAGAGAAGAUUGAAGCCCAGCAACAUACUUGGAGUUUUCAUAUACAUUGCCUAGUCAUAAAUGUCGAUACAUCUGACUAAACUAUUCUUGGUCGUCCGCACGAUCAUCACAUGGUGCCAUCCACUUAUCACCAAUGCAUAUCAUACCCCCGCGCCCUAGGAUUGGUAGGCAUAGUGGCGGACAAUGAUCCGGGCUUAAGCUUAUAAUUAAGAAGCCCUAUAAGCAAGCAAGAAGCCCUAUAAGCAAGCGAAGAAAGAAAGAAAAAGGAGAAAGAAGCGGUAAAAGGUUCCAAUUAGGAAAGGAAGCGAGACUCCACUAGAAAUUAGACCUUCCGUCCAUGUCCCUAGGUCCAAAAGAGAAAAGAAAGGGGCUAGAACACUGAAAAUCAACCCGAGGCGAGAGAAACUAUCCUAUUAAGGAAUUGAUCUGUUGUGUGGUGUAGACCGAAAAUCCAUUGAAGGGUUUCUGCCAUCUGUAACUACGAGCGCACGCACCCCUGAUCAGUGCAUUGGGAUGUGUCUAUUUCUAUCUUUUGACUCGAAAUAGGAGAGAGCUGGUUGGAGAAAAAGGAUAUUAGAGUUGAUAGGGUAUCUCUUGACUCGAAAUAGGAGAGCUGGUGAGUUUGAAAAAGGAUCUUAGAGUUGAUAGGGGUAGCCUUCGAUUCUUUCUUUCCAUCAGAGUUAUUUCACAAAGACUUGGUCAUGGUAAGGGAGAAGGGGGGGGAACAAGCACACAUGAAGAGCGCAGUAUAACGAAGAGUUUGAUGCUGCCGUUCAGGAAGGUACCAAAAUGAAUCUAGUGAAUCUAUCUCAAGGUGUGGGUGCGAUGAUUUACUUUGACUUCACGGGCGAGGUAAGGGAGAAAAAGAAUGGAAUAAGCAUCUGACUCUUUCAUGCAUACAAAACUUGGGGCGAUAUUGCUCCGUUGGUAUAACUCUGCUCUUGAUAUUGGGUCGUUCCGAUUACGGGUUAGAUGUCCAAUUGUCAAGGCGGUAAGAAAUCAUCUAGUAAGAAAGAAGAAAGGCGGUAAGAAAUCAUCCAGUAAGAAAGAAUUCAGAAUAUAAAGAAAUAAGAAAUACAUAGAAUAGUAUAAUAUAAAUAAAGAAUAGUAUAAUAUAAAUAAAGAAUAGUAUAAUAGAAUUCAAUAAGAAAUAAUAGAAUAGUCAAUAAGAAAUAAUAGAAUAGUAUAAUCAAUAUUGUAAGAAAUAAUAGAAUUGUAUAUUGUACCUGAACCCGUGGCUCACUUUUCUAAGUAAUGGGGAAUAGGACCGCGCUGAAUGACUCCACUGAUACAAAAAGAGAGGCUGAACGUAGAGGAGGUGCGUUGGUCUAAUCUAGUAUGGAUCUACCAUGGACGAUAGUUUGAGUAAGCGGCUCUCCUGGGGUUAACUCAUCUGGUAUCCCAGGGGCAGAGAAGAGGAUCAAGUUAGCCCUUGCGAAUAGCGCACACUAUAGCACCUUAACCCUUUGAGCGAAAUGUGGCAAUUAACCCUUUGAGCGAAAUGUGGCAAAAGGAAGGAAAGGAUAGGAUAAUUCAGGGACCUUCGUCUCCACCCACCCCGUAGGAACUACGAGAUCACACCAACCAAGGACGUCUGCGGCUUCCAGGGGUCACAGACAGACCAUAGACCUAGUUCAAUAAGUAUAACGCAUUAGCAGUCUGCGGGCAGUAAGGGUAGCCGAAGGGCAAUCACUAGUUCUUAACGCCCAUUCUUCAGACCAAAGAAAGAGUCGGGCGGGAGGCCAGUUCUACUUUAGCUGUAUUCUACGGAAGCACAAGAAUCUUUAGAAUAGGAUUCCCACUCUGAGCACCACCCCUUUUCUAUUUACUCUGAGCACCACCCCUUUUUCUAUUUGGAGAAAAGAAAGAAGAGUUGUUCUCGAAAGAGCACACAGAUUCAAGUUGUAAGCUGUGUUCGGGGGAAGUUCUUGUUUGUCUAUCGUUGGCCUAUAUAGUAUAAAGAAUACGUCGGGGAGGCCUGAGAGGCGGUAGUUUACCCUGGGGCAGAUGUCAACGGUUCGAGUCCACUUAUCUACAGCCCGUGAACUUCACUGAUACUAUAGAUAAGAUAGCUACCCUCCAAUUCGCCAGCCUAUCUUGGGGUUAGUAAAGGCUAUUCGAUUUCGCAUUCAUAGAAGUUGGUUGAGAAGAUCCUUUUCCAUUUAGAAUAGAAGCACUGCACCGUGCACAGUAUUAACAACCUUAAUGGUGAGGUUCAGAAGAAACGAAGGAAGUCGAUACCGGGGCACCCAGAGAAAAAGAAGGGCAAUGCUUUGGAGAGUUUCCAAUUAAUAGAGUAGGGCCCCAACUAGUAUAAAUGCCCCAACAAGUAGUUUAGUAGUAGAGUAGCCCAGUGGCAUCUGUCUUUAUUCGAGUGCAAUUCUUUAAUGAAAUACCAGAUGUGGAAGAUUGGUCAUAGUCAACUUCUAGGAGUUGGCAAAGGAUCUGAACCAGUGCAGUUAGUAGUCAAGUUUACAGGUAAGGGAUAGCCUCUUUCUCUUGUGCCUCUGCUCCGGACUCUCAACUUAUGGAUACCGGUAACGCUUCUGCACUCUUUACUUAAAUGAAAGUGACAGGGAUUCCACUAAUGCCACUAGUAGUUGCUCGACCUAGUCCACUCCUUGAUAAGAUUAAGAUAAGGUAGUAGUUGCUCGACCUAGACCACUCCUUGAUAAGAUUAAGAUAAGGCCAUAAUAAAUAGGCUAGCGCAUCUAGUAGAACACUUAGAAUUGAACAAGUCAGUAAUGGAUUUCAAGCCCUUAAGUAAUUGGGAAAGUCUUCGAGAUAACUUAUUGUCUCCCUCGACAACCCAGUCCAAUUCCAAUAAGGGGGGCAAGAUAACACAGAUCUUAAAUUGAAGUGGACCCCGCCUUUCGAACUACUUCUUCGUUACUAAUCGACCCUGUCCUGAGUUAACCUGGUGACAAACAAUAGCUAUAGGUAUGAUAGAAGUAGAAGCGGGUAAGUACCCUGCGCUCUUCACAAAGCUAGUGGGAGUAGGAGCAUAACCAGUAACAUCUCUUAUCAAAAAGUAAGACCAGAUCUGAGGAGAGAUUCUCAAUUCACGCGAACACAGGACUUGUAAUAACUCUUAGAGCUCGAAAACAUCAAACUACUAAGCUUGUCUACUUGCCUGAUAGCUUGAAUAGCUUCCCUUGACUGACUACCUCUCAUUGUGCACCCUUUCUUAUUGAUCAAUCAAAGAAUAGCUCUCAUAUACAGAAGGAAAUUCUGAUUAGUAACCUUAAGCAGGGCAGACAACACACCUGAGAGGAGAAGCUUAGAUAAGGAAUCAGCAAAGUAAUCAGCAAGUUAAGAAACAGUUAGGUAACAACAUUAUAUCAGUGGUGCUCCAUAGAGAAAUCAAUAUUUGGUUCCUCUGCGCCUAGAAAGCACAACAGAGUAAAUAGAUGCUUCACACACCGCUACGUCCACAUGGGCAUUCUCUUAGGCUUCGGCUUCUUUCUUUUCUUGAUACAACACAACAAAACAAACGACCAAGCUUAGGCGCAAGACUGCCAGACAAGCAUACAAGCAGACAUGUCGGUUCUUCAAGUAUUGUUUCGGGUGCGAGUGUUUCAUCCGUUUUUCGAGUUUCAUUCUGAGUUGACUACUUGGUAAGGGAUAUCAGGUCUUAUACUCCGGUACUACUUAGAAGAAUAAUGGGGCUAACCGGUCUUCUACUCUGGACUCCUGUAUUGGUAUUAUAACUCCUUUCACUCCGGACUCUGGAACUUCAACUAGUCAUCAAUAACCCUUUGAGUUAACCCCUAAACUUCUUAUAUAGACCUCUAGUGUUAACGCCUACCUUUACUCUUUUACCUACCUAUCCCCUUUCUUGCCUAACUCUGUUCCUUGGUUCAAGAUUCUACCUUGCCGACCUCGACCUUACUUUCCAUUGGCACAACUAAAAGAAUUCACUGAUGCUUAUGCACAGAAUGAGAUUGAACUGAUUUAACUACAACUCUAGAAUUCAGGAAUACACCCUCCCUUCUCUUAAUAGCAUUCUUGAGUAGCUCACCUAUCAACCUCGGGCUUACAAUCGAGCUAAGGCAUUUAAGUCAGUAGGGGAAGUUGGAAAGCCCGCUUUUAGAUUAGUAGUUUCAGGAUUGUCGUUAGUCGGUCGCUUGUCCCGUAGCUUGGUGGCUAGCUUCUGUGCUUAAGGCCUAUCGUUCUUAUCCUUAUUAUUAGAUGAAUAUGGAUUGCUUUCUUUAUUUCCACUGUGCUUCCGAUACACUACUUAGUUCAAUUCUGAGUGUGGUGUUUGAUAUUCUUCUAUACUGUUAAUUCUAUUGGUCUUGUAACUAUGAGUUCAUUUCUUUAUUGAUAGCUUCUUUCUUAUUAGUUGACAUUGCUAGUUUAGUUAGUUUGGGCGAACCUCGCACAUGGGCAUUGAAAGCAGUGCAGUUUAGGCAGUAAGUUAGAUCUUAGGUUUGGAGCGUAAGAGUUAAAGCACUGGGAGUCAAGGUAAUAUAAGGGAUAGGCGCUAUGAGAGUUGGUAGCGUGAAUGCGAUUAAGCAGUAAAAGCCCUAUUGAGCUAAGGUGUUAUUGGUAUUGGUUCAGUGCAGCCUUGUUAGUUACUGUUGCAUUCCUGGGUUUAUUAGUUUAUGAUAGUUAUCCAGCAACUCGAGUCUUGUUGGCAUUGAUUGAAUUCUUUUUUCCAUAGGUGAAGUCUUGCUAAGCACUAGUUCCGCCUUGCCUUGGAAGCAAAGAAGUCCGGAUCAUAGGUGAACUACAGGAAUUAGGUAAGUAAUGCCAGGCUAAUAGCUAUUAGUGGGAUUCCUCAUUUCAAGUUCCAGUAUUGCCCGGAGUAGUUCUCUUCUUAUUGGCAGUAGUAUAAGCCUUACCGGUACUCGUUCAAUUCUUUCCCAAUGUGGUUCACAAAUAUGAAAGCCUUGUGUGUGAGCAGCGGGGAUCUGGUUAAGUGGUUAGAGAAUAAGAUAAAGCAAUAGGAGACUGAAAGUACUUUAAGUAAUGCUAUAAAACAUAGAAUAGGGACUAACAGCAAGCAAGGGGCUCGGAAAGCUGCAGUGAAAGCCAGGGUUAUGUAGUGGAGUAUGACUCGUAUAAGGUAUAUUCUUGUUCUCAGUGGUAUUGGUAGCGCAUAGUUGAGUUUGCUAGAAACGAUAAUAAGAGUGAGAUCAAGUAAGGGCUGUUUAUGUGUAAGUAAAGGCAGAAUAAAAGACAGUAAUAUAAGUUUGUGAGGCACUAAGCUAGGAUCCGAAUCAGUAGCCCUAGAGUAAAAGCUUGUAGAUCUAUUCUCAUCAGCAGCAGUGAAAGCCCCAGCUAGUAGGACAAAUGUUGUUGGCAUCAGUUUUCUUCAAUUGGGGUGGCUUGGCUCUAUUCUAAUUCUCAGCAGAUUGACUCUUGUUAUAGUAGGCUCUAUUCUUAGCAGGAUCCAUUCCAUCCUUGUAUUGACUAUAUAUCUCGUACCUAUGACAUUGUCUAAAGAAGAAAGUACAGGCGCAUAGGUGGAAGCGCCAGGAUCCGCGAGAUAGUCAAGUAAGUCUGAGUUUGCUGGGGAUGUUCCCCGUUUCCGGCUGCUGUCUUCCAGUCUUUAUUCCUAUAGGUUGAUACUCACUUUACUACCAGAAAUGCCCGGGGCUCGCUUCCCUAGGUCUAUCCUCCCUCGCUUUGAGGCUGUGCAUUACCAGUCUUUGAUUCCAGAUCAGCAGUUACAGAAAUAAAGACAAGAAAGCAAGUAAGUUGUUUAAGGAGUUAGAGUUAGGCUCGAGCUGCAACAGUGAAUUCUGAUCAAGCAGGGGUUUGAUUCCCGCCCCAGAUCCAUAGUAUUGUUUACAUUAAUAUCAGAUUGGAUUCCAGGGCUCGCAGGUGCUAGUUAAAGAAAGAGAAAGUCAAGGUAGGCUAACAGUGUUAGGUAGUUGUGAAGAAUAAGAGUAAGUCAAAUAAGCUUUAAGGUCAAUAAAGCAAGGUCAGCGUCAGCUGCUGGCUGCUGGCUCAUUCUGAAAGUGACAUAAAUGAGUCUGUUAGCGGACCCCGGGGCACUUGGUCUUUGUUCGUUCGCGCAUCAGUCAACGUCAACUCCGCCUUGAAAUAACAUAACAAAGUCUGUGGAUGGUUGCUUUUAGUGUCUCAUCGCGCCCACUCUACUCGGCAAGGUAAGUUUAGAGAUAGAAUCCGUGUGUGUGUUACGUUGAGUAGAUAAAGAUCCCUUUUGAACCUAGUGUAGCUAAGCAAACUACAAAUAUCAAAUCGAAUAUCAAUCUAAUACGAUAAAACACAUUCUACUAAAUAGAGCUAAGUAAUGCCAAUCAAAGAGUAGAGUGCUGCCCGCCUGCGAAAGAAAAGAACUAUACCCCUGUAGGAACUAGAACCUUGCUUGUUAGAUCAAACCAGCUACUCUGCUUUCUCAUUCCUCGAAUCCGCUCUCGAUGACUGGGACUAAGCCCUCCAAUUACUAUGGUUCCCAUUACUAUGUUUCUCAUGCCUAUGUUUCCCAUGCGGGUAGAGGUCCGCUACUCCUUUAUUGAAAUAGAACUUUACUGCAUCUCGGGCUUAACUAACUACCGGAGACAACCCUACCGCUAUAAUACUUUGACUACUAACCCUCAGAUCCAACUACGCCUAACAACUUUCGCUACUGCAUCUAAAGCGACAACUCCUAUCUGGCCUUAUACUACAUCCUGACUUGAAAACUCCAAUUCCCGACCUCAGAUCUGGCUUCUUAGCUCUAGUCUUGUGCUUGCCCAUUGCAUUCUUUCUUGUUGGUUUCAAACUUCAACUGUCCUAACUUUCAUUCCGUAGUUCUCUUAUCAGUCUUAAAAGCAGCAUUGAAAACCUUAUUUCUCCCCGUAAGCGCUAGUGCAAAGUCCGAGUGUUGAGCUAAAGUCUAAUAGAACUAGUUAAAGCCUAAAAGCUGUAUAGCAAAACCCCGGUUGAUCCUUGUUGUCAGUAGUCGAAGCCUAGAAGCAACCCUCGGCGCCAGAUCAUACCUUUCUGAGUUUUAGUGCUUUAUCAGGAGCAGCUAUAGCCUUGGUUCCUUGUUCUAUUCCGCUACCUAUGAGUUCGAUCCACUUCGAUUCCCGGUUGAUUUGUUUGAUUCUGCCUUGACUUACCUCUGCUCCUAUGUUUGAGCCUGUCUUUCCCGGGGUCUCUCCUCUCUAGGUGCUGAAAGCCUAUGAUGAGAAGACAGGCGAUAUAGAGUAGUAAAGCAUCCUUUCUAAAUGUGGAGCUGAUUGGAACCUCCUCCCAUUGGUGAAACGGAAACGAUCUUUAGCAAUCGUGGAUUGGUGUUCAGUAGUAUAUUAUUCUAAAGUAAAGAAGUCGUUCCGUUUAGGCGGGCAUUUCUUAAGGAGACGAGCGUGCAACUACAACAAGUCACUUGAUUUCUGUUUCCGAUCCCCGAGUUCAGGUAUUCUCAUGAAUCUACGGAAUGACAAGAGUAGGGACUACCCUCAUACUAGCCUCCGCUCAUUGGAAAUCAAAACCUGGGCCUCUUUACAUCAAACAAAAACAACAAGGUAGGGACGAGGUUUCUGUGAUCGGAGCUUACAAAAUGGAAGGUUGGUGAACAUUCCGAUCCCGGACUUUUGGCUACCUUACUAAAACCUUAAAAUGAGGUAAGGGCUGCCCAUUAUAUAUGGGAAAUAGAGGCUAUCACGGCCUAACCAAUAGACACCAUUCUAGCUCCACACGCGGUCUAAACUCACUAUAUUCCCCGACUCCUCACUUUCCGUGGAUUAGCUAGCUGCCUUACUUAGUGAAAGUGUCUUCGACUUAAAGCAAUCAAUCAUGCGUACCUUCUUGCUGUGUGGCUUGCUUAAGGGGUAAGGUAAAUUAACAUCUCUAGUGGUCCUACUUACCUUAACAUCAAGGUUCAAACGAAAGAAAGAGAGCGGAGCACGGGAUUCUGGCUUUUUCACAGGUAAGGGGAAUCCUUUGUAUAAGAUGCUUUCAUUAUAUAUGAAUAGAAAGAAUACAUCUUUCCGGAUGGUCUUGAUUUCUAAAUAAGAAAAGAAAGAGAAAUUCGAAAGAAUACAUCUUUCCGGAGGGUCUUGAUUUCUAAAUAAGAAAAGAAAGAGAAAUAGGCUUAUGUGCGUAUUGAAGUACGUGCACUUUCCUUUGUUCAGGAAAGCUUUCUUUGUCUUGAAGAUGCAAUGUUAAUCAAUAACGUCUUGUUCUGACCAAUCUAUGUUCCCGCUGUGAAGAAAAGAAAACGGAAGAGAAAAGAGCAGACUGGAAUAAGGACUUGGUAAUAACUCGUUCUGACGCCGACGAAGAAAGGACCAAGUAGCUCAUUCCCUUGUCCAGACAGUAAGACAUCUCCUAGAAAGGCUGCUUGCUAUAAGGGAAGGAAGUAGGUAAGCAGACUGGGGAGUUGGGCUUGCACCUACUUCUCCUUUACCGAAAAAAGGAAAAACGAUGCUAUACCCUAGAGUGGGGAACAAGAGUCAGAGAUCAGGGUAACAGAUCUCAGAGCAGGUUACGACUACGAAAGUGGAUAUAAUCUGUCUUGGCCUCUGAGGAAGGCAGCUAAAAGGGGAGCGGGUAUUGAAGAGCCUCGAAAGUCAGAUGGGACAGUUAGAGAUUUAGCGGCACGAGGGUAAACGGCAAGGUACGAGAGGAAGAUCCAGAGGGUAUACUUCUAAUGCAGGCAUGCCAUGAGUUCAUGCGAGGUUACUGUUUUCUACCCGUGAGGUUCGGGCAAAGGCAUAUGAGUUCCGGCUGAUACUCUUUGGUAGUAGGAUACUAAAUACAUCAAGCAGGGUUCCAAUCAAACAAUUAUAUAGGAUCGAUUGAGUAGAGCAUGUGCACACGGCCACCAGUCGUUUCUCAUGGGCUUGGAAGCUUGAAGUGAGAGAUCGGAUCGGACGCCAAUGGUUAUACCUGCUACAAACCUUCGAUUCUUGCUUUAGAAAUACGACCACAUAAAGUAGAGACUAACCAUCCAUUAUUUCAUAGUCGUAUGUUAUUAAUCCACCUUAGUUGUCCAGUUCACUUGUAAGAUCAAAGAGUAUAUAACUCUUUCUUCAACACUCCGGUCAAAGAGACCUCUCCAUCCAUAUAUCCAACAGGUGGGUCUCGGUCGUGAGGGAGUACGCUCAAUUUGUUCCGAUGAGCGCCUCGAAGUUCAGGCCUUAGGUUUUACAAAGAUCAGUAUAGUGUGUGAGGUGUCAUAUAUGAAUUAUUAGCACAAGAUUGGAAUUGAUCCGCUGAGUGACAAGUCUGCUAGUGACCAACCAUCGAGUAAAGCUAGGAGCACGCCGAGAACCAAUGGCUUAAGAAACUCAUGCCACAACAAGGGGUGAUGAAAGACUCGUCAGAUUAUUCUCACAGCGCUUCUAAACUAUGCUAAUCGGUCACUUCACUAUGAAAAAGGGUGUAUUUUCUGUCUUUCGUGCUUGCCACGCCGCACAAUAAGAGGGCUUGCUUUGCUUCUUCUUUCGCCGCUUCCGCUGCAGCAGAGUACCUUGACACCACUUAUUAGUGAGCACUUGAAGAUCAUAGUUCGAUCGAACGCUCCUCUAAGUGCUUUUCUUUGUAUUCGUAUCAAAAUGAAGAGUACUUUUCUACCAAAUACCCGGGUAAAUGGAAUUGGUUGGAUACCCCAGAGCCAAGAAAGACAAAGGUAACAAACCGCAGAGGCCGAAUACGAGGGCCGGGAGUUAGGGGAGUUAUGUUGGGUAAUUGUACGAUGGAUGCUAUGUCCUCAGGCGCUCAGUCAGGUGCUAUUGAGCUCUUUAUUCCGAUUCACUUGUAAGCAGAAGGCGAGCUAGGAGCCAAGCACUACGAUAAGAUCUAUCAGACGACGACUAGCGGGGUCGAUCUUACUUUACUGAGUAAGUGUAAGUGAGGUUACAGAUAAUGAGCUAUGAUAUACCCCUCUUAACAAAGUGAAAGACCCAAAUUUCCUAUAUACUCUACAAAAUCUCAUUCAUUGCUAUUCCAUUUGCAUUUGGUUAUGUUUAUUGUUAUCCACGCUAUGAUGUAAAGGAAUUCCUACUAAAUGAAGCAUCUGAAUGCCAUGCCCUUCUUGACUCCGAACAACAUGUUCUAUUAGAGACGAGUUGCUUUACGCCCUUGUUUUGAGUUCUCUUCUCGCUCUUCACUGGUCUCCCAGAACUAAGAAGGUGUUAUUUUGGAAGCUGUUGCCUUUUACGCUGUUAGCGAUGAGUGAGAUGAUGCCACACCAACAACCACCUUAGAAAGCACUUAUGCGUAUAAAACGACUUCCCUUGAUGCUGCCAUCUUCGUCUGCUCUUUCUGCCCUCAGUAGGUUCUUCUUCUGUUUCUUUUCUACUGACUCUGUAUCCGCAAAUGAUGCUUUUGGAUUAGGUUCUCCUAUCUAAUAACAACAAAACUAGUAAAAGCAGUGAAAAAAGCACUUUGGACUUUGGAACUGCCUGAGCCCGCCCGGUUAAGCUCUUCUUCUUAAGACCGGUUUUAGUUUGAAUCAACGCUGGGCAGAUUGUUCUCCUACUCGAGUUCAAAGGGUCUUAUAAUUCAUAGCUAUUCUUUCCUCCAAACUAUCCCGCCAGUCAGUGGAUUGGAGACCAGUCUUCAGACAAGCAAGAGAGGAGAAGGGCACUCACCCUAUCUAUCCCAUUGAUCCAUCCAGUGGAAAUACGAGGAUUCUCCUAUUACUAAGCUUAUGGGAGAGAAUAGAGUCAAGCUAGCGACCAUACGAAGAUUCUCCUAUUACUAAAGCUUAUGGGAGAGAAUAGAGUCAAGCUAGCGACUGUCUAGCCUCCUGAACUCUUUCGCGCGUACAUCUUGAGACUCAAAAGGACAGUUCCGCUUCUCUUUCACCGUUAGAACACUCGCGGAUAGAACAGGAAGAAAAGAGGGUGGGUUCUGGUCAUACUUGCUCGCAACAGGUGCUUCUUUCUUUCCCGCAACCGAGGAGCUUACCUUAUGCUUUUGCCCUACCUCCUUUGAUUCCUUUUAUCUCAGUACUGGUUCAGGUUCGAAAUAGGUAGUUAUUAUCGGAGGUAUUCUCCUUUGACAAGGUUUAGUAAAUAUAAUAUACUCUAACCGGCCCUCUUACUCUUAAGUCAGUUCGAAGCAAGAUAUCCGUUAUUAGGACACAAAACCAGCCUUCACUUACUUACUUAAAUGAAAUAGGAAUAAGGAAACUAUAGUCGACAGUCUUUAAGAAGAGAAGAUUAGAACCAAAAAUGAGUCGUCCCACCUAGCCCCAAAAGGGAGAACGGAAAACCAACAACAACAUGAAAGAUGAAAGCGUUCCUCCCCUCACUCUAAUGUCUAAUGCCCCUUAAAAAAGGGUACCUUCUCUCCACUCGCCUUAAAGCGCCAUACGGGGUAGACAAAGUGACAUUCAUUGUCAAUAAAGAAAGAAGAUCUUUUGUCUCUCGCUUAGCUUUGGAAUAUGCUAUGAUAUUAUGUUUCCAAGGGUCUGAUAGAACUAAUCCUGCUGCAAUUAGUUUCAAUAAAUGAAUAAAGGUUCCUGAGACCCGCUCCCCUUUCUUUUCCCAAUUGGGCUUUGCGCCACUUCGGAGAGUGAAACGCACGAAAGGAGGUAUAAUUCUUCCUUUUUUGAGCCUUGGAGCCGAAGGAAGACAAAUGGGACUCGCAUCCAUUGAGAAAAUGACUUUCCCUGCAAGCGAUACAACUAUAGAGUGUGAAAGUGCUUGUAUUGACCGGAAGCGCUGGAGAACUUAAGAUGAAGAUGGUACCAUUGAGAAAGAGAAAAAUAGAAUAGGUUAACUAAGGCUAAAGAAGAAAGAAGACCUAUCGACUUAUUACACUUCGCCCUUGAUUUUGGAUACUGGAGGGCAGCUCCCACUAGUUCUGUUCUAUAGGUAUCUGUAGUUGUAAUAGGACUUACUUCUCGACCGGAUUACCCAAGCUUUAGCUUAGCCGAAAUUGGUAUUUUAUUGGGUGGGCUGGGCGCUUUCCUUAAUGCGACACAUCAAAAUAAGGUCAAUGAAGAAUGCUGUCUAACCGAUCCUCAUCGUCCCGGAAUCAUGGAAUUGGGUUGGUGUUCUUUCGGGCUUAAUUCCCCUUUCGAACUUUAUUAUACCUCUGCUGCCCACAGAAUCAAAGAGAAGGACAAAGACGCCUAGAUCGACAUGGAUUCUAGAAAAUGCUCCAUCAUGAGUCGAGCCAAUAACUAAUGAUCCUGUCUUCCUGUUCGCCUAAUGGCUAAAAUAUGAAAAAGAAUUCUCCUUUCGCGAGAGAACUGGUAAAGUUAUUCCUUUUCAUGGACCUGCAACAUCCUGGGACUAUCCAUUCGAAAGAGCUAGAGCUUGAAGGAAGACCUCCUUCCCAUAAUUAGAGUGGAAAGGGAAUCUUAUACACCAAACCUGUAAAGAAGGCAUGAACAAUAGAUAGGGCAUCUAGCGAAUGCUUGGAAUGGGUUCGCCUCUCAGCGCCUACUAUGAUUAUAUAGGCAAUUAGUGAAAAUACAGAGAGUUAGGAGAAGCUUCAGAGAGAUCAUACGAAUAGGACCAAAAGGAGCCCACAUCGAUAGGGUCAUUCAUAAGCCGAGUUCUUCCUGGGAUGAAAGCCUGAAACUAGAAAUGUGACAGUUGCAGUUUUCAAGUAAGCAGCAAUCGGGUAUCUCGGUCAAAAGUCAACAGUGGAGGUUGGGCGCUAAGAGAGUUUAGUUCCUACUUCCGGACCCCAAUCCAAUAGUACCCUUUUUGCUAACGCUGUUCAUAGUAGCUAAGGUCGCCUGUAUACGGAGCCAGAGUAGGAAUAAGAUUCAAGGAAGCCCCAAAGAAAAGAAGAAAUACCCACGUAACGCUUAAGCUGUGCGAGUAGAAUGAAUUGGUGUUGGCAAUUCCGGUAGUUUAGUUCGGGUCAAGCCAAGUAUAAGGGCUGGAAGAAUAGAUAAGGAAAGGCAAUGUCAAGUGUUUGAGGGAAUGGCGUGAAAAGCCCUAUUUAUUGUCGUUUAAGCAAGGGGAAACUAAGAGAAUCAUACUAAGGAUUCAUCUCUUGAAACAGCCAAGACACGCAAAGACAACUAGAAACGCCAAGACACGCGCCAAGUCACUCCUAAUGUGUAGCGGCAGCCUUCUCCACUUUUCUGGAUUAUUUGUGAUUUCUAAUUGAUUGUUUUCCAAGGUGAGAAACAUAAGCCUUCGCCAGGUAAUAUAGAAUCCAUCCAAUCCAAUCCGGUAACACUCCCUCUCCCUAGUCAUUAACUCUUCUUAUCAUAGCCAUUACCUUUCUUUUCUCCUUCUCUUAUUAGCCUAGCAACAAUAUUGAUUUAUAUAAUAAAGACGUUAGGCAAACAUUUGAUACCUCCCGUAAGCUCGUUACGCUUAACGCCCACUUACUUAAAGACUCGUUUGACUCAAGAAAUUCGAAUAUUGAUUUGAGUCCAGAAGCUGUUGCCCUUAUCCGGAUUUACCCAGUGAGGUUGGCGCUUUUGAGUCAACGUUGACACUUUCAAUGUAUGGAUCAUACCAUUACUGAUUAAGUCGUAUAGAAAUAUAGUGCUGGCAGAAAGGCACUCUCAAAGCAUGGAAUUCCCAAGCAGGCAGAUUCGAAGGUAAGGUCAAAAGUGCAAGGCAAAGCUUAGUCUCUGUCUGAUCCUAGGUGAACCACCUUUAGCUUUCGAUAAGACAGUUCAAGCAGAAAGAAGGAUCUCAAUUACUUUACUUUCGGCGUAAGACACAGUUUUCGGGAGCGGAGUUGGCAGGUAGCCCAGGAUUUCAUAAGUCACAAUUAUUGGUCUCCUUUGAAAGCGGGGUUGCCUAUGAAAGCGCCCUUUCCUACAACUAGUAUAAUAAUGCCGUCAUCACUUUGAUUUUAGUUGAUGAGGUGAUCAGAUCUCGCCUCUAGGCAGGUCGAAGAACAGAUUGUUAUCACAGUGCUACCACCGAAUACAACAAUUAGACAGCUCAGUUAGGAUUUCUCCCAGACAUUCCUAGAGUAAACCCUACCUUACUCGGGAAAUUUCACAUUUCAGUCUCUAAGUUCGCUAGACCAAGCUGUAAAGAAGAUGUAUAUAGCGGUAGACAGUUAUAGACGUGUGGGAACUCUUUUCCUAUCUUCCUCUCGCACACCGUUAUUGGUUACGAAACCUAGCUCCCGGGUCGGUCCUUUCGCCGGGCCACCACACAAAGGGGACAAGGCCUUCUUCUCUAGUCUAGGAUUCUCCACCAGGUGCCUCUUCGGAUUCGGAUGUAGAUGCGUCUUCCCUUGAUUUACUCCACAAUAUACCCACUUCAGGAACUAUCAGCUGGAAUGGGUUCUCCUUCUUUGUUAAGCAGAGACAGGUUCAGAUGUGGUGGUUUCCGCCCUCAUUCACAUUGGUAGGGGUAUGCCGCACCCGAUACUUUACCUUACACUGGGAGUACUACUUUCUACAAGCAAGGCAGGUUUGAAAGGCCCAGGCCAGCCCUUCCUUUCAUAGGAAAGAGCAAUUACUUCGCUUCCUUCGGAACCUUUGUUUGAAUGCUUAAGCCUAGAAAGAUCAUUCGUUAAGAAAACAGAUAGAAUAUUCUAAGAAAGUAAAUAGGAAUUGCUAUCACCUUAAGGUUCAAAAGCAAGCAUGAGACUGAAUAAAUAAGGCAUCUGUAGCAAAGUAAGUAGCAAAGGAAGUAGUUUAAUGCUGACUAACCGGCUACGGCCCCCUAAAAUGAGCUCAAGCUUUACGAGUGGACGAGGACCGAUGUUCAUGUGCGUCAGUUGUUAUGGAGUUAUGUGUAUUAGAGUGACAACGGCCAAGCAACGGAUAGACAAGAUAUGUUUAAAUCGUACCGAGUCCUGGCUUUGUUGUUUCCCAAUACCAGUAGUAAGAGGGAGUUUCUAACCUGGGCUCAUCAGAGUGUGAGACUAGCUCUUGGAUUCGUUCUGCCUGUCAUUCUACUGCCUUUCAUUCUAUAUCCCUUAGUACUGUUUUCUCUCCUCUAUCUCUUCCAUCCCUUGUCAAGCCUUUGUCUAAGUGUUUUAAGGUUAAGUGAGCAAGACAGUGAUAAAUAAAGUGCUUUGAUCCUGUGAGCAAUCCAAUUACUUGCCAAGCAACUAGACAGCUAGGAGGAGCAUGUUGCCAGGACUUGGUAAUAUAAUGAGUCAUCUCUCAUGAAAAACCAUUUCCCCCCUUAUAAGUAUUCAUUCGAACAUGGUUAUGACCGAUAGAUAUGACCGAUAUCCGUCAAAGAAAUCAGUAACAUUAGGUCACAAGUUCUUCUAUACCUAUGGCUCCGAUACCUCUUCCAACUAACCUAACUCCCAAACCACAUAGAGAGUAGGCAAGCAGACAACUAGCUACUCUCAACUACUGGACUGGAACCCUUUACUAUACUUGCUGUAAACUUUACCUCUCCUCAAGCGACUAUAACUACUCAAGCGACUAUAACUACUCAAGCUACUCAAGCGACUAUAACUACUCAAGCGACUAUACUUCUGGCUCUUCUCUGCUAACUUCUUUCUUAUCUUAUACCUCUGGCAACAAAGCCCUAAAUAAGAAGUUCCUCUUCCUUCUUAACCCUCCCUCGACUUGAAAGACUGUAAACUCGAACAAGUCACUACUUUACCGCAACUCUGAUAUCCAAUACCUAUGGCUACUACACCUAUUCUCUAAACUAAGAGAAGAGAUCUGCUUUCACUAUGCGCUCUAAACACUGACGGAGACCCUACCCUAAGCUCUAACUCUACAAGCAGAAGCGCUUGCAGCCUACUUACUUUAUACAGCUCCGGAUCUUGUUCUUUCUACUCUAACUCCAAAACUCCACUUUCCGAAUCAACUUCACUUGCAUAACCGCUUGUAGCUUCCUUUAGUCAAGCAUCUGCUCCUGCUUAUUCUUAUAGGUUAGGCCUGGACAACUUAAACGUAGAAACUCCAUUCUUAAAGGAGUACAUGCCUGGUUGGUUACCCAUAGCAAUUCUACCUAGCUCAAUCCUAUUCUUCUGUUUAGUCCUCCACAGUGGAAAUUAUGACUUUAGAGUCACAUUCUUUAUUGUGAGUUUCGAGCCCUAGGUGGGUGACCUUUUUCUAUUAAACAGAGCUCCAUCCCCUUAUUCCGCUUUUGACCUUCAAGUUCCAUUCUGAUAUGUAUGUUGUUUCAUUCUUUGACCAGAUUGGUUAAGGGCACGUACACUCAUAUUCCGUAUACCUCGCUUCCAAUCCUGAUCCAGAUCUUGAUUCCGCUUCCUUACCUGAUCCUAGAAAUGGCACUGUCCUAGCUACUGACUUGCGUAUGCGAGGUGGAUUCUUGGAUUUACUGGUUGGAGAAAUUACAAUAAGGAACUACUUAGCUCAAUUCUACCCCUUGCCUUGAGAGCUCCAUUCUAUCCCCUGUCAGCUUAGGUUCAUUCUUUGAUUUACUGGCUGUAUUCUUAGUUGUACUUGUUUAAGUCUUUCCCUUGCUAGCUAUAUUCUCUGUGGUACUGCUUUGAGUCUCGGUGGUAUCGGUUUGAAGGAAUUCUAAUAAAAUAAGGGUCGAAAUCCAGCUGAAGUCUUGUUGGUACUGGUUGAAGUCCUGGAGUUAGUGGUCGAAGAAAUUAGAAUAAGGUCCUCACUACUAUCAUUCUGUUUGUUAGUAGCUAUGGCGCCUUGGACUCCCUGGGUUCAGUCUGAUAGUUAGUAGUCGUAUUCUUAAACUACCUCGUUGCAUUCCUGUCCUUGCUAGCUCCCCUCUGAGUGGUAUCGGUUUGAUUCUCACUGCCACUGGGUUAAGUCUGGGUAGUUAGAUGCCUUAGCCCUGUUACCCUGUGUUUCAGUCUUGUGGUUACUGUAUUAAGUCUUAGAGUCUUAUACUAGAUGAUAGGAGAAUUUCUACCUUUUAUAGAUCUGUAGUCCAGAGGCCCUUUUAUUAAGUCGCCAUAGUGGAGUUCGGAAAAAGGAAAGUGAUGUUUCCCUAUAUUUCCCUAUAUAAGUAGAGUCAACGGUCUCCUAUGGUUUACUCUGCUGUGUCUGUACUUAGUCGGUAUAUGAUAAAGAGAACUUGGUUUUCGUCUUUGUUUAUCAAUUCCUAAAGUUUUCUGUUCCAUGAACUCACUCCUGACUGCUUCCUCGGUAGCUAGGUAUGACAGAGCAACCGAAGCUUCUGUUUCUGUAGACGCCAGGUAACUACAGAGGAAUGGAAUUGAGCUCUUCAUAAUAGAAGUAAGUUGGUAACCACAGAGCAUAGGUAGCUGAACCCAUAAGGGAAUCAAGAUCUGACUUAGUUCAAAGAGUUAGAGUAGAGGAUAAGAAUUCAGUUCAUUGUUUACAGAGGUAGAUUAGAGUCAAGCUUCUCAGUGCCAGUUUUCUUCUUUGGUCCGCAAGCCAAGGUGUCAGCCUCAGGUAGUGGAAUGAUUUGUUUCAAGGGGAUGGGUUCUACUACGGGAGAGAGUAGCUCUAGUUUCAUGAGUUGUCGAUUCAGAAUCCCUUGUUGCAUUUAGUACUGCUUCUGUUCUGGUUAGAGUGGAAUGAUUUGUUGCGAGUAGUUGCUAGUUGGCAUUUCAGAAUCAAACAAGUCAGUAGAAGCCUUAUANNNNNNNNNNNNNNNNNNNNNNNNNNNNNNNNNNNNNNNNNNNNNNNNNNNNNNNNNNNNNNNNNNNNNNNNNNNNNNNNNNNNNNNNNNNNNNNNNNNNNNNNNNNNNNNNNNNNNNNNNNNNNNNNNNNNNNNNNNNNNNNNNNNNNNNNNNNNNNNNNNNNNNNNNNNNNNNNNNNNNNNNNNNNNNNNNNNNNNNNNNNNNNNNNNNNNNNNNNNNNNNNNNNNNNNNNNNNNNNNNNNNNNNNNNNNNNNNNNNNNNNNNNNNNNNNNNNNNNNNNNNNNNNNNNNNNNNNNNNNNNNNNNNNNNNNNNNNNNNNNNNNNNNNNNNNNNNNNNNNNNNNNNNNNNNNNNNNNNNNNNNNNNNNNNNNNNNNNNNNNNNNNNNNNNNNNNNNNNNNNNNNNNNNNNNNNNNNNNNNNNNNNNNNNNNNNNNNNNNNNNNNNNNNNNNNNNNNNNNNNNNNNNNNNNNNNNNNNNNNNNNNNNNNNNNNNNNNNNNNNNNNNNNNNNNNNNNNNNNNNNNNNNNNNNNNNNNNNNNNNNNNNNNNNNNNNNNNNNNNNNNNNNNNNNNNNNNNNNNNNNNNNNNNNNNNNNNNNNNNNNNNNNNNNNNNNNNNNNNNNNNNNNNNNNNNNNNNNNNNNNNNNNNNNNNNNNNNNNNNNNNNNNNNNNNNNNNNNNNNNNNNNNNNNNNNNNNNNNNNNNNNNNNNNNNNNNNNNNNNNNNNNNNNNNNNNNNNNNNNNNNNNNNNNNNNNNNNNNNNNNNNNNNNNNNNNNNNNNNNNNNNNNNNNNNNNNNNNNNNNNNNNNNNNNNNNNNNNNNNNNNNNNNNNNNNNNNNNNNNNNNNNNNNNNNNNNNNNNNNNNNNNNNNNNNNNNNNNNNNNNNNNNNNNNNNNNNNNNNNNNNNNNNNNNNNNNNNNNNNUAGAACAAAUAUGGAUCCUUUUUAGGCUUGGCCCCUCCUGAAAUGAUAUCUUAUCUUAUAUAGGAGAUAGUUUCGAAAGAGAGAAGCCAACAUAGAGAAUAGUUGCCUGUUGCCAUAGUUCGGGCCCUUAUAGUACUUUCUUUCCCCUUGUAAUGGAGGUCGGGUGCUCAAACAAAAGAAGUUGGUUCGGGUCAGGCACUUAUUAGAGGUCAGGUCAUCAAGGGGAGUUAUUGUUUCAAGAGCCAGAGUGAGGUUUUAGGUUAAAGAGUACAGAGCCCUAGGUUGGUUCAGAGCAAUCUAUCUUAUACAAGAAGCCGAGGAUCAUCUAGAAUAAUGUCCUGUCGAAUCAGAGGUGUAGUGUAGUGGUAAAGUUCAAUCCGUAUUUGUUAGUUUACAGAGGUAGAUGAGACUGUAGGUCUGUUAUUCUUCUUAUGUUAUGAGUAGGAAUACCUGGUAGUCCUGUUUCAUAAGAGGUAGCAUAGAAGUGAUAAGAGAUGCUAAAGUAAGUAAAGUCUCUUUCUGUUCUUGUGUAGGUUAAAUAGCCAGCUGCUGUAGUGGAGUGGUAGGUUUCAAGCCCUGAGCUAAGUAGUGAAAAAGUUUCAUAUCAAGUAGUUGUCCAGUGGAAUCCCCAACAAGUAGCAUCCCAGUAGUAGUGGUCCUGUUUACAGAUAAGGGAGUCGAGGUAGGCAUACAAUAAGAAUGGAAAUAGAGUUGACAGUUCCAGUUAUCAAGUACAGAAGCUAGACUUGCUUUUUCAUAGCAUUGGUUGAGUGACGGAGCCCGUAGUAGUUGACAGAGGAGUAGUUAGUGGAAUACCGAGUUUAGUCUUAAAGUCUGGUUUCGGGUUCCAGUCCAGUAGUAGUAGCUUGGCCCAGUUAGUAGUUAGUAGAUCCCUUAUUCUUUGUAGUAGUAGUAGUAGCAAGAGAAGAGCCAUAGGUAAGAGGUAGCAUGGAAGUUAGCAUAGAGGAGCAAGCAGAGUUCCUUUAUUCACUAGCGGCAGAGCAGAGGGUAGUAAUAGAUUUGGAGAGUUAUUAACGAGUCCUGUGUUUGGGAGUGGUUAGUUGACAGAGCCAUAGUUUAGGUCGGGGAAGACAAUAAGUGUAGCAAGAGGAGAGGUGUAGUAGCCGAACACUAGCGGCAGGCAAGGGAAGUUUUGUUUGGUGCUAUAGCUCUAGUAAAGUUGCUAGGGUAGGCUGAGGCUUGUUCCAUUACUUGUUUACUUACUCGUUGGGAUGUGGGUAGGUAUUCCCUUGUUUGAUCUGUUGGGUAUGCUUGUUUUCAUUCCUUUACUAGGUCGGGUAGUCAAAAGAGAGUACCAUCUUUUAGGGUAGGGUCGGCUGGUUUACUUACGGGCUCGGGUAGUUUACUGACUUGGAAAACAAGAAAUUAGAAAUCAUAAAUAAUCCAGGCCAAGUAACUGCUAAUGUUACGCGGCAGCAAGUGACAGUCAUAACGAAGUUAUUACAAUAUAUGUCUUCGCGUUUUGAAACCCGUGUACUGACUAAGUAGAGGAAAGCCUACUUCAUUCUAUAUUCUCUUUAUAUAGGUGAACGGAUGAAACCACCGCUUCCAAGGCUGAUAUCAGUGCUACUCAGAACCAAACCUGUGAGUUACAGGCUGCAGCUGGGUAGCUCGGGUCUCUAACAAGUGCAGGGCAGACUGCUAUUGGGUAGUGAUAGGCUGAAGCUAAGGAGGGAAAGACUUAAAGCAGUGCCAGCAAGACUACAACCAUUGAGUCAAAGAAUGGGACGAUUGAGGGCAAGAAUGCAGCCACUACAACCAAGAAUGCAACCGGGGAGUGAAAGGCCAAGCCUGAAAGUAGGGAGUCCAAGGCUUAAAGCAAGGGUAGUAAGUCCGAUGCUAGGUAUUGGUAUGUAGCUAAGGUAGCUAGGGUCUCAAUUGAGCUAGUAUUGGUAUGUAGCUCGCUCCUGUAGCUCUAGUUCGAAAGUCAGAAUGUACCUAAGGAGUUAAAGAGUGGAGCUAGAGUUAAAGAGUGUAGCUAGUAAGGGGUAGUCCAGGUAGUCCUGGUAGUCCCGGUAGUCCUGUGAGAGGUAAGUUAGAGUCUAGGUCGGCACUUAAAGGAUAGGUCGGCAGACAAUAAGAAUGGAAUGGAAUUAGGUGACUCCGGAGAGGCGUAGUUGCCAGCAGCUGGGCUUGUUAAAAGAAGUAGGCUAGUAGGAAGAAGUAGGCUAGUAGGAAAGAGGUGAGCUAGUAGGAAAAUAGGAAUGAAACUAAGAGGUCAGCUUGUAGGAAAGCUAGAAAUAUAUCUUAUAUUAUUAAAGAAAGCAGAAUGUCAUAGAAUAGAUGUGGUUGCGCCUAUUAUGUGUGCCUAUUAUGUGUGCCUAUUAUGGGUGACCUGUAGAAUAGAUGUGGGUGCCUCCCCUGAGGGGAUCUAUCGAAUCAAUCCAUUAGGGCUGGAGUGGUGGACUGACUUGUGGAAUUCUCCGUUAGUGCUGAGGAAGCUAGUCCUUCUUUUGGUGUUCUUGUUGAGGGAAGCUGUGGAAUCAGUAUUUGCUUUGAAAGAAAUCAAGAAAUCAAGUGGAGCAAGAGGUCAGAGGUGGAUGAACCAGACCAGAGGAGUGGUGUCAGCAGAGCAGGAGUAUCGAGUUUACUUAACACUGGCAUAAUGACUUCAUUUCUCAGAAAAACGAAUUGGAUUUCUCCUAGACCAACUCUGUACUAGCUAAGAAGGGAAAAUGAGUUAUAUAAAUCUCUGUUAUUAUAUAGGUGAAUUGGCUUGGCCCCCGCAUCUAGGUUAAGAAUCAAACUAACUAGCCAAAGAACCAAACCAGAGGAGUGCUAUCCAGGAAUGAGAGGAGUAAAACCGGUGCUAUCAGGAAUGAGACAAGGUAGUUAAAGAAUAGAUCUGGGGCUACUCAGCCUGAUACCACUACAAGCAAGCCUUAAAACAGUGAACCCGAGGCUCAAACCCAUGCCCCAAGCCUUCAACCAGUCAAUCCAAGGCUUCACCAAGGGAGUUACAGGCUGUAGCUGCUACCAAUCAGAAUGCAACCCGAGCUGGGCAGACUUAAAGCAGUGCUAACAAGACCUCAACCGGUGCUUCCCAGGCUGUUGCUAGGGGAUGAGAGAAUGGAGCUAAGUAGUUCGAGGCUACAACCACUACAAGCAAGCCCGCUAUUGGUGCUCCUCAGAACCAAACACUGCAUUCCAAGCCUGAUGCUAUGUAGUAUGGGACUGAAGCGGGGUAGAGAUAGGAUGAAACCAAUGAGUUAGAGAAUGAAGCUAAGGAGUGGGAGAAUGGGGCUGAUCGGGGUAAGCCUGAAACAAGGUAGUUAAAGACACUGCCAAUGAAACUAAGUAGUGAAAGAUUUGACCCCAGCAGUCACAGGCCAAGCAACGGGGGCACUCCAACCAGGCUUCAACCUACUAACAACCAGUUUUAACCAAGUACUGUGUUCGCCACUAAGGGGCCAGCUCUAUCUCUAGUCCAGAGUAGAGGUCGGGUUGGGAAGAAAAGAAUCCAGUGAGUAAAGUAGGGGUGCCGCGCCUUAGGAGGUAUAAUAGAAGAAGGUAGUUAACUAUGCGCUCUCUACUCUUAAGGCAUCAUUGAACUAUAACUAGGGCUUCGAACACCAAUUCAUUACUACCACUAAACCAAUGCAAUGAAAAAAGACGGUAAAACGCAAAAGUUGAUGACUUGAGGACCUCGCCUGGAGGGAAAUUGUCUUUGCAACGAAAAAUCCCGGGGCCAAGUCACUACUAAUGUGAUGCGGCAGGAGUCCCCGCACAAAUCUCAUUUCCAUGGAUCGGUCCAGGAAGGAAAAGGACGAAGCUACCUUUUUUACCGAGAAAACGCCAAAUGAUCAUUAGAAAUUGGACAUCUAUUAGCGGGCCAAGGAACUACUAAUGUUCCGCGGCAGGAGCUCCCCGUCGCUAUCAAAAAACACGGUAAAACGCAAGAUGAUUGCCCAAACAAGUAGUAUAGUAGUAGAAUCCCUUGUUCCUGUUCAUAAGUAAGGUUAUGAGAGGCCCUUAUAGUCAGUCGGGAACCAUCUUUGGAAGCAGUUAAGUCAGUUCAGUUCACCAAAUCACCAAAACCAGAGCAAAGGUAGAGGAGAAAGAGGUGUAGUUAGAGAAGUAGAGGAGCCAUCAAUAGCAGUUGUUUGUCUAUCCGUUCCUUGGCUCAUAGCUUCGUUAGUUUAGUGGUUGAGUGGUAGUAAUUCAUUGGUGGCAGAUAUAUAAGUUGCCCCUUAUAGUAGUAGUCCAUUUGAAUCUGUAUUAGUUGUGACCAGUAGUAGUCCUGUUCUGGUGAUUGUUUCAUACCGGUUGUACUGUUCUGGUUCUAAAGUAAGAGUAGCUGUUUCAAAGCAAGGACUUAUUGGCAUACUAAUAAGAAUAGAGUAGUGGAUCCGGAUCGGCAGUUAUGGCCUGUUUGUAAGAUGUUCGAGUCUUCUAGUCGUUAGCGCGAUUCCUAGUUGUUAAUUCGAAAGUGUUAGCUGGCUCCCCAGUGCCUAGUCCCGUCCUUGUAUGCCAAGUUCCAUUCUCUCUUUUGAGUUAGAGCUCGAGAAGCAGUAUAGCAGAGUUCCCGGUUUUAUAGGUCAAUUCUUCUAGUUGGAAGCUCGAUUCUGAUGUCGUAGUGGUUGGAAGCUCGCUUUUGAGCUGAAGUACGAGAAGUCAAAGUGCAGUUCUUGGUAGCACUAGGUUGAGAAUAACAAGAAACAAAGUCGGACUUAAUAUAAAGUAAGGCAGGGCAGUCUAACUAUAUUAAUAGGAAACUUUACUCCAACAAGAAAUGGCAGGCUAACUAUUAUGUGUUGAAUUCUAUCAGCUAGCAGAUGAAGUUGGAAGCUCGCAAGUAAGAACCUGUGCCAGUAAUCAUAGAAUGAGAUUAUGGAGCUAUAGGCUAAAAGCAAGUACUAGAAGAAUCAGAGGUAGAGCGCUAAGCCUGAGAUAAAGUAGAAAAAGACUGAUCUAUGAAUAAGGCGUGUGUACCGCUUGCUUGUGUAUUCGAGUAGUAAGGUCGUUUGACUUAGUCUCUUCGCUCGGGUAGUUAGCAGUGGGGCGAGCUUACAUACUUGAAGGCUGGAAUGUCAGUUCGAAGCUAACGAGUAGAAGCCUACAGCGCAGAAGCUAUAAUGCAAGUAAGGAUCCAACGACCCAAACUAAGUAAAAGUAGAAUGGAGCUACUGGCAAACAGACUUGAGCAAUACCUGAUAUAAUGGAACUGGUGCUUCUCAUAAUAGAGCUUACUGCCUAGCAGGUAAACUAUAGGUCUUACUCUCCUAGCGAUCAGUCUGCCCUGCCGCUACACAUUAGUAGUUACUUGGCGCGUAACACACACUAUUUGCUUUCCCUAAGUCUAAGCCUAAUUGACUCUACAGAUAAGCCUAAUUGAAAUAGUAAGGAACAUCGGAGAGAAGAAUAAGAAUAGAAAUAAGGCUACUAAUACUCACAUCAGAACGAAACAACAACUCUGUUAAUGAAACAAAGAACUCAGAUGAGAACUCGGAACUGGGAAUGUAGCUAGUGGGUAUCAGGCUAUCCCGGCCCGAGUUACAGGCUUCACUCACUUACUUUCGGACUCAAACGACUCCUACUCAGGCUGAAGCUAAGGGUAAGCUAGACUGAUAUCGGGUAGUCAAAGAAUCAAACUAGGGCUAGCAAGCCUUCAACGAGGAAGUGACAGACUGAUGCUAAGGAGGGAAAGAACCAAACCAGUGCUAUCCAGGAAUGGGAGGAGGUAGUUACAGGCCUAAACUCAGAAGUAAGGGCUUCCACUACGUCAACAAGACUCAUGCUCAUAACUAAGACUAAACUGGGGGCAGCGCCUCUAACCUCCUGUGUCCGCUUCUACGGCUCUAACUCAUAACUUAGCUAUGGUUUAAUAAGUACCCAUUUGUAUUAUCUGUUAUUUACCACUAGAAACUCCUGUCUAAGCCUUUUUAUCCCCUGUAGUUCUCUUCUCUGCCUAUAUCUCCUGUUUCUCAAGCUGACACUCCGCUCCUAGCUUUUAAGUAUUGCUGACUUCACUGGCACUCCGAGCUUUGAUUCCGACUUCCUUGACUUUGAGUCUUACUUAUUUGUUUGGCUCCUCCGCUCCUAACUCUGACUAUUACACUCCUUGGUGAAAGCCUCCCUUGUUAGACUUCUGCUUUUAGUUGCUUAGCCCCAGCCUUACGUCCAUGUUUUAGUCUUUGACUCACCUCUGGAACUCUUUAACUGUUAUACAAACUUAUAUAAAGAAUAUUGAUACUAGAACCAAGGUGCUGAAAGCCUCAUACUAUCAGAGUGACCCUACUGCUUCUAGGGCAAACAACUCCAAGUUUGGAUGAAACUAUAGCACCAACGCUCUUAUUCCUUACCCCAAUGCACUAGCCCACUUUCAAACUUACACUCCGGGGACCCGAUCUUACUUUCCGGGCUUUUAAAGCUAUAUUUCACCUAUAAGGCUUGCUUCCCUGUAUUUCUAUAAUUAUGAAAAUCCAGACUUGUUUUCUUGAUUCCAUCAGUUAGUCUGCCUCUACUCGUUUUAAGUCUCUCUUUCCUGGCUACCACUCUUACUUUCCUGCCUCCCUUUACUUGGGUUCAAACUUUGACUACUGCCCUAUAAGACAUACCUAUAAGAAUACCACCUAUCAAACUGGGAUCGAACUACAGCUAAUAGGACUGACACGGGGAACUCCGCCUUUCUCCCCUUUCUUUUAUUCUUGGAUAACUAACUACAAUACUAUAGUAGUAGCUAACGGUACGAGGCUAGCGCAUCUAAUCUAGUAAUAUACUAAUAGUGGUCUGAUCUAGGGCAUUAGAAUACUUAUAGUGGUAAGUGGUACGAAUGCAAAAAGAACUAAUCAGAAAACAAAUAAGAAGUCAGAAGUCGACUAAGAAGUAUAGUAGCGCAUCUAGAGAUGUAGAAUCAAACAAGCAAGUUGGAAUCGAACAAUAACACGGGAAUGAGACCCCGAACCCAGUAGGGUAAGGGCUAAUGCUCAAAGUCAGAACCAACCCUACAAUAAAGAAGAAAGUAGAAAAGGUCAGGAGAAUAAACAACCAAAAUGAGGCAAGUAGGAAAAGUCAGAGACAAGCUAACGCAAGAAUCGAACCGCUACUGGAGAGAAUCAAACUUGUAAUAAAGAAUCCGACUGCUGGCUUCUAGGGUGACUAAAAGACUUUACCUACCGCUAUAGGAAUGCGUCUACUGCUUAUAAGAAUUCAACCCGAAACUUCUCAGGCUGUAGCUACUAACUAUCAGAAUGAAAACACUGCUUCUAAGACCCUAGCCCGGAACUCAGAGGCUAACUCACCUGUUUGAGUAUGCCCUUACUCGCUGGAAAACGCUUUCAGCACCCUCACUUUUAUGUUCUAGCACCCUUACUUGUUAGCUUUAGUCAUGUACUGCUCCUUUUCAUUCCUGAAUCACUGAGUAGGAUCUUCGCUUCAAAGCUUGGUGCUAUUGCUUCUAAGAAUGCUACUACCCCUUAUUAGAAUGUACCCGAGGAGCCCAAGCCUCACUCUAAAACUGGCAUUCCCCCAUCUGAUAUUGAUUAUUCUGUUCACGUAGAAUAUAUUCUAUUCCAUUUCAUUAUUCAUAGGAGACAAACAGCAUUCUGAUUAUUCAUAGGAAACAUCAUUUUCCACCAAGUAGUACAAGAUUCAUAAGGAGAAGAAGCAAACCAAGAAACCGAGCCAUACCUUUCUUCUUAGCAUACAAAACCAGACUAGUGGGGCACUCUUCUCUUGCUCCUAUGUUCUGACUCUUGGAAUUGACCCUUGAAUUCUGUAGUAAACCUAUUAGCCUGCUAUUCCCUAGUUGGAGUAUCACUUGACUGUGUUUUGGUAUAACUUUAAGGACUUCUAUUCUGAAAUGACGAAUAAGCAGAGUAGUGGUAUGAUCCCACUUGGGCAUAUAGUAAAGGUAGUUAUAGUAUGUGUGUUAUUACCUCGUGUAUAUUACGAUAGAGAGUAGGCGGCUUCUGUCUUUCAUUAUUUAUUUCAUCUAGCAGGAUUAGGCUCCUUAGACCGGCAUCCUGACUUGUAGUCUCCUAGCAAGGCUCUACUCUUAUAGCUCCAUAUUAGUAUUAGCAUUAGUAUACUUACUUGAAAGUUAGCAUUCCUCUGAUUCCAAUACAGACUCCGAGGGCCUAGCCUAUUCUGUACUCUUUCAUUACGUAUGUAUCUAGUGUUUGAUUCUGUCUGAUCUAUGGCACAUUGUCCAUUAUUUGACUACAGGGUUUCUAAUAAUUCAAGAAAAAAUACAGAAACUGGGAACUAAGCCCCUCAUCCACUGUCUAUUAACCCCAAACAGAAGAAAUAGACUCAGCGCCAAAAAGCAAAGACCGCUUUGGGGCCCCAGUAAGUAAGAAGAAAAGACAGGACAGACGGGUAACUCAAUACCCCCCUUUUAUGGUGGAAGCCUCAUUAGUUAGUAGUUAAAGCCUUGGAGGCAGUGGUCCCAGUCUGAUAUGGUGGAACGUAGUUCUUAAAGCACCAGCGUGAGCUUGAAAGUAAGGAUCCGGUCCAGUGACUACAGCCUUAACUAUAGGGGUUUGAGUCUGAUAAUUGGCUUUUGCGCUCCGUAUUCUCCUUCUCGGUGUGAAAGUAUAUGCUUUCAUUUCAUUCUAAGCUCUAUUAGUUGUAUUCAAUGAUCUAUAUAUUGACCAUAAACCCAAUAAGUUAUGUUAGAGUGUCAAAUGCACUAAUCCAUUGAUUUAUUGGUUAAGGAAGAAGAAGUAUGCCAUACCUGGGGCCCAAGAAUUCCACUAAUAGGCCAUAACCCAACUAGACAAGCAAUGGUGUAAGGGAGCAACGGUGUGAGGAAAAGAAUUUCGCUCAGAAUCUCAUAGUAAAGAAAGAAACAGCGCAUAACGAGUUUUGUGACUACAACUUAUGUGUCUUCGUAGGAUAAAACUACUAGCUAUAAGAAUAUCGCUACUACUGACGGGUCUUUGCUUUACUGUUUCAAACAAGCACUCCUCUCUUAUGUUGAGUCUGAAGUUGACAAGUAUGGGUCUGUUUCUGGUUCUCAAGUAAGGGAUAGGCCAGGAAGCUAAGCAAUAAGUAAAGAAGUGCAGAAUAGGAGAGGAAGCCUAUAAGUACUGAAUUACAGAAUGCAACCAGUAAACCAGUAAGUAGAAGGAUGAACCGACGACCAACAAGAAUGGAAUUAGUAAGUAGGAGUUACAGAAUAGAACCAGCAAGUAAGGGGCCAAGCGCCUAGGCAAGUAGACAAGGCAACAAUACCUAUGGCAACUAUGAACUGAAUGAGGUAUACCUCUUAUCCGACUGUUACUACUGAGUUGAGUGCAUUUCUUUGUCUUCUACUAGAUGCGCUAGAUCUAUCUCCUUAUGUUUAAGUCUUCAUUGAUGGGUGACUUUGGACUUUGUUCCUUAUUUCUUAUAGAAUAUGAGUUCAAAAGAAGCCGGAGAACCAUAAGCACUCUUCUAUACCUCGACUCGCGUUACAAUUCGGAAGUAGUUGAUUGGACCUAGCUGCCCUGGUUAAGUCUAGUAGGGGCUUGGCUGUUGCAAGAGUUCAAAGAGAUGAGAUGAGCCGGGAGUGCUGUGCUAGUUUCAUACCGGUAGUAGUUGUCCUGUUUCAUAAGAGGUGUAGUCCUGUAGUUUCGUAGUUUCAUCAGUAGUGGCGGCUACCAAUGAGGUAAUUGAACGGCGUAGUCCAUAAGUAGGAAUUACAGAGAAGCUGGAAUGGAACUCAGUUGGCAAGUAGGGAGAAUGUCCUGUUCGAGCUUACAACUUCGGGUAGUUUAAUGAAGUGACCUCGGGUCGGCUGGUUGACUUACUUGGAAGCUAGGGUAGUCAAAAGAUAGUACUUACUUGUUUUGGUCGGCUUGCUUAGUUGCUUGGCUAUCCGUGUCUUGGCCGUCUUACUUAGUUGCUUGGCCCGGAGUCCUAAUUAAUAGCGUCAGCGAGUUCAAAAGAAUCCAAUCAGUACUAUAAGAAUAGAACUCGGGAAUCAAACACUAAACCCGAAAUUCCACUCAGAACUAGCAAUUGAACUAGGAACUCCACGAAACUACUUAACUGGCACUGAUUCCAGAGUCGAUUCACCCUGGCAAUGAAUAAGCUUACAUUGUAGUUCCGGAUCGAUAUACUGUAUUAUGUAUUCGUGUAUACAAGGUUGGGCAAGCAGAAGUGCUAUAAUUACUGAACCUUAUCCACACCAGUUCCAUUCUCAUUAGUAGUAGCUCAAUUCCUAUGCUCUUGCUUAAAAAACGGAGAAUCCCUAACUCCAUUCUGUAGUUCACCCCGAAAACUGCCAUUCAGGUCUCUAAGUCUCGUAGUUGUCCUUUUCGCAUUCCCUAUUUCCCACUUUGAUUCUUUGGCUUACCGCUCUUAGGCUCCACGCUUUGAAGCUUCGUUACUACACCCAAUAGAAAGCAUAAUGCUAAGUCUUUCUUGACCUACCCACACAGACUUGACUUGAUCCUGACAUGCCUUUAUGCGAGGUUUCAGUCUGCUAGCCCUGUCCCUAACUCUUACAAGUACUUGUUUGAUUCCUUAUCCCUUGUUUUAGUAUGUGCCUCUCCUGCUUUGAAUUAUGCAAUUAAGUAUGAAGUUAACUUAUAUGAGAAUUGGGUUUGUUUCUUUUUGACUCUAUGUUCUUAUAUAAGAAUGCAAAUGAUAACUAACAGAAUCAACCUAUGUGGUUAACUAUAAUCAGAAUUGAGCACUGCACCACAGGAAUGGAAUUACCAGAGAGUAGGAAAUCCACUACUGACUUAUAAGAAUCCAGCUAGGGAAUAGGAAAUCCGCUACCACAGCUACAGCUCUAAACGGGCCAAAGCCAGAAUCCAGCUAUAUGGCAUUCUGAAUUGAAUCACCGAUCAAAAGAAUGGAACAUGGAACUCAUACUUUGACUGUUGGAGUGUUCUAUGUUUUUAUUCUUAUUAAAGGAGAGACCUUGCUUUACUACCUACGAUCCUUACUUGCUAGGUUGAGUCUACCUAUCCUUCCGGGCAUGCUUGCCUGCGAGUUAGAUCCUUACUACCCUUACCCACAUUACAUAUCUCUUGUUCCACCCUGAUACUCCUUACUCAUAUUCUUAUUCCUAUUAGUAUAUUAUAUGUUAGUAUAUUAUAUGUUAGUAUUAUUGGUAAGAUCUGGGGCAUAUAGAUAUCGGAAUUUGUGUUAGAUAUAAGAACCAUAAUUCAGAAGUAACUGGGCAGUAAACGUUCAUUUCAGACUUGAACCUACAACUAGGACUUUCCCCUCAACCAAAAAGAGAAAAGGAACUGGAGGAAACGGCACAGCUAUCAAGCGGCUUUUCAAAUGCGUACGGACGGAAGGUCUCAUCGCCCGAUGGAGAUGGAGGGGUUUGAACUGGCUUGAAAAAGAUGCCUCUAUCUACUCUGGGACAAUAAAUGACAAGUUCUGUGUUUCUUUAGAGCCUACAUCUAAUCUUAGAAAAGGACAUAGCAUCCCUUUUUUCUAAGGAGUUACUGCAGUUGGCGUGAGAGGGUCUGCUUGCUUGUUUGGGAGAAAUUAAUAGUAAGGGCCCUUCUUUUGAGUGCUGUGUUCAGCUAGCGCAUUCCUUUCUUUUAUAGAAGUAGAGAGGCCCUUAUAGUCAGUUUCCUCUAUAAUAAGUCUCGGGAAGCAGUAUAUUGACUGGGUUCUGUACCAAGUGAAGGAAGUGCUCGAUACGAAAGAUUCACGAUACGAAAAAGAUUCAAUGAAUUCUCUGACUUCUGCUUACGAAGUUUAGUUUAAAGACUGUUGCGCGGCACAAGACAACUAGAAAUUCUGGUUGUUAGCAGGUGCAAGCAGUGGCGUCGAGGAUAGUUCGGCAAGGGGGAAGAAGAUGUUCUAAUAGAAGAGAAAAAGCACUUAUAGUAUAGUACUGCUAGUAGUGAGCGAGGGCAGUAAACUCGUAUCAACUCUUGGGGUGCUCCGGGCAAGCAGUUAGGGAGUGACUUAAGUUGACUUCUUUCUUGCCAACUCCGUAAAGUACGUGUUACUUCCUCUAAUAAUGAAGACAUCUCUCUUUCUUAUCGGAAAUCGGUAAAGUGAAUAGUCAUCAAUUCUUUCAGUUGACUUUCGAAUAGUGAUCGGAAAGGGACUCUCGAUCUGGUGUGAAAGCCUGAAACUCAGUUGCAACUAUCUGAUUGCCCUAACUACACUUGAAGCUGAUUGCCCCAACUCCCCUUAGUACAGAGUCUAGCUCCGAUGCUUCUGCUUCAUCUCUUGCAGACAAUGCUCGAACUGCUCAGAUCCAUGAAGCAGUUAUUAACAAGUCCUGAGUUCAUGGCGGCAGGGAGUUCUUUAGCAAAGGCAAAGAUAGAAGACAAGCCAAUUACCUUUACUAGACAAUACUGGCAACUGCUCUUUCCACUUAGGAUUCUUUUUCUUCCCCAAGUCCUGCAUUCAUGGCGGUAGGAGUGAAAAGCGAAAGGGCCGCUCUUAUGUUUUAGACUUCGACGCUUAGCCCACACAGUAUAUGUUGAGAUCUUUUGCUGGUCUGGUCUGAUAUAUCUUCUGUUUCUUUAGUCAUUGUGUAAGAUCUAUCUCGACGGUAAGGGUAAGUAAGGGUAGCAAGGAGGACCACUGGGGCAAGGAAUUCUCCCGGCUUACAACAAAAACGAAGAUGAGAAAGCCACUCCACUUGCUUGCCUAGAAGGCCAGUUCCCUCUGCUGGAUCCCUAACUCUGGGGUCGGCAUUUGACAUCACCUGUGGCCGUAGCCUGACUCUGUGCUUUCUUUUAUUGAUCGAGCUUAUACCGGCCGUCCUGAACUCGAUCUUUUCUGAAGCUUGCUUGUUCCCUUACUUGCUGUUGUUGCUGUUACUGACUAUUUGUAUCUUUCUUUGUACUGAAUACUCUACUCUUUUGGUACGUGUUCCUUUGCUUGUUCCCCGCUCUGUCAGUUCUUAUUCUUAUUCAUAUAGUAGUAUGAUUCAUAUAGUAGUAUGCUUCAAUCUAGUAUGAUUAUUAAUAUAGUAUAAUUCAUAUAGUAGUAUGAUUCAUAUAGUAGUAUGCUUCAAUCUAGUAUGAUUAUUAAUCUAGUAUGAUUAUUAAUAUAGUGCACAUAGCAUAAAAGAGAGGAAUUUCUGCAUUUCCAUAAGGCACAUAGAUAGCAUCUAAUAUAGUCAGAUUACCUAAGGCACAUAGAUAGCAUCUAAUAUAGUCAGAUUACCCGUCGUAUAUAUACUCAACAUACGCUACUUGAUACUUUACUUAGAAUUAGAGGGAAGGGGUAGGGGUGACAGAAUACGAGUGUUUCUUUGGGUGCGAGUGAAGUCGAUGAGAAUUGACUUAUUUCCCUUAAUAGCCUGAUUUCCCUUAGGCCUUAAUAGGCUUCUUCAGCGCCUCGUGGUCCAAGAGUCAAGUCGCUUUUGAUUCCGUUCGCUCCGAGAGUAAGCGUUAGGGGCUUGUUCUUGCGAAACAGCUUGUUUCAUGUAAGUGCCACCCAUUAGAUAGUUUCAUGUAAGUGCACCCCCAUUAUAGAAUUCAGUAAAAACACCUCACUGCGGACUCCUCUCCUUACCAUAAUAACUCAGCUAGGCAGCCCGAAACUUCCAAUAGUGGUUAACGUCUAGGAAAACAAAUUCAUAUGUAAUCUAGAAGACGGAAUGCGAGUAUCAAGUCGUCAGCAGCCACGUAGCAGUUCUGAAAAUGUCGUUUUUUUCGAGGAAGAAUCUCUGACUUGCACGGUAAGUGAAUGUUCCGGAUCUGGAUUUGAAGAAAGUGAGGCGACGAGAGAAAGCAGCGGAAGAGUCAAAGGCGAAAACAUAAGAAGGAGAAACCCAGGAGGAAUUAGAGCUAGGAAACUUAGUCUUAAAGAGAUACAUUAGUAUCGGACUUCUAGUUAAGAGUUGUUGGCUAACUUGCGGGAGUGCCAGAGUCGAACUAAAGUAUAGUAAUAAGAAACUCCAGAAUGAAAUGAACAAGUGAAAGAGUGAUAACCAGGAAAAGCAUACUUUAAGAAGGAGACAUAGAAUGAAAGUCCAGAGGUGGUAGUUUGAGUUGAAGCAAAGAGACAUAGCCUUGAAUACGAGGUAUUGAGAAUGAGAUGAAGCAGUAUCACACUUAGGGCAGGAAAGUGAGUCUUAUCAGCUAGGCUUUCAGCACCUUGUAGUAGAGUAGUCCAGAGCCCUAACUUGAUUUGUUAACUACGGUAUCGGAGCCAGCUGCUUUGCUAGUUGAAAGAAGUAUGGGUUGACCAAGUCCUGUGUUCGGGAGCUCAAGAAUGAGAUCGAGUAAGGGUAGCUUUGAGUUCCGGGGAUAAAGGCGUGUAGGCCAGGAAGCAAGAGUAGUUAGAAUCAAUCGUCGUUGCUACAAUAAGUCUCAAAUAAGGCUCUCACUCACAGGCAAAAGGAUGCAAGGGACAACUAAGGAAUGGAAGGGGCAAAUACACGAAUGAAAGAAGGGAGUUACCAAGGCUAAUACCAGAUUUCAAUAGUAGAGUGGGCCUAUGGAUCAUCAAACUCAAAUAUAAGCUUGGACAUCGAUACACAAAGGCAUUAGGUUCAGUAAUACCAGUUUGAAACGAACAAAAGUCCGGCUUGUGUUCUAUGCGCUCUUUUCUGUAUUUAGUUGUUGCUUUAGUCUCAUGUCCUAGAUCGUACCAUACCCCUACUACCUAAUGAGUCUUAUAACUCUAAUAGGAGUUUAGUCCCCUGAGCCGAGUACCCCUACUUUAUAGAUGACUUCUGAAAUUCCUACUUGUCUCUUUGACUACUGGAGUCAAUUCUUACUUGAUUGUUUUUGUCCUCCAUUACGUACUCUUUGUUUUGAACUUCAUUCUGGAUUUCCCACUUGAGAGUUGAGUUGGCGACCCCAGAGUUCGAUGUUAGCUUCAUGCUUAGAAGUAGUGGUUGGAUUCCUUAUUCUAAUAAAAAGUAUUAGAAGGCCCCACCGGUUUAAGUCUUAUAAGUCCUAGGUUAAGUACUAGUGGAGUUCCGACUUCUGUCUUUGAUUCCCCCGCUUUAGCUUCUUCAACAACAACCCUUGCACUGAACUGAAUUCUUAUACUUNNNNNNNNNNNNNNNNNNNNNNNNNNNNNNNNNNNNNNNNNNNNNNNNNNNNNNNNNNNNNNNNNNNNNNNNNNNNNNNNNNNNNNNNNNNNNNNNNNNNNNNNNNNNNNNNNNNNNNNNNNNNNNNNNNNNNNNNNNNNNNNNNNNNNNNNNNNNNNNNNNNNNNNNNNNNNNNNNNNNNNNNNNNNNNNNNNNNNNNNNNNNNNNNNNNNNNNNNNNNNNNNNNNNNNNNNNNNNNNNNNNNNNNNNNNNNNNNNNNNNNNNNNNNNNNNNNNNNNNNNNNNNNNNNNNNNNNNNNNNNNNNNNNNNNNNNNNNNNNNNNNNNNNNNNNNNNNNNNNNNNNNNNNNNNNNNNNNNNNNNNNNNNNNNNNNNNNNNNNNNNNNNNNNNNNNNNNNNNNNNNNNNNUAGUUGUUCUUCCCUCCGAGCUCAAUUCUUAAAUGACUUAUUCCGAUGCUUUAGGGCAUGAGUAACAGAGUAGGAGUUUUGAUAGUGUUAGUGUUUGCAAGCCGAGGCUUUAGGGCGGUAGUGACAGACUGAGAGAUAUUAGUGGAAAGACUUAUAGCUGGCGAGUUCUUGGUGACUCAGAGGUGUUAACUAUAGGCUUUAAGAUAGUUGUUUCAGUUUGAUGGACAAGAAAGUAGGGUUUUAGUUCCGGAGCGCCAGACUCAAGUUAAGAAGUAAGGCUUUUAGACUGCUGGGUUUAGUUCUGUAUGCCCAUGUUUCAUUCUCCUCUUUUUUGUAAGAUUCUUAGGGAGCUUUCCGCCUUAUAGCUUAGGUAUUGCAUUCUUCUUCUAACUUGUUAUGUUUAUUAGAGACAAAUUGAAACUGUAGAAUGGAGAUCAGGAGUGAAAGGAGUGUUAUAAUACCGAUACUAGAGUUAGGAGUAUAAGAUCUGAGAAGAAGCCAGGGAAGCAGUUCAGUAAGAAGUAGAGGCUAGAGUGUUGAGUAAGCCCGAAGUCAGUUACUAGAGAAGAAGGGAGUCAGUAGUAACAGACCGAUUUCAUCUGUAUUUGUAGAAAGAGCACCAGGUGGGCGAGAAAGAGGGCAGUCGAUUCUUAAGAGUCAGUAUUUCAUACAAUAACUUCGGAGUAGUGGGAUCAGUAGUUUUGAGUUUCAUCCCAAACUCGUAGUAGUCCAUUUCGAGGUAAAGUUGCAAGUAUAGUUCUUGCCCCAACAAGUAGUGUAGCCAUAGUUAUAGGAGAAGAAUUCCGUUAAGUUAAUAGUUUCCAGCAGGGCCGCUAGUGUUCAUCCAUCAGCUAGCAGCGCUAGUGUUCAUCCAUCAGCAGUAAGUAAACUCUCUUCUUUAGUGCAAUACCAGGCUCCCUGUUUCCUUGCCUUAAAUUAGGUCUUUAAGAGAGUACUGGUUCUUAUGCUUGUGUUUAAGGCUUACACUCCGUUCCUUGUUGGUCAGGUUAGUGCCAGAUCUGUAUUUGUUCUUGUAUUUCUCCUUUUGUUUCCAUUUCUUUGAGUUUGGAAGAUAGAUCUAUUUCACACCAAUAGCAUUCCUCGAGGAAGUGUAGUGAGCUACCCAUUCUAUUUGUAUUUUAGGCUUUCAGAGCACCCGAAGGCAUAGAGAGUCAGUCACUCAUUCAAUAUAUAUUAAUGAGCUAUGAGCUGGUCCAGUAUUCUAGAGUAUUGUUUCCUUUCCUCCUGAAUAGCUUUCUUAUGUACAGGCUUAUUCAAUAGUUAAUGGAUCAGAACCUGCAAUAAGACAUAGUUAAUGGAUCAGAACCUGCAAUAAGACAAUAUAAUGAAAGCUCAUCAUCAUGACAUUAUUAAUAUCCUUCCUUCGAGUGACCCCAGCUUAUCUAGGUGAUGAUUCAGGUGCUCUGAAUUACUAAUUCUUUAUAUCAUCUUUAUAGGAUUUAGAUCAUCUUUAUAGGAAGCUUUAGCUUGCUUAGGCUGCUAUUCACUUAUCGAAUUCAGUUCAUCAAACUCAACAUCUCUUUGACAUCACAACUUUGUUUGAUAAAGGAUAGGAUAGUUUAUAACCACUGGAAUUCUGAGCAUAACCUAAUAGGACAGUAUGCACAUUUCUGACUUAUGUCCUCGGUUCUCUUAUCUUCCGGUAUUUUGGCAAAUGGAACACACCGAAAAUGAUCAAAUGAGAAACUCGGCGUAAGCGCUCCAUACUGAUUCUGGUGUAACAUUGCUAAUUCGCGGAAACCUGUUAAGCAAAUAGACUGCACAAGCGACCCCUACUAUUCAUGAGGAAGGAUUCUUUCCAAACUAAUAGAUACAUCGAACAAUGUAAAGGAGAGUCAAUCAGUCCGUACGGCCUAUGUCAUUCUAUCUGAUACUCCAUUUGGUUUGGGUGUUUUUGUCAUGGUUCAUUUCCGUAUGAUUCUAUAUUCUCUUUCCAAAGAACUUUCCCAUUUUAUUGAUGUGUAUUCACGACCCCUAUCUGUUCUUAAGCAUUUUGUCCUACCUUUGUAUUUCAACCAAGUUCAUUCAUUCCUGAAACUUUGUAUUUCAACCAAGUUCAUUCAUUCCUGACAUUGACUUUACUUAGAACUUAUUAGCUUGCAUUUCCCUAAGUAAACCUCAGUUUGACCACUAUGAUCAUUAGUACUAGUAAGAAACCACCUGCUUCCGGAAAGUGAUAUUGGACGGGUUAAGUCUGUAACACCUACAGAUCAGUCGGAGUAGCAGUGCUUGAAGUCUCAGAUGCACUGGUUGUGGUCUGUAACUGCCUUGGUGCAUUCUGAGGGUCAGUGGUUGAAGAAUAAGUAGGAGUCGUUUUAGUCUGAUACUGAUUAGCUGCAUUCUCAUACAUACUGGUUUAUAAGCCUGCAACUCCAUUGGUUAAGUCUAGCUACCCUUGCUUGAAGUCUUGGAGUUACUGCUUUGGUUCUUGCUGGCACUGGCUUAAGUCUUGGAUUAACUGCUUCCCUUGCAGACCCUACUUCUGGAGUUUGAGCACCCGACUAGACCUAUAAUAAGUGUUCACCCCGAACCGACACAAGAACAGAAAGAGUAUCCACGGAAGUCGACCUAGACCUCGCAACAAGGUCUUCAACAAGAGAACCGACCUCUUAUAAGUGCCCGACCUCUCAUAACCUCACUUUCUUCACUGGAACUGGGGGGUCUCCUCUGUCAAUGUCCACAGAAUUCUACAAGUUGCUUUCGAGAAGAAGCUAGAUCCGGUGCUGGUGAGGAAGCAUAAUAAGUAUAGUCUCCUUCAGUCCCACAGUCCCAGUGUUGUCCCCGGGGUUUAGUAAAAUAAUCCCAAGAUUCUAGUAUCGGGAGCAGGUUCAAUGUGUGGGUGCAUUCCUUCUUUAUAGAUGGAUAUAUAGCAUCAGUUCAUAAAUUCAUGUUUUACUUAACUCGGCGUAACAAACAAGUAAGGGAACAAACAACUAAGCAAUAAACAAGUGCAAAGAUGGAGCGAGGAUGGGAUAGUGCAAAGGAACAGGCAAGCAAAAUAAUGGAAUUUCCGUAUUGUAUAGAAAGGCACCCUGUCAUUAUUGAAUCAGAGGUAUUGUGUUGACAACGAGAAUGUAAGUAGCAAGCGUCAAGUCUAGUUCUAUGAUUGGCUUUCCCGAGUGGUGGCCUUCUAAGAAUAAGCUGUAUGAGAAUAAGGAUCUUCAGCCACAGAUGGAGCAGGGUCUUUCUCGGCGGUCUCGGUUCGAGUUCAGUCAUAUCAAGAAGAUAAUCUAGCUCGAAGAGAAUACCCACGUUGCGAUUAAGCCGUAAAGUCCCCAGUCCCCUUCUGUUCGAGGUUAGGAAUAAAGAUCAUAAUAAGGAGAAGAUGUAUCAGAAUCAUAUGGAUCAGAUGAUUGAUUAGAAUCCACAGUAGAAUCCAUAUUUGUUGGUGACGAAGCUGGAAGUGAAGUUGAGUUCGUGGAAGAUUUUAUUACUUACUGUGAACCGAGGUGUGAAUGAGUUGACUAUAGGAUAGAAGCUAAGCAGUAUCUGGAUCUGAAAGGAUUCGCCGCCAGCCUCUCAAUCUUCUUUUCUUAAAGCAGCAGAAAAGAAACAAGCUUUCUUGCAAUUGAGUCCGAGUCGGGUCGGAAAGCUUCAAGUAAGGGCAGAGGUGUUCGCUCAAGUGGAUCAGUCUUAUGCUUCCAAGUAGAUGGAAUUUCCGCCUAAGCCCCGCGAGUCCGUUUCCGGACACCUCGUAUCAAAGCAGUAGAAUCUGUCCUGCGCUCUUUGACAGUUCUUUUCUUUUUUAUUAACUUACAUUAGAUAUUAAGACUGACUUUGUUUAUUAACUUACAUUAGAUAUUAAUAAGUGGGUAACUAGAUCAUCAGCUGUUGAAAGAGAGGAAGCCGACCACAACUCUAUUACCCUUACCAUCAAGUAAGGCUAGCUAACCAAACCUCGCAACUUUACUAGAGCGUAAGCACCAAACCAAACCUAGCAACUAACUACAAAGCUUGGCCCUUUCUUCCCCGCUUGCUGCUUCCUUUAGGGACCCAUACGAGGCACCCGCAUCUAUAUUAUUCACAUCUAUAUUAUUAUUAUAUUCUCAUUAUAGGAAUUGACACCCAUACCCGAGUCACCGAACUCUCUGGAACUACCCCCAAUAGUAAGUAAACCAGCCAUGCCUAUGAAGUAGCAGAAACCCUUCUUUCGAGCCCAAUGCGGGCAGUACAGUACAGUAACUAUCUCUUAAUGCGGAGAAGCAGCAAGUCAACUCUAUUCUUAAGGGAAGCUAUGAAAGGACUUGUGUUCGUGGCUUUGAAGCGGGUAAGGAGAGAAAGGGGAGUGAUUGUGCUCGUGGCUUGGUCAUUAGUAGUGAUUUGGCGGUCAUUAGUUGUUGUUGGCCUCAGGAAAACGGAUUGUAUGCCGCUGCUUGCCUACUUUAGAGGCUUAUUCCCACUAGAAAGAAGUAGCACGGCCGCUAGUCAAUCACCAUACCUUUAGUAGAACUCUAGACUUGAAGUCUAUAUUGGGUACUCAGGCUGAAACAACCAACUACCAGAAUCAAACACCUAACUACCCGACUUGAACCAGUGCACUAACAACAAGACUUAAACCAGUGGUCUAGGUAGUAUAGUAGUUGACAGAGGUAUCGAAGCCAGAGAGGAGAAGAGUUUCAUUCAAUACAGGUACCUGAGUUAGGAGUGAAAUGAAAUACCUGAUCCGGAGUGGAAGUUAGUAGGAGAUAGACUCUGGUUAUGAGUAAGCCCGAAGUCUGUCACUAUACCAUUAAUUUGACACCCAUAUCUUGCUGGUACAGGUUCGAUUCACCAAGCAACUACAACAAGAGAAUCGGAUUGCUAGUCUCCGUUUUAGAGGUAUAGUAGCAAUAGGUAGAGUUGCCUUGUCUACUUGCCCGUAUAUACAAGCUGCUUGUUAGUUGGGUGACUUUCUUCUAUCUAUUAUAGGGGUGUGUGCACUCCAUUUCUAUUCCUUUACUUUCUGGGGUGGGUGCCCAGCUGAGUUCAACAAGUAAGGAGUCAACAAUCCACUAUGGUAGCACUGAGGUUCCCGCUCCGUGCAGUGUUUUGUUACUCUCAUAUGCAACUGAUUUCAAUUCAAUGCCAGGUUUCUCAAGCAGUAAAGUAGAUCGUCCUGGCGCUACUCGCACUACAGUUGUUGCAGAGAGAAGCAGUUGCAGGUUUAGUAUCUGACAAGUCACUACUAACCGCUUCAAAAGCACUUGCAGUCUACUGCACUGGAACUAGACCUGGACUCUCAUCUACCUCUGUAAACUAAGAACUUCUUUCAAGAGCUAUACCAACUUAAUAUAAGGGCAACAGCCAAGCGGAUACUACAGGACUGGAACCCUACCUAGCGCUCAUCUAACUUCAUUCUGACUUGCUUCUUUAAGACAUCUCUUGCUUUAUUAAGACCUCUUGCAACUAUCCCUCUGAUCUUGCUCUUUGAACUCAGUUAGUGCUGACUUUCCCUUGCUUGAAGAGUCUGAUCCUUUCCUGGCACUGCUUCUUCUUGAGUAGACCUAUAACCCAGCUUCUUUAUAAGAUGAAACGAGGGGUGCCGAUAAGGGUUGAUGCAAUCGGUAACUAUGCUUUAUUCUUUUCUAGUUUACUAGAUCGUACCUGCUUCUAUGUCUUCCACUGGAUGCGCUAGAUGUACCCUGUUCUAUCUUAUACCAAUACUAGAUGCGCUAGCAAGGACUUGCUCAUAAAGGGAAGCGAUUACAGGACUUGGGGAAGAAAGAGAAUCCGGGUUGUUGACCGCCCCUACUCUUUGAGUCUAGUGGUAGUGGUCCAGUGGAUAGGCCCUCGCUUUGCUAUUAUGUCUAGUAAGACUGAGCUAUGUAGUUAAAGUCUUGGUAUUGGUCGCUAAGGUCUCUAUUGCUAUGUAGCUAAGGUACUACUAUAGGUAUGGUUAGCUAAGGUAUCUGAGCUAGUAGUUAGGGAAUGAAGCUAAGGAGUGAUAGAAUGAAAUCAGGUGUUCGGGAGCUACUGCCACUCAGGCUUCAAUCAGCGCAUCCAAGCCUUAAACGAGGGCCAAGCUUGGUCAUUAGUAGUUGUUUGUCUAGUAGUCACUUGGUGCAUCAGUACAAAGAUCAGAAUUCCACUGAGUAGUCACAGAAUGAAAUAGGACCCCUUAAGUCACGGAAUGCUCCCCACUCGACAAAGAAUGCAACUUGGUAGACUUAGCCGGAAACUCAGAAUUCAACUCAUCGGUGAGCUAGUAAGCAAGUCAGAAUCAAACUAAGAAGCCGGGUGCUCAAUUGGUUGAAUGAAACUAAGUUGUUUCAGAAGUAGAUGAGCAACCACUUUAUGAGUUUCCCUUAUAUUAAGUUGCCAGAGUGAAAGGAGAAGAAUUCUUGUAGAUGCUAGCAAUAACUUUAUUUGUAGCCUUUAUAUUAAGUCGUGUCGGUAGGCAAUAAAGUCAUACUGAUAGGCCCUUCUAGUCAGUUUCGGGUGCCAGUUUAGUGUUGUAGUGGAGAAUUGAAAUUACUAUAAGUCCAGGGCGAGGUAAAGUAGAAAGUCCUGUUUUUGGGGCCGCUCUUCAUCCCCUGUUCUCUUGACACUCUAGUAGUGGAAAGUAGUUCUCUUUAGUAAUAAUACCAGAGCCAAGCUCCUUGUUGCGAGUGUGAGUUGAAGACCGGUUAGUAUAAUACCUUGGUCAGUAGUCGUUAGUUGCCCUUAGAUUAAGUCGCCAGAGGUAUGGGAUAUCUUAGUUUAGGUAAGGGAGUGAAUUAGUACUGGAGUGAAAGAGUGAGUCUAGUGCAAGUCCUGUGUGAGCCUUUUAAAGAGAGGUCGGGUCAUCUAACUCUAGUGGAGAGUCCCUUAUUUACAGUUUCGGGAAGGUAGAAUCUGUAACCAAGGAAAAGAGGGUUCCAGUGGAAAUAGCAAGAAAGGAAGUAUUUGUUGGUUGACCAAGGAAAAGGGGUUCAAUUAUUAGUGUUCUACCAGAUGUUGUAGUGGUUGAAUUCCCUUACUUACUAGUAGCAUUCUUGUUGUUAGUGGUUUGAUUCUUCUACUAACCUAGUGCUCUCAAGUCAGAGUUCCACUUUCAGGGGAUAAACAGAAUCAUGAGCUGAGCUCGGGUAUGAUAGAAAGAAGUAACCUCGGAUAGGAUAUAGCUUCAAGAAAGAGUUGGGAUAGGAUAUAGCUUCAUGAGUUGUCCAAGCAGAAUGAAGUUCAUAGUUGCCCUAGAUUGAAGUUGCCGAGCCAGUAGUAUACGCUUGAGGAGAGGUUGCCAGUACUUUUCUUGUUGUUGGUGAAUACCUGUAGUUGUAGCCUGAGGAUAGAGAGUAAAGGGAAUCAAGAGAAGAGGAGUUGUUUGUUUCAAGAGCAAGAUCAGAGGAAUCUUAGGGAUCAGUAUCAAUAUAAGUAUACGCUGUUCCUAGAGGUCGGGUGUCAGCCAGUCCAGAAGAAGACCGGUCAGUAUAAUAUUAAGAAUGUAACAUCGUGUAGCACAGAAAGAAUAUAGUUCCCAAUCAGUUGGCCCGCAUCUAGUAUACGCUUGGUCAUAACCUGUUCUUGUUAUGUGCUUUUCUUAUUCCAGUUGUGUUCUAGGCCUUGCCCGUCUUACUUAGUUGCUUGGUCGUUAGCAGUUGCUUGGCGGUCGUUAGUAGUUGCUUGGCGGUUUCAAGUUAGCAAGGACAGUCUUCUAAUGGGGGCGGGUCUCCAGAUCAGUGGUUAAGGUAUGUUUGGCACUAGCUCUAUUCUAGUUAGCCAGUGGCGGGAUCAACAGCAAAAGUGUUUUUAGUUUGGCCCGGAUUCUUAUUAGCAUCGGCGUUUUCCCUAUUUCUAUUCUAAUGGAGCAGAGGGUGUUCCUAAGGUAUUGCUGUCAGCAGGUGAAGUCUGUCUUUUGCUACUUCGGUUCUGUAGUUACUAGUUUAGAGCGCUGGGCUGUGUACUACGCCCUUAUUCUUCUAUUAAUGAGUAAAAGACAUUAAUUAAGUCAAGUAAGCUUAUAGGGGCUAUGAAGUAGGGCUUAGUUAAAGGAGAGACCAUGCUCUAUGUGUGAGUGUUUGGAUUCUAUGUUGCUUGUUUGAAUAUUGUUAGCCGCAGCUGAUUUACUAGUUUAUAGCUCCAUUCUUUUUCUUAAUCGUAUACACUAUUUCAAUCUAGUUCCGAUUGGUUUCAUGCGGAAAGCAAGCCCGAGAUCAGGUUCAAUUAAAGUAAGCGCGGCAGGCCUAGGAAAGUGCAAUACUGAUUUAGAUGUAAGAGUUCUAUUCUAGUAGUUAGUAGUCACAGUCUUAGAUAAAGUAGUUCAAGCCCCAGUUCCAAGCUAUAGUGUUGUUAGGCCAAGGCCGUGUUCAAUUGCCUGUUUCCAGCUAAGGUAUUGUUGGUGGUAUCGUGUCUGUAUCGAUGGCCACUUAUGAGUAAAAGCCUUAUAAUGCGUAGAGCAAGCCCUAGUUCUUAGUUCGGUUAUUGUUGUUGGUGUUCAAUAGAAGGUUAGAUAGAGGAUCUAUUUUCUAUACGACAAAUCUGAGGUCGUAGUGAAUCCUAUGUGUUACGCGCCUAUCGCAGUUAAUCCUAUGUGUUACACCUAUAAAUGUAGAGGAAAUAGAUAGUAAAUGUAGAGCCAAUAUAUAGGUUGGAUAUUACAUAGAAUGAGUUUUCCAUGGCAACAAAUCUGAAGGCGUAAGGAUACCGGGCUAAGUCAACUAAUGCUAAUAGUAGUCAAAAUGAAUAGUACGCUAAUGGUAGUCCAAACUCAAAUGGUAGUCAAAACGAAUAGGUAGGUGGUAUAUGAUCUAGGGCAUCUAAGCAUAGGUACAUCCAGCGCAUCCACUAUAAUAACAACAAUAAUAAGUAGUAGAACAUAGAAUCAACUCAAUAGCAGAAGAAGGGGACAGUAAAGCAGAGAUCCGAAUUCUAAUCAUACGUAGCACCCGGGGAACUCUCUAACGCGCUUAAUAACUCGCUAACGGGCAAACAAGCGGAGAGCAAACAACUCCAAGAAGCUUAUGCGCCUUGAAUAGAAUUAGUACACCCAUUGGAGAAUGGAAGUAACCAAACCGAACUCCUCACUCGAAAUCCAAAAAAGAAGAAUAGAAGUGGUCCAUCAUAUAGAAAAAGUGAAUUAAUAAACUAAUGCACCCUCUCCUCAGUCUAUCGUAAGAGCGCAGGGAAAGGAAAUACACUCUCUUGACUUAAGUUUAAGAACAUCGACGACUUACUAGAUUGGCAUUGGCGCACCCGCUUGUAUACUCGUUUUUUGACUUCUUUCUUCUUUAACUCCACCGCUUGCUUGUUUACUGGAAAUAUAGAGAAUUGAUGAAUUCCUAUCAGUAUUGCUUUAUUGCUUAUAGUUCGUGGAACAAGCAAUUUGUUGCGCUUACAUGAGUUGUGCGUUAGUGAGUUCAAUUGAACCCUAGACAAAGGUUACCAUCUUAUUGCCCGGACUUGCAUGAGAGUCUGAUGAAGCGCCCGUAGGUAGACUAUUUAUUAUGGCCAGCGCCCAGCAGCUCUAUUCCUUUGACUUUGCGUGCUUGGCUUAAUCUUCGUGUGACCCAGACUUAUAUACGCACUAAAACCUCUCUCACUUAUGAGAGAACCUCUGUCACUUAUGAUACACGUCACUGAUUGCCUUUACUUCUUAUGGGCUUCUGCUUGUUCCAAUCAUACGAGUCUUUUUUUGAGCUUUUCUUGAACAAGUAUAUUGUACAACACUGGCACCCAAAGAUACUCUACCAUAGAACUCACUUUAGCCUUAGAAUUCUUUAUACUCUCUACAAUUACACUGAAACUAAACUUAAGUAGAGACCGCUUCAUUCUUUGUUUACUCGGCGCGUAGGGGAGCUUCAAGUUCCAGUAAGGAUUUCGGGAGUGUAGUGGGCAGUAAGGUAUUCGAUCUCUAGGGUUGGUCCAGCCCUGAGCCCAGAGUGAAAGGCUUUCAUUGCGCCUAAGGAGUUUGUCGGGCAAGACGCAGCAGGAAGGAAAGUAUCAAUACGAGUUCCAGAAAGAUAAAGCACUUGUACUAAAUACAUUAUAAGGAGUUAUUAACGGGUCCGGCGGUGACAGAAGCUCUUCUUUAAGAAUGAGUUUAAGCAGGAUCCGGAAAGGGGAAUCGAAUUGAUGAGUAUAGAACAAAAGCAAGGUAAUAAGAAGAAAAGGAGAAGUCGACUUGGAAUGCUGGUCUUUCACUUUCAGUUCUUGACCCUGUAUAGUAAGCUUGAUUAUGGCCUUCCUUCUUCAACCCAACCCUGGAACUUGGCUUUCCCUUUGUUGGCAUGGCAUAGAGAGAAUCCGCGGUAAAGUCCCCCUGGACGGUUAAGUGGGUUUACGCUCUCCUUGUAGUAGAUUGGAGAAAGUUGUCUAGGUUGGUGCUUCGCUUGCAUUAUGUUAAGGGUAGUGUAGUUCGGGUGCUUGUGAGAAAGCGGAAGUCUCAAUAGGCUGUUGCUCCUUGUCGUAGUGGAGAGGUUCGGUACUCUAGCUCUAAGUCUACUCGAUGAAAAGAUGGAUCUGGCCUUGCAAACGAUCCUUUAUCCUUGCUAGGAGUUUGGAAGACGAAUCUGUUGAAACUUGAUCUGCAGCUUCGUAAGUUAUUAAAGAAAGUCAAGACUCAGUAUAGAAGAAAGAAAAAGGGCUUUCGCCUCUCGUACCAUGUCUUGUUCUUCAAGAAAUGACUAUUCUUUAUCACCCGAGGGAACUGCUUAUGGUAUAUGGUAAAGGAAUGAAGAAUAUAUUAAUAAUAGGAAAUCUCUUCUCUUAUAUAGAGAAAUGGGGCCGGUUUUCACUUGAUAGAAAAUGUCCUGCUAAGUAAGUCCCAGAUGCACUUCUUUCAAUGGGGAAUAAUGGGGAACACCUGUGCUGUGAUAGAGUUAGGGAGUUACGGUCAUUCCCUUGUUCUUCCUAAUGAACAGGAAGAGUCCGGAUUGAAUCAAGUCAUUCCAUAUAAGUUAGGUAUAAAGCAAGUCCUUUAUUUCAAGGAAAGGUAAUAAAUCGGAACUAUAAGACAGUAUCUAGAUUCAAGUUAAUUACUUCAUUCUAUCUUCCCUAUUCAUUAUUCCUCAUAUGUAAGUGUAACACAUUCAUUAUUCCUCAUAUGUAAGUGUAACAACUUCAUUCUUUCCUUUCGGAGUCUGUGCCUUAAGCUGAAGUCUACAUCACCGGGAAAGUAUAAGAGCGGAUUCUAUAACAAGCGAUUCCAUACUUUACCUUCACUAAUGGAGUCUAUUGGGCCUAGCCUAUGGCUUCUAUAGAGUCUGUUUAAGUCUUAGGCUAGAUACUUCUAAGCCGGACUUCUCUGUGCUCUACUAUUGAUCAAAAGAGCGGCUAUCUUUUCCCUUGGAUUAACUAUUCCGAAACAGCUUAUUUGGGUUUAUUAAAUGAUUCUUUAUUACCUUCCUCCAAGACCGGUUACGAAAGCUGCUCCCCCUAGUAUUGAAUGUGAGGCUCUCUUGGUGUUGAACUCUCGUGGGAAUUGGCAGUGACUUUUGCAUCUCUCUCUGUGCAUCCUACGUUGCUACUAAGACGGCAUUUCUAUUCCUAUCUUCUUAUCGCUACUGUGAAACCUGCUCUUGCUAUAUAGAAAGAGAAUUCUCCUGUUUGUGAAAGAGAUUUGAAAGACGCACCUUAGCCAGCAUCGAAAUUAAGUGACUAUUGAGUAAGAGAAGGGGAUUCUGUGUAAAAUAAUUGGAAGAUGGACAUGAAACCUAAUAAGAAACUACACUUAUAUCCCACUAGCUCAACCACAGCUUAUUCUCGAGCAACUUCUUCUUAAACAACCGAUUCUCUAAUAGCAGCAGCGGCAACUGAUUCACUGACCUAUGUAACUUCCUUGCUAAUCGGAUUCUCUAGAUCGAAUUAAGGAAAAAGCUGGAAUAGCCAACACAGUUAUCUGCCUACGUGUGAUGAUCUUGGUGUGUAUCCUGUUUCAGGACGAUUAGGUUGCUCGUUGAAGGGUGCAGGGAAGAGGCGUAUCUUCGCCAUUGGUAACUACAUUAACCAACGACUACUUUCACCUAUGAAUUAAGGGUUAAGAUAUCAUUGUCUAAAUCCCUUAUUUCGAAAACAGCGUGUGCAGAGUUUGCCAAGAGGUUAUGAGUUUAGACGAGUUGAGACCAGAGUUUGCCGAGAGGUUAUGAGUUUUGACUUUACUUCAGUCCUAUCUCGUCUCGUUGUUUGUCCAACUUCUAUCAUCCUGUAGGUUUGUAUGCCAUUCGGAUGAUUUACCCUAUGAAAAGGUUUUGUACGUAUUGUAGUAUCGGAGUGUUGUUGGGCUACCUGAACCUUGGUCGUCUUCACAGUGACCGUUGUGCGUCUGUAAGACGGAUGCGAUGACUUUGAUAUAAGCCUAAUUAUCCAAUUGAUUGGUGAAGUGGCCCCUUUCUUUCGAAUUGAAAGAAACAGUAAAGCAAUAAAUCCACUAGAAUCAAACCAAAGGUAGCUGUAAAAUCCGCUUUGGCUAGCUGUCCAUCCCUAGUCUCGGUUCAGUGUUCCAGUACCAAUUCCAGUCUUUUAGGGGUAGGGGAGAAACACCAAAACUGCACUCUGCCUCUUAUGAAACGUUACUCUGCCUCUUAUUAAUAUCUAGUUCCGUACCGUAAGGUCCCCUUUCCGCUCCUAGCGAGCUAACAUCAUCAAAACCUUUACAAUAACCUCUAUUCGAAGCCCAGCCAACCAUGAUUCCCAUUCCCCUGCCUGUAAAUGCAUAUAAGGAACCACUGAGCUCUCCUGGCUAGCCAAGAAAAAAAGCCUAAAAAGAAAGACCUUACUAGCAAUAGCAAUAAUGGUAGAAGCCAUCUCUUUCCUAUUCCUUUUAAAGAAUCUAAUCCCUUAGAUCUGUACAUUCUGGAUUAGCUGUUGCUAAACUUGGCCCUUUCUCGCUUGGGGAGUGAGACAUGCCAUAUGUCAAAUUCUGACAACUGUAAAAACCAUCGCGCUUUCCUUACCUUACUCAACUGUUUAAGAAUAUAGAUUUGUGCUGUAGGUAACCCAGCCCCUAAGGGUAGUACCGGGCAUAAGCUUACAUAGCAGCGGACAUUUGAAUAGCAUAAUUCUUAGGAGGAUUCCAGAUAGAGUAAGAAACACUUAAUGUAUUGACGUGGUAUAUUACGAUAUAGUAAUGCUCGCUCCGCUUUUCCCCAUGGAUGAAAUCGUUACUCUUUGUCAAAUGGUAAUAUCUUUCUUUCCCUUUUGCAUAUCUCUGUACAAGUACUUUGGGGGUGAAUACGAAAUCUACCCUACAGAGAGUUCAUUAACGUAUUAUAGACAUAUGACAUAGGUUCAUUACCAGCUUUCUUUGCUUCUAGUCAACUCUCGUAGAGAGAUGAAACAAAGUAGUAGAAAGGAGUAGGCUUCUUCUCAAACAAGUAUCCUCUUCGUGGUAUAACCUUGUCACCCAAGUAUCUUGCAUACUGCAGCUCUUGAUACUGCUUAACUUCUGUCUAAUUACCCUGUUUGUUGGGAAGAGUAAUACAUUUACCUUGUUACCCCAUUUACGUUGUUACCCCUGGAAGAGUAAUACAUUUACCUUGUUACCCUUAUAGGGUCAGAAAGGUCUACUAAUACAACUAGGACAUUCUACUAAUACAACUCUACUAGGUAGGACAUUAUACUAAUACAACUAGGACAUUCAAUAUAAGUCUAAAUAAAUCAAUACAAGUUGGACAAGUGAUAUUGUAGACCCGCCUAAUGGAGCCUACUUCCUACAAUGGGUGAAAGGAUUUUCCUCUUCAAAUUCCGGAGGCUUUCGAUCUGACAUCAAGACUUGUCUUUCCAAUUACCAUUCGGGCCCGGCAUAGGAGAAGUUUUCAUGAUCUACUAAGGAGAAUUUGAAUGAACAUCGUAGUAGUCUCGGACCAGAAGGUUUAUAUGAAUCAGCAUUACCUCCAUAGUAACCACGCCGAAUGCAUGUAUAAAGGUUCCUAUUUGGUAUAUGGAUAACACUUUCAUGUAUUUUUCUAUCCAGUGUUUCAGAAGCCAGACGAAAUCUUUCUCCUUCUAUACGAAAUUAGGAAAAAGGGAGAAAUACAUAUAAUAUAGAAACAAAACGGACUUAGCUAAUAUAGAAACAAAACGGACUUAUCUCUUUUGUGUCCAUUCAACGAGACGAGCCGGCGGUAUAGUAUAGUAGCUUGCUUUCUUAUUCGAUCUUGUCUUCUUCUUCCAGGCCAGGUGAAGCUUUGGUGAAGCUUUGAAAUCCAUCUUUCAAAGAGCCUAUGAUGAUUCCCUUUAGAAAAGAAAAGGGCAUUCGAGUCGAGUAAACUAUACGUCAACUAUACGAGGGGGAAGUCGUCGCUCUUGCGCCUUGCUGCUUCUCUUAUUCUUUUUUCGACUUUGUUUUGUUUAGUGAUUGCUUAUCUCAUAGAGUCUAAGUCUAGUCACUCAACUAAUCAACUCGUGGAAUGCUAGUGGUUUAGUAGUAGUCUGGUAGUUUAGACUCCCCCCUUCUUAUUCUGUAAAGCCGAGCCCUUCUAUUAGUCAGGCACUAGAGUCCUAUAUAGGGGUAUAAAAAAGGGUAAGCAUCCUUCAUAGCUACAGAGUUUUGUGAGCUAUCGUUUUUUGAUAUAAAGAAUCUCCGUUCCGUCUAGUUUGUCUCCACUGACCCGCUUUACGAUCUCCUAUCAAGUGAAACAAGAAUGGAAGGAAACAAGGCAAACGGGAGCAGAUAGCACCAAAGCGAAAGGCCUACUAGGAGAGCAGACCAAGUCGGAUAAAUCGGUUUUCAGGAAGCAAGCAAGGCAGCAAGCUUUCUUCGGGUCCCCCUUUCCAGCACCAAGGUACCAACAAAAGCAAAGCAUAGCGACCAGACCAAAUCACAGAAAAGAAGGAGAAGGGAGCUUACGGAGCUUAGAGAUACUGGAGUGGAUAAAGGUAAGAGAAGCAAGGACGGAGUGAUAUGAGCGUAGGUUAGGUCAGCUACCAACAAAGCUAGGAAGCAGGCAAGUAGCUAACACAGCUAGGAAAUAAUAAUCCCUGGGCUGGGAUUCGUUGACAGAAGGAGGCAAGAUCCGCGCGCGCUUAAUAGACUCCAAGAUGUCUCUUCGCAAGGCACAAAAGGCCCUCCUCUACUAUCCUUGUCUAAACUCUCAAUCUUCCAUUAUGCAUUUUCUAACAAUAAUAGGGGGCGUAGCGAAACUCUUCAUCAGGACAAGACUCUUCUGAUUGGCCCUCCUGAAGCCGGCUGCUCGAUAGUGUUUUAUCGUCCUGAAGCCUCGCCUCUGAUGACACAACCUCGUAGGCAGCAGUCUUUUUGAGUAUCUACCACAGCUUUUUCCAAAACAUUAGCUUUCUUUUUCUUUGCCAUGAACUGGCUAAGUCAAAACCAUCUUGCAGUCCACCUUCUGUGGUAGGCCGAAAAACAGGGUUGGAGCCUAUAUUGACCAUACUCUGCUUUGAUCUUGAUUGCAAGACGGACUCUCCUUCUUUUAUUCCUCCAUGAGAUCAUCCUCCAAGGCGCUAAGUACUAACUUAUAAGAAACCUAUGCGGCUGAGCUUUAUCGGGCUUAUUGUGGUAACUCUUCCCAUUCUUAUCCUCCGCUAGGUACACAAAACGGAGGUUUUCUUUUGAUCUUAUAAUAUCCGUCUUUCUUUUAGCUUUCUUCUUUUCAUCGCUAAACCCUUGCCUUGUUAAUGGGAGGACGGGUUGGUUCUUUUAAGAAACAUAUUUCUGGGUUUGGGAGCUAUUUCCACUCAGAUAUAUUAGUUCUAAACAUGCAGACCCCUCCUACUCAACUGGUUUACUAGCUUUACUUUAAUAGCCACAAAAGCAACUGACCAAUCUCUCUCUUGUUGUCCCCUAAUAAUCCUUUCCCGGUGGUGGAUCAGAGCUCUUGCCCUCGUAGGACACUCUAAGCCAAGGCUCAAAAGUCAGUAGGAGUUUACUACACAUCGAAAGGUACCUACUGACCCGUUUCGACGUCGUUUUCUUCAAAUUAGCUAAAGUGCGAUACCCACAAUCACCUAAUAUAAAGAAGGACGAUACCAACUUUCUAUGAGAUUUAUACGCACAAGCAGAAAGCCCAUACGGGUGAUGGCAGGACAAGACAGCACGUGCCGAAAUAGGAUCCCAGUCUACACGACGAUCCUUAACCCUACCCUAAAUCGUUUAGCGAACUCGGCACAACCAGUAUAAGAGAUAAGAGAUUCUAGACUUCAAGGUUCUGAGUGAGCGCGAAGAGAGGCCAUAUGAGGAAUGAUAUCAGAGAGGCUGCCCAGCUACGAAACGGAAAGCUUUCCCUCUGCCUUUCACAAAGGGGACCUGCAACAGGUUCAUUGCUAAAGCAGAAUUCACUACAGCUUCACUUCCGCAAAUGCUCUACCAAACAUACACUGAAACAUCUCAAACAUGAAAACGAAAACCUAUAAGUGGCCGACUUUAAAUCAAAUGAGAAGCAAUGUCUGUGGCCCACUAGUCAAUCCAGAGGUGAGGUCUGAUCAGAAGUACCAGCCUGGAGUCUCUUUUUGAUAACCUGCGACAACCAGUAAUGAACUGUAUGGAGUGACCUUUGAUUUACAACGUUACCUAUGGCAAAAAUCCUCCUAUUUCCUCCACCCUAAAUUGACUGACCCAACCGCCCAGUAACAACUGGCCCCACCUCGGGAGACCGGAAGAAACGGACAAAUCCGAUGUUCAAAGAAUUAUAGAUUCACUUAAUAAAGACGUUAGUUAUAGGGGUCAAAUAGAGACCUUAUGAAAAGAGCCCUUUAGGUACCUUGGUUCCUUUGUUCCCCCCUAGCAUGAAAAAACUCUACAAGCCAUCGAAAUCCCGGAAGUUCAAAAGUGUGAGCUGGAAAGGAAGACCGACAGCGUUUACACUGUUACCUAUCAUAACGAGAAAACACUGACAGCAUAGUAUAGAAACGAAACUAGGCAAUGCUUUCCACGUAGGUGUCCAUAGCAUAUUAUGGGGUAUCGAACGGAUAUCAGGUAUGUACCGCAGUCUCAAAUCUUCCAUAAAUCGGCUUUUCUUCUCUCAGUUACAAAUUGAUAAACAGCGUCCAUAUCGGCAACGGGAGGACUAGAAUAUAAGGGCGAUUCCAAAGUGUCUUUUUGAAUCUUAGACCUAUAACAAUAAUCCGAGACAGAGAAUGUGAAUCUUAGACCUAUAACAAUAAUCCGAGACAGAGAAAAGAGAAAGAACAAGAAGGUGCUGAAAGCCUAACUCGUGAAUCGCGACGGUACAUACGCCUAGAUGAAACCGAGGAACGGUACAUAUGCCUAGAUGAAACCGAGGAGAAAUUAGUGGAUAUCCUCAUUUCGUGAGGGAGACAGGAACCGGAAGCUUCAGAGAUCAUGUGAACGAAAGAUUCAUAAGUGGGAAAAAGGCCCUUUCUAGAGGUUGUCCAUCUAUGAAUGAGGUUGUCUAUCUAUGAAUUCGUGCUCAAAGUAUGGGCUCUUUCCCUGUCUCCAUAAACAUAAAGGAAGAAUAAACCAAAGCAAAGAGCUUUCUGUCAGCUUCUAUUCUCUAUUCCUAUCCGAGUGCCUCUUCUCUUCCCAUGGUACCCACCUCAAAACGGAUCCUAAUUCUCUGCCGUGUCUCACUCUUUCAAUCUUGAGACAAGUCUAGCCUAACUCAUUUGUAGCCUUUAACAAAGGGAAUUCGUGCAGCUCAUGGAUUGUAUAAACAUUAGGCUCAGGUUUGCCCUGCCUUUGUAGAAUGAAAAAGAGUAGAAAGUAGAUUUCCGUAUGCUAUUUAAAGUAUAUUUCAUACUAAAAGAAGUUUACCUCAAUGAAACGGGGAUUUCUGCCUAGCCUACGGUUUCAGGUGAAGGGACAGAGACGUCCUAUUUCUACGUUACUUGUCUCAUUAAUGUGAAAACUGGCAAGCGGAGGUGCGCUAGCUUCAUAAUUAAUAAAGCAGUUCGUUCCGGAUGUUCCACUUUUUCUUCAAUCGGGCAAGCUUGCUUAACAUAUGAUUAUUUUGACUCUAUAUUUGAGCAUUCCCACUUCUGUGAUGAGGAAGACCUUCUUUUGGAUGCCUCGCCGAGGGAUUUGACCAGCUCUAGCUACUGAACUAGAAGCGAUUUCGCUUAGCUCUCGAAACAACCUAGGCGAAUGAGAAAGUUGUACCGAGUCAACUAAUUGACUCUUUUUAGGCUCUACCUGUAAUUACAAUCUAAGAUGGGAGAACCGCAAUAAGACCUGAGAGCUUAUGGCAAAGCAUCGGGAGGGAGUGUCAUUGACCCGAUUCUAGAAAUACCAUCUAUGAAUUAGGGACGUUAUCUUGCGUACGAAUUCAUGUUGUCAACGAGGAUCUUUGCCUCUUCUUAUUGUUUCACAGCCAACUGUAUAAUUCAAAUAAACAAAAAAGAAUGCCUUGGAGAGCGGAAAGAAUGUAGGAACGAAGCUUCCCGGAGUCCUCAUCCCAAGUCGUCGAGAAAGACCUUGUUUUGGUUCUAUCACCAACUCUUGUUUGAAAGGAAUGGUUUAUCGAAAUGAGACUAAAGGUUUGUUACUGGAAAUGAGACUAAAGGUUUGUUACUCCGUGUCCCUCAGCAUUUUAUAUUCAACCGUCGGGGAAGAGAUGAAUAGAGAUGGAGACCUAGUAAGCACAAGAGACUUUUGCACAGCAUCAUAUAUGUAAGCCAGUCAAUACUUUCCGGGGAUCCCUAUCUUUCCUCUUUUCGAUCUUUGAGUCGUCCAACAUCUUAUACUACUGAAGCAUCCGAUAACCCUAAAGUCAGAGGAAUAGGUCUUUCCCUAAAGUCAGAGGAAUAGGUCUUUCCAACCAGGUAGAAUGACUGUAUACUUUCUUAGGUAGGCCAGCCACUGCCCUUCCUGCUCAAACUUACCCAUCCGAGUCUUUUACAGUAGCUCCUCAUCUUCUUUCUUCUUUUUCUGAGAGAUCAGACGGUGAAUCUAAAGUACCUUUGUACUAAGAGACCUCUCCCUUAGCAAGUCUUGGAAAUAGAGAAUCUAAUAUAAGAGAAUAUAUCAUACGCCUUUACUCUAAGACGAUGCUUAUACUCUGCCUGGGCCAGACUCACAGGUAAGACUAUCACUUUUCUCGGGCGGGGAAAGUCCUUUCCAUCUACAGAAGCAUCAAAGAGUCCAGUCCAUCCCCCUCAUCAAGUAACUCGUAAGACGAUCCCUUUGAUGACUCUAAGAGGUAAGACUAUCACUUUAGUAGAACAGCAAUUCUGAUUCCAUCUCCUGGCCAACUCGAAUCUGUCUUGGGGGAAUAGGAAAGACUCCUUGGGCGAACCGGAACUCACUCAUACUAACACGUAACUCGCUAACGCCUGAGAUAGACGCCCCCGUCAGUGACUCGACUUCUUUUAGUAGCGCUAAAACGGACCCUUGUACUUCGCUCGGUUCGGUGCUUAUAAAACUCAAAAGAAGCUAACGCUUACCUUUUCUCUUAGGGGAGGCUAGGGCAAUAAGCAAUGCAGUUUAGGUUCCUUUCUUAUAUCCAGAAGUAAUUGUGAUAAAGAAGUAAUUGUCGUUAAGAUUCAUUUCUGGAAAGUGGAGUUCACCCUUAGCCUAUAUGAGUGAUUAAAGGAAAAAAAGAGUAUGCUGUUUUAGAAGCAAAAGAAUAAGCGUGACCACUGAAAGAAGAAGGUAAACGGACUCUGUUACUCUAACCUUUUUGAAUUUCAUCGAAACUUGUCGAGCUGCACUUGCUACCGAGAUACCAGCUAUAUAGUAGGGGAAUUCAUGAGUUUGGAGGAAGAGUAGGGCCAAGUCAAAUAGGAAUUCAAUAUCAAUCAGUCAACCUGCAAUUAAGGGCAUAUCAUGAAUUCCAGAAUAUAUAUGGCAUAUGAUAGAAUAUAGUAACAAAACAAUAUAAACUCACUGACGACGCGCCCCUUCCUAGUUUCAAAUCAUUUUCACUGACAUAACACAUAUGCUAUAAUUGCAUAGCUGGACUGUUUACUCCAAUAAGCCGGCCCCAAGAGAAUGAUAGAUUUGUUAGCGAGCGGCGAACUCACGUUGCGCUUACGGAGCCUAUUGUUGCUUGUUCAUUCUAUUGCUUGUUGAUUCUUCUGAGACUUAUUUCCGUUAUUUGAGUUUGGGCCAGUAUGUAAAGUUGACCUUGAAUGGAAUCUAUCUAGUUAUAUGGAUCUGGAAUGGAAUCCAUCUAGCCAUAGGAUCUGAUCUGGAAUGGAAUCUAUCUUGGGCAUAAUCUCUAGCAUAUAAGGGAGUAAUCUGACCUCUUCUAUACUCAAUGAGAAGCAUUCGCCAACUACUAAUUAGCUCCUAGCGAAAACAAGCCAAUGAAUUCCAUGACGCUGAUACGAAAACAGCAACUUAUCGAGCUAAUGCGGAUUCUCUCGUCGCAAAGACAGAUGAAACUCAACCUUUCCCGCUUUCGGCUUCUGAUCCAGAUUUUUAUACGAGAUACGAUUCCACUCGAACAGGCUAUGAAUCUGUUUCUAUUCUGUCAACAACACCUAUUGGCGCACUUGCUCCUGUUGUACCGAGUCAAACAGUAAUUUCAUCUCCAUUUUGUGCAUAUGGUAUAGAUCUCAGUAAAUACACUUCUCCUUCUUAUGCAGUUGGUCGACUUUCAGUUCCUCAUUGAAUUGAUUUCAUCAUCUAUCUUCUUAUCUAAUUACCCAAUAUUUCUAUACAAGGGAACACCUCUUUUGUCAGCGCCAACCUCUUUUCUUAGCGCCAACACAAUCACUCCCGAACCCAGGAACUAAACUCACACUUGAAGAACAGAACCGCGCUUGCUUGCUUGAUUGAUUGAUACCCUGUUUCGCCUAACCUUCCUUGUAGUGGGCAUUCGAACGGAGAUGAAACAAGAACCUACCGACCCCAUUGCUGAUUACUUUCUAACUGGAACUAAUGAAUUGGAAUGGAAUCUUGAGAGCACAUGUAGUAUAGAUCUCAGUAAAUACACUUCUCCUUCUCUUUCUUCCUCAUCUGCUCUUUCCACUAUAACAGGAGCAGGCUGGCCUACAAAGAUCUCCAGGAACUCAACCUUUCCCGCUUCUCCAGGAACUCAACCUUGCCCGCUUCCUUGAAUUCAAUAAGUGAUCAAAAGUUCACUCCCUUAGUGCAAUGAUAUAUAAUUUCUGAAUAUUACCUUGUUAUCUAUACUCCACUUUAUACUUUACAGAGUUUUGCUUGUUUGCUUGUUCCUAUCGUUAGCCUAAUUCAGUUCAUAAGACUUCUCGGAAUAAGCCCAUUUUCUCAGAAUCAUACGCUUUCUUAAUAAGCUCUUCUACAUAAUCUAUUUCACUGCGGUGCGGAUCCGGUGCUUUAUAGAAAGCCUUAAUAAAUAGAAAGGAAAAGUACAAGCUUCCAACUGAGAAAGCGGUCUCCAGAUCCGCUUUUUCGUCUCGAUUCCCCACCCGGUGCCUAAAACUAACCCCCGCUCGAGGAAAGCCAUCAACUAUGCCUUCUUAAUAGUGUGCCUUUAUUUAUGGAUGGUGUUCUCGGUAUCGUUUUCUUCAAGAGGGGAAGGAAUCAGGGGAUGCCCCAACAAGAAAGAGAGUCAAUCAUUUCACUCCUUAUGGAUCACGCCUCACUUUCCUGAGAUCAACUGAUAUGGCCCCUAACCUACACUCAGCUCUUUCUAAAAGGAGUAGGUCGUACGCUGGUAGAGUUCAAGAAGCCCACUUAUCAUUUCAGUAUGCUUCUCUAAAUCGGGGGAAUAAGUCAACGCUGCACAAUAUGGUCUUUUUGUAGUCGCUCUGAUUACUAUCUCUCCCAUCUCUUGUAUGCUUGCGGCCUAAGGAGAAAGCAUCAAGGUGAGUGAGAAAAAGGCGUAGUGCAAUCAAUUCUCUUCUUUAGAAAUACUUUGUGAGCGUCUAUGCUGCUGUGGCCAAUGUUGGCGACCUUUUCUUCCCCGACCCGGCUCGCGUCGUUCCAAAUCUUCAAUGAGAAACAAUAGGGAUCAAACACUCUCUUUCCCGCCUGACACAGUUUGACACGCGGUGAAAUGAGCGGCACUCGACUGGGUAUGCAUAUUUCCACUUUGAUGAUAGAGGUAAGGUUUUCAAUCCAUAAGAAGAGAAAGAAGUAGAUUGAGGUUAAGAUGAAGAAGACCUGCUAUGCUAAAGAAAUGCAAGGUUAGUAUUGAAACUAGUUCUCUUCUCAAAGACGAGCCCAAACUGUCCCCACUAAGAAAUACUGCCUUUGCUCUAAUCGCUCCCGCUGGUGUAGCAAGCCCAUACUGCUCCCGUGCCUCUGUACCGUCCGUAUUCCUCAAUCAAUCUAGUAAGUGACCCGAAUAAACCCAAGAGCUAAUCCAUUCUCUCUUUACUACUAUUUCUCUGAUCUGCUAUGUAUUUUGACAUUCCAGUUUGAUUUCUUUCUUUACCUUGGAAAUUCUCCACGCCCAUAAAAGAAAUAGAAGAUAGGCAGCCAAUAUACCUGUUUGUUUCCAUUCUUUACCCUCUCCUUAUUCAUUUCCUGUCGAAACCAAUAGUGUGAUUGGGCUUUGCUAUCCCUUCGUGCCUUUCUGAUACAUACGAUCAAAUAAGGAAAACGGAUAUAAGGAGGAAAGCGCAUUUCAUUAUAAGAACAGUAAGCAAAGCAAGCCCUCUUUCUCUUCCACUUCGCUACGGUAAGCAAAGAAAGCAAGCCCUCUUUCUCUUCUACUUUGCUUAUGAUAAGACUCAAACCAUGGCAUGGACUCUUUCCACAAUCUGGCACCGCCUGUCCUCUCUUGCUAAAGAAUAUAGAAUGGAAUUUCUCAGGUUAAUAUGAUAUCUGAGAUUGAAACCACUCAGGAAAACUAUAAGAGAAGAAUUGUAGGAACCCAAACUUGAUUCACCACUCGGUUAAGACGAACAAACAAGCUUAGGCGCUAAGAGAAGAGAAAGAAGAGGUUGGAAAAGGGCAAUCCGCUCGUUAAGAAGCUUUUUCAAUAAAGAGUAUAAAGUGAGCGGACCUACUUACUUAAUCAGAUAACACAAGUUGAUCUUGCCCUCAAACACCGGUUUACAGAGACUCGGCACCAGAAACUAGUCCUGUUGUCGGUGAAGAAAGGAGAGUUCGACAAGCAACUGAAUCCGCUGCGCCGAGAGAAGAAUCAAGUCUAGGAUAACUAGGUUCAAAUUCAUUCCUUGGGUAGUUUCUUUGUUUCGUAGUUGCUCGGUGGAUGAAAAGACUUCCAAUCAGGUGUUACUGUCCAAUAAGUAUUCGAAGGAAUAAGCUCUUUAUUAUUAGCCGACCCUUACUUCUUCAGCGCUAAGCAUAUUUAUGAAGUAGAGUUCGCCGGGGUGCUUAUGUGAGCUCGGGCUCAGGGAAAAGUUGGUAUUUUACUAGAAAGGGGGGGGUGUCAAGGCCUUAAUGAGAAAUCCGAAAAUAGGGAUAACAGCCUUCUUAGACAAAUAGAGGUAACAGCCUUCUUAGAGAAAUAGGGGUAACAGCCUUAAAGACGAUAAAUAGGGAUGUUAAGCGGUAAACGACAAGAAAUCUGUCUUUCUCAAGCGCUAAGCAUAUUUAUGAAGUAGAGUAUCCACAAGCAAUGGCGCUUACGGAGCAUCAACGGCAAACAAGUGGUAUAGAGAAAUAAUGGCUUUCGCACACUAACAAGCUAAGGAGCAAGCCCUUGCGCAAGACUCCGUAAUUGAGUUCCAUUUCUCAAGUCAAGUUCGGGUGUUGUUGGCAAUGAAUCUAAGGGCAAGUCGAAUCAGUAGAAUCUCUAAUGGAAGCUCUGCAGAGGUGCUCUAGCUCUAAGUCUUGUUUCGGGUGCUAGUCCAGUAGAAGUGACUUUGUCAGGUUCCGGUAUUUCAUUGAACUCCUAACCUGUCUGAAACUCUUCCUCGCCUCAAGCGUAUACUACAAAGGCAAAAGAUGCUGGGCGAGUUAAGUAUCCGACAAGUCACAGGAGUGAUUACUGGCAAAGAGUGACUUAAGGUACUCCAAAUGAAGCCGAAGCCAGUUCCAGUUAGUUAUGGGAUAUGAAGCCGAAGCAGUAGAAGAGGGAAAGGCAACUUCUAGGUAUAUGAUAGCGGUAGUAGAGUCUCUUGGGGUAGUAGCAGUACAGAGAGGUAGGUUCGGUAAGACCUAUGCUUUGUUGGUUACCUCGGGUUUAUUGCUGAUAGGCUAGAAUCCAUUUCUCCACUUUAUCCUUAAGAACUUGGCUCUGUUACUACUGACUCAACAAAUACGGAUGAAACAGGUUCCAUGGCCUACCUCUUUAGGUUUGACUCAUUAUUCUAUUGAUAAAGCUUCCUCACCCGAUCCCCAAGUCCUGUCUGUGAAUCCAAAGAAUAACUAAGCUCCGUAUAAUGUAUAAUUGAUUCAGGUAACACUUCAGUAAGGUUAAGGCUUGAAGACCUGAUUGACGGAUGAGAAUAUUAGUCUCCUACUGUUGCUACUAUCUGAACUCACUCCUCUUGUUGAACCGGCAACUGAUCCUUCAACUGAAACACUCCACUUGAUGAAGAACCGAAACUCCUCACCUCGAACUGGAACUGUCCGAUAAAGAGCUAGAGCCGUGACUUAUGAUUCUGGCGUCUCUGAUUCUCUCGUCGACAAGAAUGAAUUUGAGCCUGACUUUCCGGACUUGGAAUCUACUAGGAUAUUCUGCCCUGAACCCGGACUCUCUAAAAACUGUAGGAAUUGAAUACAUAUUGUGCAUGGUAUAGAAUUAGUAACAACACACAAGGCUUCCAUGGAAUCUGAUCGCGCUCGGCUGGCUUGGCUUCCCUUUUGCCCCCACGACCUUUCCUUGAAGAAUAGAUUGCGGCUUCUUAUGAUCCAGCUCAUAUACUAUUCCUUUGCUUCAAAACGAACUAUCCCCGCUUCGCUCAAGUAAGCUUCUUUGAGUUAUGUAAAUGGAGUGCACCUACUAUUCUAUAAAAUGAGUAAUCUGACAGCCUGCUUAAGUAGCAUAUGACAUAUAUUGGGUAAAUGCACUUAUUCCCUUUGAAAACUGGAUUGUUGACUUAUGAUGAAUGAGCUUCUUCCGUCGACAACAAAGAUUCCACUUAUACUGAAACCGGAACAGCAACACCUCUUAUUGACGCGCCAACCUCUGAUCUUAGCUAACUUUCUUCUUCUAUUGUAGCUCGAGAUCAAGUAGAAACUGAACAAGUGCUUUCUUCGUCGCCAACACCGGGAUACUGAACUCCCGGAAAUCCUUACACUAAACUUGAUGAAGCGCUUGUUGCUGAAUCUGGGCAUUCCGCUUCUGUUCCUACUCUGGGUACUUACUCUCAAACUUCUCAAGCAAGCUUCUUAUCAUUUUCAUAGUGACUAGCUAUAUCAAAGGAUUUCGCCUUCGUAUGUGACAGUCUGAUUCCAUUCAUUAUUGGUUUACUGGUAAAACUCUGCCUUGUCUUUAAUGCGCUCCCCUACUAUAUUGAUUGCAAGUCUCAUAGAAAGAGAAAAAGGUUAGUGACGCUUCAAUGAAACCAAGCAAGAGUAAAAGGCUAUACAGGAAAGAAGAAGUUAAGAGCAAAGGUAAGCAAAGGUAAGCCAAAGGUCAUUGGUUUAGGGUGGAGGACAUAAAUAAUAAGAAUAAAUGAUGAAAGCUAGAGCGCAAAGGCAAAACCAAGAGCAUCACUUUACUUCAGUACUUAUGGCAUCACAAAACCAGUCCAUUCUCAAGUUGUCUUAUCUAUGGAUUUGAUUCUUCCUAACACAGCUCCUCAGUAUGAUAACAUCUCCGAGGCUUCUUCUUUAUAGGAAUAGAUAGCGUCACAGUUUGAUAGGAAUAGAUAGGGUAAGUGGCGUGGCGCCUUAGUUAAGAGUCAAGCAAGCAGAGUGUUGUUACUAUUACGAAAUUCGAGAAUGUGUGUCUAACUAACCUUAGCAGAAUGCCAUUGCUUGUUAGUGUGCGAAAGCCCCUGCUUGUCCAUUAGUAGUGAAAAGUCAUUGACUAUCUAUCUUUUGCAUAUCUAAUUUAGGAAUGUAAUCAAGCAGAAACUCCGUUAGCUAAUGAAGACUGGAAAGGAACUAUCCCUUCCAUAACUGAGACCUGAGUCUUUGAAGUACAGUGAACAAGCAAACUAGAGGAAUAUCUAUGCGCAUGAGAUUGAACAAGCAAAAUAAAGGAAUAUCCAUGUGCAUGAGAUUGAACAAGCAAACUACUUAUGCGGGGUGCUUUAGGGAGUCUUAUACGAAAUUCCUCCCUUUUCCAUAAAAUGAUGUCGAACUGGCAAUUAUAGUCGACUUUAGAAAGCUUCUGCUUCAAAUCCAUCUUAUGAUUCCUGAGUUCUAUACUAAACGACUCUAUUCCCUUAUUCCUACCUAUACUUGACUCGAACAGAACUGGAAUUUGCAGACCAGACCCCAUUGACGCUUCUGAUCCUAGAACUGUAACUGAACGCCUUGUUGAAUGGAAAUUGGAUAUUGAGCACAUGGUUGAUAUAGAAACAAAGUCAAGACACAGCUUAGCAUCCCUUUGAACCGCGGGCAGCUGACUACCUUUCUACUGCUUCACUUCAGAUCUUAGAACCAAGGACUUGCUUAUUACAGAACAAAGGACUUGCUUAUUACAGUAACUCACUCCUAAUGUUACUUACGCGAAAACCCAGAACAGAACGGAUUCAUCUCUUGAUCAAGUAUCUUCUGUUGUUCCGACUCCUACAGUACUAGAUUAUUACCUAAACGCUUUCACGCCAGACUUUUCGUUUUAGGCUUUCGGGGAGAAUUGGGAUGGGAGUCUUUUUCUGACCUUAGCUGUAGCUGUUGAGAGAAGAGCUUCUCAAUUACAGUAUUAUGCCCUUCCCUUCUUAUUGACUUUCUCCAACUCCUUUCUUUGAUACUCCAAUUGACAACACCUUUCUUUGAUACUCCAAUUGAAUAGACUAAGUGAGUAUGGAGGGCUAGUGCAGUAUUGUAGUGUGAUCCAAGUCGUCAACUGACUCUAGGAAGGGUUGGCUUGUCUUGUGUUAAGCAAUGCGAGUUUAGAUGGAAGUUAGUACUUGAACUCUAAGGCCCUAUACUACAUUGCUAGUGCAUUAGGUAGUCAAUUCCAUUGAUAUAAUAAAUGUAAGUCAACCAUUAAGUAUCUGAGUUUUUCAAGUCCAGUGUUCCCCUCGUAAACUACUCGCAAAAUACUAUCAAUAUUCUAAUGAGAAAACACAUUCCAAAUUGCAAAUAAUUAAUAGCACCGGCACGACGUGGUCGGCGUCGGUCGUGCAACGAAGGGACAUCAUCCAGAGUAGCAUCGCAUAGUCGGUCAGAGUAGCAUCGCAUAGUCGGUGAGCUCCCAUGCAUUCAGUAAGUGUUCGGUCGGUGGUGCACCCGCGUAUGAUAUGGGAUGAUAUGGUAUGGGAUGGCGCAACACACCCUAGUAUCGGAUUCCAUUAUUCUAAUGAGAAAACAUUAUCAAAGGAAAUAGAAUGGAACACAAAACAGGACGACUGGAAACUUACAUCGGAACAGCUGAUUCUUCCACGAAUACUUAGAGGAAACAUUAAGCUUGCCCUACCUCAUAUAGAAGCUUGCCCGACCUAUCUCUGGUUUGAUCCUGCCCUAUAAGCUCUCCAUUCUAUUAUGAAACAAAACCUUAGUCUUGCUUAGUUAGCGCACGACCUCUAGCCACAUUGAUACGAACUCUUAUACUUAACGUUAACGAGCACCGACACAAACAUAGCUACCCACGGGAGAAACAUACCAUAGUACCCACCACAUACCCAAGGUAUACACAAACACACCUAUCCAAUAGCUCCGAUGCGACCGCUCAUUCUGAAAGUGACUAAGCGCAUUCAUCCAGUUUGCGAUCAACAACAAUAAAGCAAGGUCAGCGUCAGCUGCUGGCUCAUUCUGAAAGUAUAGAACCACCCAUUCUGGGAUCUGUGCGGAGGGGCUAAUUCUGCUGGGGGCAAUUCAUUCAUUCAAGUAACGUAGCUCAUUCUAUUCUUAAAGUCACAUCAAUCAAUCUUAUACUUCUAUUAUAUUAACGUAAAUGAGUAUGUAUAGUUGGCGCAAGGGGCAGGCGCACUCUUUCUAGUUAAGCACAUUCUGCAAGUCAAGUUGCUCAGCCCGAAAGUUCAAUCAAUAAGUCUGUGUCUAGUUUGCAAGGUCGGGUAACUCGGUCUUCAAGGUAGGCGAGCUCGGUCUUAGGUCUUAGGGUCAUUCUUCAAGUUCAAUCAAUUAGUCUUCGGGCUCAACUUAGGACAACGUGGUCGAGGUCGACGUACUCACCACAGACCCACCCGAGGGAGACACAUACCUAACCAUGAGCAACCAUGUGACCAAUCAGUCUUAUAUGCAGGUGGGGGAACCCAAGAUUUCUGUGAACAGACCCCCGUGAAGGUGCGUUUUGUUCAACGUCGAUGAGCGGUCGGUGGUGCUAAGAUGGUCCCCGGGCCGGGCAACUGUCCUAGGUAUGGGCUGCUGGUCUAAGAAGAAUUAUUUGCACUUUUCAUAAUUAUGUUUACUAAGAGGAAUUAUGCUCUAAGAGGAAUUAUGUUGACUUAUGAUAAUGAUGUUUGACUAGUAAUAAUGAUGUUUACUUAGAAGGAUGAAGUUGAUUUAACACCAGCACCACUAGCUCCAUCGUUCACUGAUAAAAGAACUAUUGCUUUUUGCUCUGAUUUAGCUAAUAAGCCGCUAAUUGAUAUUCUAUAGGAGAACGAAAUACUGACAUCUAAAUAAUCAAGUAGAUAAGUCAGAGUUACAGGUAAGGUUUUGCCUAGAGGGGAGACAGGCUCGGAAGGCAGUGUUAACAGAGUGAAAAGCAAGAGAGUAAGGUUGCUGAUAGGAGAAGUCAGAAUCGAGGAAGGGAAGCCUCUCCUAUAGUGGUGGAAGUUUUCAAGUAAGUAUAGAGUCUAGUCCUAGGUAAUGACAUCAAGUAAAGUAUAGAGGCGAGCCAGGGGUAAUGAAUAAGAAUAAUGAAUAGGAAUACGAGGCUAAAAGAAAGUAGAUAAGGAAUAGGCGGGGGUAAACCAAAGAAGUAAGGAUCCAAUGCAAGUAUUAAAAGAAAGAAGGUAAGUAAAGGUAGAACUUAGCUAAGGGAUAGGGAGGCUUAGAACAAAGAUAUAUAGGCGGAAAGCAAGGAUAUUGAGAGUUGGGGCAAGAGGAGAGGAGUGAAUUACAGAACCAAACCAGGGAGUUACAGAACCAGUGAUCAAGCCAGUGAUCAAGGCUAAGAAUCAAACAGUAAACAAUCAGACUGAAACUCAGAAGUGAGCUAGUAGACUUCCAAUAAGAAUUCCACUCCUAAGUCAAAGAACGUUUAAUCCGAAUUGAAAUCAUCAGUCGCAACAGACCGACCUAAGCCCAGUUGGACAAGCCCUACUACUUAGCUUUCAACCUUGUAUUUCACCUAGCAGCUGACGCUGCCCUUGCUUUGAAACUCAAACCACCGAUAUAACAUCUUGCCCCUUAGAUCGAGUCUACCAUUACUUUAUCCUACUUAUAGGUCUGCUACCACUGUCUUUUAGGCUGACUUUGACUAUAUCUUAGGCUGACUACCCCUAUUAGCAUUCCAUAUCUCCUCUUGAACUCUACCUUUACGGACUUCAAUACUGUCUGUGGCACUAUUAGAAUAUAGAAUGGAGCCGGUACUGACUAGAAUGGAGCAGUAGGAAGAGGAGCAAGGACCGAACAGGUGCCAACAAUACUUUUACUCAUAACUGGGGAAUCAAACACGGGCUUCUAAGACCUUAGCUCGGAACUUAGCCUUACCAACUUGACUUUCAAACAAAAGCUGGUGCUUUUCAUUCCUUAACUAAUUACUUCGAACCUUAUUGUAAGUGCUUGCAUUCUGUAUUAGUUCAUUUGAAUACUUUCUCUGACAUAAUAAAGAAAGAAACCAGUGCUUCUCAACCUUAACUAGUUACGUGCCCAAACAAGACUCUAGCUCAUAACUUCACUAGGCAUUCAACCACCGAUAACAAGAAGCAACCUUAGGAAUAUAGAUUCCUGGAGCAGUAAGCAAUCCCCAUUCACCAGUAGCAAAGCCUUACUUGUAUUCGUUUCAUUUACGUGCAGCUUCUUUUCAUUCUGUAACUAAUGAUACAGAUCUUUGCUUCCGAACCAAAACCUCUUUUGCCUUUAGUCUUGCUUUACAGUAAGCCCAUAUCUGCUCUCCUGUCAGUUAGCCCUAACUCUAGCUUUCAUUCUGUUAUUUGUCCCUCGCAUUUCCGUAGUUAACCCCAGGGUCUACCACUAAUGUAUCUCAGUAUCCCUUUCCAGUAUUAUAUUCUAUAACUAUGGCAUGGGCUCCUAGCUUCUUAGAUGGAGUCUACCUUUCCGGGCUAUCAAAUACUACUAUUGAAAAACCACUCAAACCCAUUAGCCACCAAUAAACUCCAAUAAUACUGUAAUAAUAAUCCAAAUAAUCCGUUUUGUUGUUGUUAUUACGCCUGAUAUGCUCGGCAAACGGAACUGCAAUAAGAAAUCCAACUAAUGUAUUUAUGUAGAGUUAUUACUCCUGUUGUCUUCGGCGGUAGCGAGUUAAUCACUACUUGGAUCAAAUCUGACCUUACUGACUUUUCUUCUUUAAAUAAAUACCGAUCCGGGUCCUUACUUGCUUUCUUGCUUGCUCGUUUCAAAAUGAGAUUACUGCUCCUUGCUUCUUCUACUGCUAACAAUAGGCCUGCCACACUGACAUCUGAUCCGGGCUUUACCACCUAUGUACCCGCCUCUCUGCUUCCAUUAUACCUACCCUUGCUAUCAAUCCGCCCUUCCUUGCUUUUAUUCUCUCUAAUAUGGAUUCAAUGGCUAUACUUAUGAACUCAUCAAUGCCUACUAUGCCCGAGAUAUAGGCUUACUCCACUUGCUUUUAAACCUAAACUAGUGCUUUCAUUACCGAUACUAAGAUUCACCACUACUCUAUAAGAAUACAACAAAUACGGAUAGUCUGAUAACUUACUGAUAAUAUGAUAACUCGAAACUGGGAAUCUCUAUAAUAGAAAAAGGAAUUCCUAUACUAGAGCCUAUUCCUUAGCUACUGACUUGAAAACGGGAUCUCCGCUUUGACUCUACCAUUGCUAUAUCUCAUUCUAACUAUCCUUUGAAAGUCUACCGCUCCUUAGCUGCACUCUGUAGUCCAUGCCUUUCGCUCUUACUGAACCCGGGUUCCCUCUGUGGCUCUUUGCUUUCAUUCCCCUUGCUUAUAAACUCCAACUAGUGCUACCAAAUACCGGAACUGGGAGCUCCACCUUUCUACCCCUGCUUGAAAACUCAACCGAGUGCUUUUCGUUCUCUAUCCCCUGCAUCGGAUCCAGGCUUGCUAGCAUCCAACUUAAACAACAAACUAUUAGAAUAGAACCUGGGCACCGAAGCCCGCCCUGCCUCCGCUCCCCAACAUCUAUUCCUUGAUCCGAGCCUUGCUAUACUGGCUUAUCGUUUUACUGUACUGACUUUGAAGCUGUAUAUCCGCCCCCACUCUCUGUGUUACCCCUUAUUCUUAGUAUGUGGAUCUCCUCGCUUUCAUUCUACAACUGUUGACUUUCAUUUUGUAUUUAAACGUUAUUGUGUAUAAUAUCGAUUAGUAUUUUCAGAAGGAGAAACCUAACAACGUUGCUUGUUUCAGCCCGGAAGAUACUAUUUCAUCUCUUAUACCGGAAUUCUUCUCCGCCAAGCAAAAGCAACUACGCACCAACCUCUAUAAGCAUUAAAGUCAAAAGCACUACCCUUAACAUAAAGUAAGCUAUUAACUAUUGACUCGGUUUAUCCAAGAGCAGAACAUCUCUCAGCGGCAAACAGAUACUAUACUAAGAAUAGAAAGAAUAGGUAUGAUUGCAAAGAAAACUUCAAAAAGAAACUUCAUAUAGUAUAUUUCUUAUGUGUUAUUACUGAAGAUGUGCCCUUAAGUAAUUGGCGCCCAGCAACUACAUUCUGAAAUGCCUUUGAUCUUAAUAGUAUUGAAAGUGCAUUUAUAUAAUAUUUGAGAGUAGUUCAUUAGAGAAAACCAGUCCAAAAACAGCAACUUAUUUGAUCUUUUUUGAUCCACUAAAACCCAGUGUUUUUCAUUUGUAUUUGAGAUGGCCCUGCGAUGAAUGCGCUUAGCCCCCCGAAGAGUGUGCCAGGCCCAAUGAAUGAGCGAUGUAGCUUUAAUAAUGCGCUUAACUACUUGAAGAGUGAGUUCGCCGACCUUGACAACUAGCAAAGAAUUCUGUAUGUUCUUCCAAAGAUUGAAGGAUGAGUUACCCGACCCUGCCCCAACUGCACAGACUGACUUAUGGUACUUUCGGACUUUACUAUGUGAAUUGAGGAAUGAGGUUUCCUACAAGCAUUUAGUGGUGGUGCUCGCCGCGCACCUCAAUGAACGCAUUAUUGUUGUUGAUCGCACCCAAGAAGCGAAGAAUUGACGAUGUACCUUUGAUGCAUGAGCUAUAUCGCCUUCAGAAUGAAUGCCACCUCUGACUUCGGAGACUAACUCCCGUAGCUCUAAGAAUGAGUGGAUGUUACUGACUGAUUGAAUUCCCGGCCAAGCGUAUACGUUAGACCGCCAAGCUAGUAAAUAAUCUAUCUAUUGUAAGUAGCGCUAGGGCUGCAAGCAAGGGAACAAGCACAAGCAGGGUAUGGGUCAUUAGUCAAGUUAUAAAGCAAGGGUAGAAAAAGUGCUAAUGUGAGUAAAGUCUUAUACGAGCGAAAGUUCAUCUAUCUCUUACCUCUUUUGACCAAUAGAAUAUCCAUAUGUUUUCACUCCCUUAUUUGAUUAUCUUUCUUCUGCGCGUAAGAUGUAUGCCCCUGCACUUUCACUGUCAACUACUUUCUCUGAUGACUGGACCUAAGAUGGAAUAAUGACCCCCGGUUUCUAUUCAAUACACCAAUACUAAGCUUGUUCAUUUUCCCUUUCUUUUGCUUCACUUAGUACAAUAGGUCAUUUAUCUACCCUUAUGGAAUUGAGUGCUCCACCUUAAUAGAAUUGAAAACCAGCUUAGCUUCCAAACCAGUAAUAUAUUCUGCCCGGCGCACAAAAGGGUUGGAAUAUCAUUGAGUGCAAGGUUGAUUCGUCCAGCACUGUCCACGACAACUACAUUCAAGUAUUGUAGGGAAAUUCAAUAGAACCGGUGCAAGCAAGGGCAAGGGAAGAAAGAAGCAAGGAGUAAGCGCUGUGAAGAGUCAGCAUCAGCAUAGUCAGCAUCCGUAGUCAGAGGUAUAAUAGAAGAGUCAGCAUCAGCAUAGUCAGCAUCAGCAUAGUCAGCAUCAGCAGUAAGAGGUAUAAGGUUACAAUAACUUCUAUAACAGAUGCUAGCAAGUCGAGAAUGCCCACGGAGCGGUCUUGUAUCAAGGAAAGCACUAUCAAUCAGGUAGCCCCGAGUAGUGGUGGCCCAACAACAUAAUGCUUCAGUGAGAGAGGUCAGAUCACCAAAAGCAGAGGGAAGGGAGUGGAAUAUAGACAUAGGUCAAGUGGAAAGUAAGUAGCCCUUGUAACCUGCAAUGAAAUUCUGUCCUGAAGUAGCGUAUCCUUCUGUUCGAGUUGACUCGUACUAUCUAAGAAUAAUAGGCUAAAGCAGUAUCCCAGAGAAUCGGCUGUUUCAGUUUCAAGAAGCUCGCGUAUCGUUGAGCAUAGAAAAUGUGGUAAUUGAGGUAAGAGGAGGUGUGUGUUGUCUCGUGGAGAAUUGCCUUAUUCCUAUUGCCCUACAGUCUCUCUUUACAACGCGGGGAGGUGAGAUAGAUAGUUCUUCAAUGAUGUUCUUGCUUGUGCAAUCGUAUAAAGAAAGAAGACAGACAGAAUGCGAAGGCUAAAGGAAGAGUAUAAUAUAGAAUCCAAGUAAUAGGACACUCCCAAGUUCGUUUGUCUCCGGGUGGUUACCGAUUUACUAGAAAGUCAGUUUACCGCAGAAGUCAAGUAUCGUUUUGGUAUUGAAGAAACAGGAUAAGAAAGAAAGUCGACCAUAUCAGAUGCGAGAGCUGGCGAUUCAGAAUGUCCGGAUUCUCCGUCUUUUAUGUUCGAAAGUGAAGUUAUGUUAUCAAGUCAGGAACAAGGCGUUCAACAAGUGGUGUUCUAGCAUUGUCUGGGAGCUCAGUUCUUUACCUUCCCCUUUGCUUUAACCGAGUUUGUUAUUAGUCGAGUUGGGGACUGCAUAAAUUCCUUCAGAUGCCCUAAGUGUAUACGAGUAAGGUUUAGCUAAGUGUAUACGAGUAAGGUUUCAAGUUGGCAACCUUGUAGUUAAGGGUUUCCUAGGUCAAUAUUGCAAAUCAUAUGUUUGACUCGGUGCUUAGGAGAAAGUUUGCAAUGAAUAAUUAUUGGAAUGAAUCUUUGAGUUUAGCGGAAGGGAGUGUCCAUUUCAUGUUGAAAUCCUUUGUAGCAUUCCUAUUAGAUAGAUAGGCGGGAGAGUUCCAUUCAUUAUUGGAAUAGUGAUCAAUGGGGUAGCAUCUCACUAGUCCAACUGUUGUAUUAGUUAACACUGGUGGCCCUACUUACACUUACGACUCGACUACAGCAAGCAACAGCGGCAUAUUGUGGUCCAAGCAUAAAAGGAGGUAAAUAUAGUUAUGUUCGAGUGGAAUCCAACUAGAAGAAAAGCUACUACGUGAGGCUAAGUCUAUAUUUUCGGAAUCCAUCUUUUGGCAACAAGAUCUGAAGAAGGAAUGGAUUAAGAAGCACAUCUCACGCGAGAAAGAAUUAGUGACUUGUUGGAUCAGCAGUAAGAUAAGAGAAUCCAUCCCGAGUUUCCGACUUACUAUUUCGUUGUUGUCGACUCGAAUCGGUAAUAAGGUUGAACUGAACCCUCCUUAUUGUAUAGAAGCUAGAGGUAAUAUUCCACACUGCCAUCUAAUCUUUGUAAGUGAGAAAUGAUUGAAUUCCUGUGCUGGUUGACUCGAAGCAACAAGAAAGAUGACUGGUUGGUUUACUUGCGAGUUAGGGAACGGAGUUUCGAGUUUACAGGGUAGGUGAGCAGCUUGAUCACCAUUCCUAUUAGCGCAUCAGGUCAAUUAACUUCACUGUUUUCCUCUUCCUAUCUUCUUCCUAUUAGAAUAUCCCACUUUUUUCCUUUUCCUAUCUUCUUCCUAUUAGAAUAUCCCACUUUUUUCCUCUUCCAUUAGGAUUCUUUGAAGAAUAAGUGGAAGAAAGCAGUGGCUCUCUGUAUCGCUACCGUAAUUCUAUCUAUCUAUCUUCCAGAGUAAAUCUCAAUUGAUGCUGGAAUAAGAGCCUCCCUUUAUAACUCAGUAGAAGUUGGAUUCAUCCCUUUAUAACUCAGUAGAAGUUGGAUUCAAAGAAGUCGUCUAAACUUGGAAGUUCUGGCUACGAGGUCCCUAGCAAUAGGGGAAUGGAAGGGGGAUGGAUGUGGUUAACUAGUCUUUUUUAGCUAUUUGAUCACUACAGAAGUCAAUCGGUUGAAUGCACAGGUGGAUAGCUUUGAUAGUCCGCCAGGUUGAAUGCACAGGUGGAUAGCUUUGAUAGUCCUUUUUUUCAUCUUCUGGAUUUUCUUUUCUCUUAUUGACUCGCUAUACGGUUAUUUUCGAGUGACCCUAAAAACAGCAGUGGCAUUCCCACUUUACGACGAUACUAUGUCUAUAACCGCCAUGCUGAACAGAAGGGUUCUAGCUUCAGAUGUCCGAAGGACCUUCCUUUCUUUUCCAGAGAAAUCUCCUUCUUUAUCUUCAAAGACUGUUGUAAUUCUAUAACGGGAGUGAAAAGAGAGAGAGUUUUCCUUUUCUAUGAGUUGGUUGGUCACAUAUGAUUGUUUUGAUCCUAUUCGUGAGCACCUUUUUGACUUCUUUUACUUUUCCUUACUUGCCAAUUUGGAGCUUCUCGUAUCACCAAGGGAAGAACUGUUACUUCAAUAUCUGUCUUCUUUCCAUCAAAUGAAACACUCUUCUCCUCGUUCAGAGCUAGGCGAGAGCACUCCGCUCCUAUUCUUUAAUGAUUGACCAGGCACUGAAGUAGAUGUUUCGAUCAUCAGUGUUCACCUCUUUGUGUCAUUGCUCGAGUUGCCAGUUUGAGAUUUCUUAUUCAGCCUUACCUCUAUUCGUUCUCUUAUCUCUACCUUUUUCAUUUCCGCUCUACCCCUUUCUUUCUCCAGGGCAUUCCUAGAAAGUAUAUUCUGGUAUUUUUCCCUCUAUCCAAUAGAGAAUCGAGCAUUCCAGUCUUCUUUAAGAGAAAGAUCUUGGGCUAGCGUUGACCGGCCAGUCGGCACUUUAGGCGGUCUCGUCGAUCCAAUCACUUCUGGGGCUUCAACUCUCUGGUUUCAAGUUCGAGUGGGAUGUGUUAAGUGAAGCAUCUUGUUUUAUCCUUGCUUCAUCGAAAACUCUUACCUACUACCUUUAUCGAGCCAGUUUGGUUACAUCUCAUCUCUUUUUUCUUUCCAAAAGUGAAGGUUACUGCAAAAGUCGAAGUCAAAGAAUAUGCUGUGGACAAUCAUCUGAGGAUAUUGAGUAGGUACAAAACCCAUAGAAAAAAGCUGCAUCGCCCUAUUCUGGAAGGUUGUUUCCUACUGAGGGGGUAGCGUUACGGUUAGCUAAACGGAAAAACACAAACCUCACACACAUAUAUAGGUGUUGAACCCCAAUAGAAGCCUGUACAUAGCUAGGCAAUAAGUGAAGCCAGGCCACGCAGACAAGACACGUAGUUAGACCGCAAAGCAGACAAAGAUGAGCCAUAGGUAGAGGAGAAAGAGUGAAAAGAGCUAGUGCUGUAUUCGUUGGUGUUCAAGCGUUAGCAGGGAGGCCCAAGAAGACCACUAGAUUCAAGGGUCAGAGUUCCAUUUCCAUUGAGGCACCAUCUCUUCAAUUCCUAUGAUAGAUAUAUGAAUGCAGUAAUAGUAAUCAAUUAAGAAAUUCCGUAUUUACUCGCUACUCAAAGUAAUGAUAUGAAUGAAUGGCCGUCCCGCAGUAGCUCUUUAUCGGAGAAGUAAUUGUAUCGCAGUAGCUCUUUCUCAGAGAAGUAAUUGUCUCGACAAGCAAGUACACAGGCAACUAGUUACGAUAAGUAAGAAAAAUCAAAGCACUCGUUUUGCAGUUCGAAAGGAAGCUACAAGCCGGUAAGAUGAAAUUCAAUGAGAAACUUUCCAUCCUGUUUUCAAGGGGAAUCUGAAAGGGAAGCAGUGUAUUUAUGCUGGUAACUAUGGAAUCCAAGGUGUAGUGGUGAAGAAUAAGGGGGUGUAUAGGGAAGGGGAGUGGAAAUCGAACUAGAUCGUAACCAAUUCGAAUAUCUAUGUACCUAAUGCGCUAGCAAUUAUGUAUUACGGCCCCCAAUUGUCAUUAUUGUAAUUAAUAUACUUGUUUCAAAAGUGUGAAGAGCAGGUUUGGAAGCAGUACCCGAGUAAGCAGAUGGAGUUGGAAGCUGUUCUGUUGACUAAACCCCGGGGCUAUAUAAGUAUUCCGUAUUUAAGUAAGCAGGUAGAUAAGCAGAAGAAUAAGUUGAAAGAGCAAGAGCGGAACGACGUUAUCUGUCCUGUGUUCGUAACCUGUGUCCUUAAGUAAUUGGUGUCCGAGUAACGCAAAGCAAGGAAUUCAUAUAAAUACGUUCUAUAAUUAGUUCUUACAAGUCCUGUCUUCGCCUGCUCUUAUAGUAAGUUGUAAGAGGAAAGUACCGGCUUUGAUUGUUCGGUAAAGUAAAGUAUAAAGAUCUGAAUCAGCAGUUGUCGAACUUUGAACUGUAGUAUCACCCGCCAAGUAGAGUAAACCCCGGGUUUCUUCUUUUGUUUGAUACCUGAAUGAGGCUCCUGUAUUUAUCUAGUUGCGAGUAGCUUGGCAUCUCUUCUUUAGUAGAGGACCAGGUAGUUAAUUACUUGAUUUUCCUUUGUUUGUAGUAGUUGCUUGUCGACGCUAACUUUCUUCUUUAUCUAAGCUAACUUUCUUCAUAUGCUUGUUCCCUGAGAGAGUUAGGAGUGAGAAUACCCGGAGUGAAAGGAGUCCGGAGUCAAAGGUGUGGAGGUCGGUUCGGGUGUUCCUGUUAAUAAGUUAGGCUCGGGAAGCUAUUAGUUUCUUUCUAAAGCAAAGAGAGAGGCCAGGCCGGGAGAAUACUUUCAUUAAUGGAGCAAGAGUAGAGGUCUAGUAGCAAGAGAUGAGCCAGGACUUUCAAGGAAUAAGCACUAACGGGUGUUGCAAUACAAGAUCAGAGGCUAGAUCCAGAGUAGGAAUCAGAGGUGAGGAAGCUGAAUCCAGUGCUUCUGAAUAGGAAUAUUGCAAGUAAGCUGCUGUCGGGUAUGUUCUUGUUUGUCGAGUGUGAGUGUCAUCCCUAGUUUCGUGUGAAAGUCCUGUGUUCGGGAGCUACUGUCGCUCAGGCUUAAACCUAUGUUGCUUGGCGCUUUCAGGCUUAGUACCACUCGUUUCAUCCUAUCCCUUGCUAGCUCCCCUCUUUGACUAAUGAGUUGAUUCUCGCUUGAGAACUGACUUGGCCCCUGGACUUCUUUCGUAUAAAAAAGAUAAGUAGGCUAUGCCUCACUGAUGCACGACGUCUUGUUGCGCAGAGGAAAGUGGAGUCUUCUGGUUGUUUACUCCAAUCUAUUUCUUCUAUAAUAGGUGUGGUGUGCACACUCCAUUCUGAAAACAUACCCACGGAUCUUAAAGGGUAGAUCAAUAGCAGCGGUAACUCGCAAUAAGAUAAGGAAAUCAAGUAUAUUCUUUUUUUGGUCAGAUUUCUUCACACAUUCAUUUUGCACUAAAUAAAGCAUAGAGUUUAGAGUGAGGUUGACUAUUGCAUAAGUAUAUAAAGUUAGCAGUACCCAAAGAGACUCGCAUUCUACAGUAUACCGCGCACCCUACACAUCUACUGUUGGAUUGAUUUCAAGAUUUCAUUCGGAUCAUGCUCUUUCUGUAUCCAACAACUACUAAACAAGCUACUCCUUACGGGCAAGUCAAAGAAGAAUGAAUAGAAUCUCUCUUGCACAUACAUUGUAUAGAGAAUUGGGUAAUAUUACUUAAUUCCAUAUGAUUUGCUCUAAAGUCAUAAUGGAGGCUUUCAGCACCUUGCUUGUUUGCUUGUUUAUUCAGUUGUGCUAACGUACGAUUAAUUAUAGUUCCUGUAUUCAUGGCUAACGGAUCUCAAUAAGAUAGAAGUUCCGGAUUCGAGUCAGAGAUCUUUUUGCUGGUAUUGACUAUAUGGCCAAGUGGAAUAGCCUGACAGUAGUCGAACCUGGUUCACUAUUUGGAUUCGAUCAAGUAGAAAUCUCUUGCGCUUGAAGGAAGACUAUCUUGUAUAGGGCCCCCCCAAACCGAUUCUCAAAAACCACCCAUAAAUAUAAGUAAGAACAAUAGCAUGUCCUUGGAGGGAGAGCUAUUUGAAUUCAAGAUGCGGAUUUGUCGUAGGAAAGAUAUAGGAUGGUUGGCUGUGACAAGAGCUGGUUACCCCAGUCUGCAUAAUCAAUUUGCUCUUACUGCUUUUUUCUCUUUUUCUUCCUAAUUCUGUUUCUUCUACUAAGGGAUCGGUCUUCUUCUCCGCAUCCCUACUUAGCACUAGUACUUGUUGCCGGUCUUCUUCUCCGAUGUCACUCACGUAUAAUAGACAUACGGUCUUCUUCUCCGAUAACUAUACUAUAUAACUAUGUGGUCUUCUUCUCCGCAUAUAGUACUAAGAUCAGAAUUCCACCAGUGCCAGCAAGAACCAAACCGGUGCUUCCAAGGCUUCAACUCGUGCUAGUGAGAAUGCAACCCAUGCUUCCGAGCCUGAUACGGUGCCUGCUAGGUAUGUAGCUAGGGAGUCAAAGAAUGAAAAACCAGCCCCCUGAUUCCCAGCCGGAAGCGUACUGGAUCGGAAUGCACCUCUGUAGUUACAGGCUUUAUUAGGAGCUAGCCCGGCCGGAGUAGAGCUCGUUUUGGUGAACUGCAAUGAUCUGGUUUACUUACUUUGUUUACAGAGUCGAGGUAGGCCAGAUAAGAGAGGUAGGUUCGGCAUGAUAGUAGAUAUAGUAGUUCCGGUUUGAUAAGGUCUCAUCUUUCACCAAGGAAAAGAGGUAAGCAAGAAAUCGGAUAGGUAGGUUCGGGGCCAAGCUACGAGGCAAGUAACACCGGUAGACCAAGCAACGAGGCAAGUCGACAACACUAGUUCCAUAUAGUUCCCCCCGAACACACACAGGAAUGGACUCGUUCGAAACUUUCUCUUUAAUACUUUCUCUUUAAUAAAUAAGAAGAUCUUCCGAAACUCAAUCCUUAAUAAUACCGAAACUCAAUCCUUAAUAAUAACAGUGAUUUGGAUAGUGCUUUUUGGCUACUGUUUGUGUAGUGAGUCGGUACAUAAGAAAUGGAAGUGAUUUUGCAUCCUUUUUCAUCCUUGCUUCUCUAUUAUGACAGUGUUCAGUAAACUCAUCACUCCUGAAAUACUCCUGAAAUGCAGUAUGUAGGGGGAACUAGUACAGAGUUGGUAUAGGAGAAAGAGAAGUCGUUUUUCAUCUCCUUCAAUUCCGUAUGUAGGGGUUGAUACCAUAAUUCUUCCCACUUCUGGAAAUUAAGUAUUCCGGGGUUUCUAUCUGAAUUCUUCCAAUUGCUGCUGUUCGAAGGCCUAGAACACAAUUGUAAGCAUGGAAGCUCAUAACCAGUUUGUUUCGUUUGUUAUCCGACUUUCGAUGCCCACUUAAUUAAUUGGUGAUACGACAGGCGUUAUUGAGACUAAGGCCAGGGACCGAACCUUGCUCUACUUACUGAAAAGCUGUCUGCUUGCCGUCUUGUCUAGUCGUUGCUUGGCUCUUUUUAUUAGUAGCUCAGUUCUUUGGCAGCCGAGUUACAUUCUCCAAUUUAUGUCCUUACAUUCUAUGACUUCUGAGUUGGAUUACCCAUAGUCCACACAACCAUCAAGUAUUACAAGCACUAUUUUCUUUAUUUAUUAUAAGUCUUAUUACAGGGAUGUUACAGAACGAAAGGAAAGAGGGACAGGCAACGAGGCGGUAGUUUGAGUUUCUAAUAGUUUGGUAGUGAUUUCAGUCUAUCGGGGUAGUGAUGCAUUCUCUUACCUAUAUUAGUGGAAUUACAGGUGAUGAGUUCGAGUAUUGUUAUUACUAGUCAAGUUCCUGUUAGCAUCAGUUCGAUCCUCUCUUUACUAGUAGCUCAAUUAUCCGUUUUGAGUUUUAUGCCUCAAUUACUUAUUCCUUUUUUCGAUUUUGAUUCUACUAGCUUUUACCACAUCUCUGCAUGGUAGGUGUAUUCUUUAUCCCUUGCUUUCAAGCUAGCUGUAACUACUUUACCUCUAAGAAGAACUACUACCAUAUUAGAUGAAACUAGAAAGUGGCAAUACAACUACUGAUAGCAAGCCUAACUCUUUAGUUAAUAGAACUCGACACCUGGGUCCUAGCUUUCCACCAAUAAUUGCCACUCGUCCCCUACUACUUGCAUUCUAUUACAACUGAUUCGGAUCUUUAGUAUUUGGGGGUUGUUUCAGCCUUGAGAUCAGUAGCGAAAGCCCUAGUUCUUAGUUUCAAUACUGUUACCGAUAAGGAGGAUGUUUACUAUGAGUAAUAAAAUGAAUGAAAUCAGAAAACUAACAAGUAGGGAUACCGGGCUAGGUUAACUAAUAUUAAGUAGAAGAACCAGACAAGUGCCCCUAACUACUUCACCUAAGAAUAAAGAAAUUCACUGGAACACUGGAAUCAUACCAAUACUAAUAAGAACCUCUCUCCUGGUAAUACUGAAGCUGCUAACUAGGGAUCUCGCCACAGCUGCAGAUCCUCACUUGCUUGUUUCAAACUAAAACCCCUGCCUUGAAGCCCUCUUUUGGACUUUGAAUUCUUUAGCUCCACUAUAAGCCUUACUAUCCGGGUUUUCAUAUCCCAGCUUCUUAGCUUCAGCCUUCCACUUACCAGCUCCAUUCUGUGACUCACUUGUUUGAGUCUUGCUAGUAGUAGUUCCAUUCCUUGACUUUCUCUGGCUUGGCUCCGAUACCUAUGUAAACAAUUCUAACUGAACUGCUGACCUUGUCGACCUCCUACCUAUGGCUCUUCUCUUGCUAAUCUACCUCUGUAAACAGCAAAUCUCUCAUCUCUGGACUACUCUCCUCAAGCGUAUACUACUGGACUGGACUAAAAUCUAACUCGGGCUACUCGGUCUUUAGACUAUAACUCGAACAGGAUCGGUAUUCCAAUAAGAGUAACUGACCUCGCCUCUCCUCUGUCUCUUAACUACGAAACUACUUGCUCCCCGGGCUCUGUCAACUAAUUCCAUGAAAUGAUUCUCUUUCUUGCACCGAAUUAACCAGUAAGGCCUAACUGCUUCCCUACAGUAUACUGCCUCCACUGCCUCGGAAGCUAAUGAAACUAUCCGGUAAAGAAUGCAAUUCCAAGGAAAGAAACUGGGCAUUGAGCUAGGGUAUAUUCGAACUGUAUUGACUUGGCGGGGGUGCUCCUACUCUUGGGGUGCAAGGAAAGCCCUCUCCCUCUCUAUCUGGUUUUAGUGACUAUCUUUUCUGUCCUUACCGCUUCGUUGCUUGCUCGCUCUUUAUUCCUCUCCGAUAACAAUACCUCUGUCAACAAUUAACUGAAUUCUUCUCCCUUAGCUACUAUAUACCUGUCAUUGCUUACUAUCUUAACCACUAGAAUUCUAUCGGCACUUAACAACUGGAAUUCACAGGAACAGAAACACGAGCAAACACACUGCAUUUCUCUCUUAACUACUUUCAUUCCACUCUUCCUCGAACCUAUCUCUCCUCGGAUCUUCUCUGGAUCUUUGAACUCAGGCUUUAUACCUAUGGCUACUACUACUGAUGAAACAGGACUACUACUACUAGAUGAAAACCUAGCUAAAUCCUCUUAUUCUUAUUCUUAUACAAAGAGAAGUGAGAAGGGAGAGAAGAAACGGACUAAGAGAGCAGAAACGGACUAAGGGAGCAGAAAAGGACAAAGGUAAUCUUUAAGAUUGACAUUAGGAAUUGUAAUCAGAGUGUCUAUUUGCUCAUUGCUUAACACAAGCAAACAGACUAGAAGGGCCUAGACCUUUACGCCACAGUACUACCGGUAUUCAACAAGAACAGGAGCUCAAAAGCACUAAUAACUAGAGGAAAGAAACCAUAAAGCAACUUACUAGAAGGGCCCUGUGCUGUCAACCCAACAAGUCACUACUAGACGUUACUCGCCCCCAAAGAGUAGAUACGAGUUUACUUCCAUCCCCCAAAGAGUAGAUACGAGUUGACUUCCAUCCGAUAUGACCGAAAUGAGUCAAAUAAAUGAGUCACAUUAGUAACAAGUUCUUCUAUACCUCUGGCUCUGUCAAGCUACAACUACUGAUGCUGAUUCUCUUUCUUCUUAUUAAGUACACAGCUUCCCGAAACUGACUAGAAGGGCCUCAACUCGGAGGGCUCCUGCCGCGCAACUAACUACGUUGCUUGGCCCCGCUUCAGAAUCACCAUUCUUCUAGGGCAACUAGAACUAUGGCAACUCAACCUUAAGCAGAAGCAACAGGUGGAUCAGCGACUCCUAUAGUCCUAUAGUUAUUAAGAGAUCGGCUCCUAGACCUUAGUAAAGAAAUACAGAAGAAAACUCCGUAGUGAAAGAAUGCAACAAGCUGCUUUAUCAUAUCCCUCUCCUCUCGCAACAAAGAAAGAUUCCACUAAAACCAUUAACUUUAGGGCAGCUUGUCAACUACUUAUGAAACAGGUUCGGUGCCCUUGCCUCUCUCUCCUCUUUAAACAAAUACUGUUAGGACUCUGGACUACUCUACAACACCUCCGGCUCAUCCAACUCUGUAAACUAAGAAAGUUAGGGCUCUCAUCUCAUCUCUUUUCACUCUGGCUUGGCUCUAUCUCCUCUGUAAACUAAUCAAGUUAUUGCUCUGGACUACUCGUAUACUCAGUAAAAGCCUUAUUGUAUCCCGAACAUACCUCAGUUAGAGAUUACUUUACUAGCUGCCUCGCCUCCGGUAAAGCACCGAACCAGCCUCUGCUUCCCUAGCUUGCCCAGGGCUUGUCUACUUAUGAAACUCGGGAUUCCACUAAUUCCAUUAAGUCUACCUCAGCUACUGAUGAAACAGGGGGUGCCGACCUAAACUCUGGCUCAUCUCCACUAGACCUCUGUCAACUAUUUCUUUCAUUCUUACUUCAAACAAUAGCUCUUAUCUUUCUUCCCCGACCCGACCUAUCUACCACUACUAAUAAGAUUGAAACUAGCAACUCUCACUCGAUCAGGAACAGGGGCUAAAGGGAACCAUCAAUCUUAUAGGCAGAAAUUACUUAUAAAGACAGUUUCUUAGUGGAAUGGGAAAUACUUCUAAAAACAUCUCAAAAUGCUAAAUCAUGCUAUUUUCGUAUAUAGAAAUUAGGAUAUCAAGUAGAAACCUUCAAGUAGUUGCCCAGGUUUACAGCCAGGAAUAGCUUCCCUUGCAGACCCUACUUCUGGAGUUUGAGCACCCGAACUCGCCUCUUAUAAGUGUUAACACCGAACCUACCUAAACAAAUACAGAAUUCCACUCACCCUCGACCUAGAACUAUUACUGGCACUGGGCUCUCCUUCUUACUGAACUGCUGACCUUGUAAACCCUUAACCUCUCAUAAGUGUUAACCUCGACCCGAACUAACUCUAUCUGACUUGCCGACCUAUCCUAUAGACUGACUAGAAAUAGCAAGAAGGAAGAGAAUGAGCAUCUGAUUGAUCCUAAAGAAGAUAAGAAAAAGCGGAGGGGCAAGCAAAGCAAGCGCUGGUAUUGUUCCAAGUAAGGGAAUUCUGAAUUCUAGUAUUUGGAGUCUUAUGCUUUGAAGGCUUACGGUAAGGCUUAGGUUUCUCUGCGGGUAGGGAAAGAGCAACAGAGACUAGAGCUUAGGGAAGACAUUUCACCUACUAAGACCCUCCCUUAAACGCCGAAUUCUGUUAGUGCUGUCUUUAACCUUUUAUAGCUUGCAAUUGAUCUUUCCCUUCGUGUACGCCCACUGAAGCAGGAAACUCAUCUCUUUUAAAUAGAGUCUACGACCUGAAUAACCGAGAUCAUCUUCUAUUCGUGACUCACUAUCGGAAUUUGGAAGAGAGAACUAAGCCUUUCAUUCCAUUUUGAUAACUAUCGCUUCUAAGGCAAAUAAUGUAACCCGUGAAAACAAAGAAAAGAAAGAGAAGAGCUUUAAGGAAUAUGGGAAUAAUAUUCAUGGAAGUCGCGGAACACCAAGACAAGACACUCGUUGGGAACCGGGGAUGAAUAAGGCCUCUUUCUAUAAGUUGAAGCAAGGUGCUGAAAGCCUAGACAAACUACUACUAAUGGGCAAGCUACGUAUAGACUCAAAGAGUAGGGAAAGAGACUAGAAAUCCGGUGUUAAGGACUAGCUUCUGAAGCACUAACUGAGUUUCAAAGAGCCAUCGGAAGUCUGCUUUGCUAUCCGCACUAUUUGACUCGCAGCUCGCAAGAGGUAUUUCUGAGUUUAGUAUAGUAAAGGAGUUCAAGAGGAAAGAGAGAGUUUACUUAUUAGGAGUUACAGAGGUAUUAUACACUAUUGCACCAGAGUUUGGAUACCGGCACCUGGCAAAGCUACUACUACAAAGACAUAGGGCCAAUGUUCGUGUGUAGCGGCAGGAGCCCCGGGUUAGCCAACAUAACGAAACUCAUAAGCACAAGAACGCGAAUCAAACUCCAAAGUCGGAAUUUCACCCAUAGGUAUUAAUAUAGGGAAUCCAACAAGUAAGUAAAAGACAUAGGUACGAUAACUAGUACUAAUGGGAAUCCAACUUGAGAUACAGAAUUCCACUCAUUUGUAUAAGACUCAAACUAGGCAUUGAAGACAGGAGUCUCAGACGAAAGGCCAGGGGCGAUAAGGGCGAACAAAAGAAGUAGGGCUUCAACGUGAUGCAAGGGUAAACUACAGGACAGAUAUAAAGGAAAGGGAGAUGUGAGAUCAGUCAAGUCAGAAUGGAGGUAUAAAAGUAGAGAAUGGAGUUUCCUUCAAACUUUAGGAAUUUAGAAACAAAGAUGGGCAAGCUACUCUGCUAUUUACUUAUUUAAUGCUAUUUAAAGCUAUUCCGCUACUCCUACUGUUACUACUUGUUUGGGCUGGAAACCUGGACUACUCUACUGAUGAAACUACUAUACUACUAAUUGGGGAUGAAACUCUCAAUCUGGUGUAACAAGAGAAGCAAGGGCAGCGUCAGCUGCUACUUAUUAAUAGACUUCCCGCUACUCCGAUACUAAGAUCUAGUAAGAAUACAUACCUCUGUAAGCCUUAGGAGGUCUCAUAAGAAAGGUAGUGCAGGACCUGAAGUAGACUCAUCACCAACAAACACAGACAAAACUCGAACUGGCUAUUAUCCACGAGACUAAACUAUCACAGCGGACUGUUUUCCUGGCACUGCUAAUUCUAGAUACCUGGCUUUGAUACCGAAGCAAGCUCUGGCAAUAGGCUACAAUUCUCUACUUCCCGAACUCGACUUGCUAUCUUUAGCUUCUUAUCCCAAGACUGGUUAACGCCGCCACUACUAUAGUAGGAGACAAUAAGUAUAGUGGGAGACAAUAAGGCUUUCCCGAGUAGUAGGAGUUCAAGGCUUACUUCUAUUGUUUAAUCCUAUCUAGGAGUUGGCAAAGGAUCUGAAGCUGUGUGGUAUGACAGCAGAGGAGUUCAAGAGUGGAGCUAGUUGUCUGCUUGCCGAGCCUGUAGUUUAUGAGUAGUUUCCAAGGUAUCAAUUCACUGGUUCAGAAGCGGUUGAAAGAUCAGACUUAGUUCAAAGAGUCAGAGGAGAGGGAAGAAUUCAGGUAGAAAACCAUCGAAUAGGAGUGUGAAGAAUGGAGUUUGCCCUAUUCUUUGAUGAGCGAGCACUUCCAUUCUCUUCCUUCCAAUCAAUCUGGCUAAGCUAAGCCGCACUCGUCUCUGGUUUAUAGUAAAGGAAAUUGUUGGCAUCACAUACAUCCUUACUGACCGUCUUAGUGUAUGUCGGCUGUACCUGUGGGUGGGGUGGAAGACUAACUUAUUAUCAAAGGAACUGAUCGUAGAGUUUAGGGUGUUGUUGGCAAUGAAUCUAAGGGCAAGUCGAAUCAGUAGAAUCUCUAAUAGAAGCUCUGCAGAGGUGCUCUAGCUCUAAGUCUUGUUUCGGGUG
rnacentral:lncRNA from 1 species